AAGAAGACAAGUAAUGGUAACACAUUGAAGGAUUUCGAGUCGAAGCCCGGCUCCUUUCUCUGGGGGUAUCAAGGCAACGAGGCUGAGUCUAAGUCUAAGGAGGAGAAGCCUCUUAUGAAAGGCUUUGAGUCGAAGCCCGGCUCCUUUCUCUGGGGGUAUCAAGGCAACGACGUUGAGUCUAAGUCUAAGGAGGAGAAGCCUUUUAUGAAAGGCUUUGAGUCAAAGCCCGGCUCUUUUCUCUGGGGGUAUCAAGGCAACAAUGCUGAGUCUAAGUCUAAGGAGGAGAACCCUCUUAUGAAAGACUUUGAGUCGAAGCCCGGCUCCUUUCUCUGGGGGUAUCAAGGCAACGACGCUGAGUCUAAGUCUGAGGAGGAGAAGCCUCUUAUGAAAGACUUUGAGUUGAAACCCGGCUCCUUUCUCUGGGGGUAUCAAGGCAACGACGCUGAGUCUAAGUCUAAGGAGGAGAAGCCUCUUAUAAAAGACUUUGAAUCGAAGCCCGGCUCCUUUCUCUGGGGGUAUCAAGGCAACGAUGUUGAGUCAAAGUCUAAGGAGAAGAAGCCUCUUAUAGCCCGGCUCCUUUCUCUGGGGAUAUCAAGGCCCUCUUAUGAAAGACUUUGAGUCAAAGCCCGGCUCCUUUCUCUGGGGUAUCAAGGCAACGACGCUGAGUCUAAGUCUAAGGAGGAGAAGCCUCUUAUGAAAGACUUUGAGUCGAAGCCCGGCUCCUUUCUCUGGGGGUAUCAAGGCAACCACGCUGAGUACAAGGAGGAGAAACCACUCGUGAAAGAUAAUUAAUGUCCAGGGAAGCCGCAACUUUACCUCUGAAUGGACCACGGACAUAUAUGUCUUCUAGCUGGUCUGAUUUUCUGCAUUUUCUUUAUUGGCAUGAACAUGUGUGAUAUGUAAUAAAUGCAGUUCUUCUUUCAACCAAGCGUUCUGUAUAAUUAAUUAAAUGAAAGUCAGUAGCGUUGAGUGCAUUUCUGUUUCUUUGUUUGUUGUUUCUUUUUGCCAUUUACCAUAGACAGGAAGCGCACAAAAAAGAGCACUAUUCAAGCAUGACAAGAAUCAUAGAGUGAGCGAACCAACUAUACCUUGAUAAUCUAAAAAGAGUUCUGCAAACUCGUACUCUUGUACGAAACCAGGACCAUAUAUAUAUAUAUAUAUAUAUAUAGAUAUAUCGAUUCAAUUUUCUAAUGAUGUGUGUGGUACGAACGCACAUUAGAAGUACAGAAAAUUCUAGUGUAAACUUUCACAAAAGAAGAGAAAGAAUGGAGAACUCUUGAAGCGUGAUUGAUCGCUAUUCUUAAGAAUUUAAUUAUCCAUACUACACUAAGUAUUUGCUGUAGAGAUAAAGGUAAUUUAACUUUAAGAUACAACAAGAGAAGAAGAAGUUGAUAGCAAUAUCAAGUUUCUCAAACUAAGAAAUGAUCAAAUAAUUCUAGCUAGUUUUGACAAUAAAAGGCUUGUUUUUUUACAAGUAACCUGUUUUCCACUCGUCUCUAAGUAUCCUUCGAUACGUGGCACUUAAUCCCAAUUAUUUGACUUUAAACUUCGUUCUGUGAUGUGGAUUCUAUGUGUUAGUAUAUACAAGACUGAUCUUAAACAUUACUUGAAAAUCAUAUUAUAUGUAACUGAGUACCGCAUAACUUGCAAUUAUCCACUUACGCUCUCAAUAUUAUUGGGAAAUUACAUGGAUUUUCGUUUCGGUAACUCUAAUUAUAUAGUCUCACGAUCCAUCUUAACUGAAGGGGCCAUUAUGAAUUAGAUGAACAUGAAGUUGUAUUUCGAUUCUCAAGCUAUUCCGUUCCUCUUUCUUCAUUGUAAGGAUUAGAGUCUCUUUUGGAGGGAAAAAAAAACACUCUAAUUAUACAGGAUUAAAGCAAAUAGCAAUGGUCUAUAAAAGGAUAAAAAGUAAGCAGGCUGGGGCAUAUUUAUUAAAACAUGAAAAUAAUAUGAAAUUUUAUAAUACACAUGAUACGAAAAAUAAACUGUAUGUAAAUAAUGCAAAUAUAUUCGAAAAGUACAAAGCUGAAAAUACAGCUUCAUUUACCAUGUGCAUAAUAGCUGUGUGCACAUUCCAGUGAAGAUUUUUUAUUUUUAGUGUAAGUGAGAAAUUUCGAGUUCUAAACCUUUCAUUUACACUCUCUUGUCCUAUAUCAUCCAAUCCAUCCCUUCCUAUAUUUUUAUGAAGAUGAGUACAUAAUGUGAGUUUUUAUUUUUUGAGGUGAAUAACUUGUUCACAAAAAAGUUUUCUCGAUUUAGGUAAAGUUUAAACUUUACGUUGUCUAAACAACGCAAGCAGAUGCCACUAGGACAGAAGUCAUUAUGAUGACUUCAUCCAAGGUAACAAAAAAAAGGCGUACAAUUGCACUUAAAAUUUGUGAAUUUAUAGUACUAUUUCAUGGUUUAUCGCCUCAAAGUUAACAAUAAAUAAUGUUUUGAACCCCAUUUAAACAACUUAUGAGUGUAAUUCAAAUUUAUUGCUCUAUUAUGUGUGUACAAUGUAUCAAAACAAAAGAGUAGCAAAUUGUGUUUUAUUGCACUUUUUGUUUAGCUAGCUUCAUGCAAAUUAACCUUCGUAGAUUAUAGGUAAAGAAUUGGUUUGCCAUUCAAUGUAUCCAAGAAAUAUGUGUUAGUACAUAAUGUUUAUUUUAAUGGAUGUACUGGUGUAAAACAAAAUUACAAAUUAUUAAGUUUUAAACUUUACAAGUACUUAAAGGACAAUAAUUUUUUAUUAAAUUAAAAUUUUCCGUUCUGUGAUUUGGUAGUUUAUCUUAUAACCCCUCUAUAGUUUAAAAAUCUGUAAUCAACCUCCUCAUAAUCUGGGUUAACAUAUCAUCAUUAAUUUUUCUAAAGUUUAAGCAAAUUAAUAUAUUGAAAAAUUCAUCCUUUCACUAAUUCUUUGAGGUAGUUACAAAAGUAUUACAAUUAUUAUACACCUUAAACUAUGUAUUUGUUUUCAAGUAAACACAAAAGAUGCAGCAAACCAUUUUUAGCCAAGUUAAUAAAAUUGCAAAUGUAACAAUAUAAAGCACCUUAUGAAAAGUUACUCUAUAUGAUUAAGAAAAUAAUUUAUAUUUAUUAGAAUGGGAAAAAGUUGCCAGAAGAGGGAGAGACCAUAAGAAAAAUAGUUUAGAGUGAACUGCAUCAAUCAUGCCUUCCAUCAGGGAAAAAAAGGGGUUAAAUAUCAAAAACCGCCAUGGAGUUUGCCUAAUGUUUACUUUACCUCCCUAUGGUUUGGCAACCUACAAUUUGACUUCCUGUAGUUUCAACUAAAGUAAAAGUCUGACAGAAAACAUCUAAACUAACGUCUGAAAGGAAAAUGUCAAAAUUGCCCCUCUAUAAGGGUUUUGGGUUAAGCACCAAAAAUCCCCCUGUGGUUUGUCAAAUGUACACUUUACCUCCCUAUGGUUUUAAAACAUACAAUUUAACUCCCUGUCGUAUCACCUAAAGUGAAAAUCUAACAAAAAUUCCGUUAAAUACACUUUAGUUGAAACGACAGGGAGUCAAAUUGUAGGUUUCCAAAUUAUAGGGAGGUAAAGUAAACAUUAGGCAAACCACAGAGGGGUUUUUGGUAUUUAACCCAAAAAAAUGAUAGAUGUGCGUGUAUAUAGGUGACGGGACUUUUAUAUCAAUGCAAGUUUAAAUCCGAUUUUAUACUCGUUGACUACAAAUAUACAGGCCGAAAUCGUAAUGUAAGGUGUGUAUCGGGUCAAUCCCACGAGGAGCAAAUUAAAUAAGUACUAGACCCUUAUUUUUCUCUAUUAUUUAGACUUACAAUAAAUUUGAGUAAAAAAUUUAUAAUGCUAUUGUCUACAACUCUGGUUUAAUCAAUGUUAAAUGCAAAUGGAGAAAUUUCACAAAAGAUUGAAUCUUGGGAUGUAGAUUCCACUUAUGGCAUAAACAACACAAAUGAAUAGAUUUACCUUUUGUUAUUUUUCUUGUUUAACCAGGGAUUCAUUUCCAAUAUUACCAAAUCUCAUUCUCAUGAUGAAAUGGCCUAGAGCAAUAUAGUUUUCCCUAUUUUCAUGGUGAAAUACUAGUUCUACUCUGUUUUCCUUCAUGAAAUGCUAGAAAAUGCACUUAAGUGUACAUCUAUUUUCAUGAACAUACAACUCAAGCUCUACUCAUGUUUUUCCAUUGUUACUAUCAAUUUUCAUUGACUAAUAACAACUAUGAACAUGCUAUUGGUGAUCAAACAACCACAAGUAAUUACAACUGCACAAAUAGACAAGUUAAUACAAGAUAUAACAAGUGUAAAUCACAUUCAAUUCAUAUUAUUUAGCCAUAAGUUUUAUCUACUCCCUAGAUAAAGAAAAUUAACUACUCAUGAAUGAGAUAAAAAUCAAACUCACAAGUUCAUUAAUGCAAAACAUCACAAAGUACAAUUACAAGAAAGAUAAAAGAAAGCUUAGCCAAUUAAUGGUGAAGCCCUCAAAUUUCUGCUAUGUUCUUGUAAAAGAUGAUUACAAGAUGAGUCUCCAAUUGCUUCCUCAAGAACUCUUCACUAAAGAGAAACUUGUUGCAAGAAGAAAAACUAGUUAUGUAUGGUCAUCUCUAGCUUCUCCAUUCUAUCUCUGCAUAAAAGGUGGUAGAAAGACAUUUUUUUUUCUCCUUCAUGACUUCAACCACUUAGAUUUUGUAAAGGAAGUCAAAAGAUAUGUUGUUUUGAUUAGUCAAUAACUCAUUUGGUCUUCUCUUUUGUUGCAGAAGCAUGUGCCACCGAAUUUUCUCUCCCAAGAUAGCUGGAACGUUGUGUGAAAAGUGAGAAAAAACAGCUGCGCCACUUGCUGAAGAGAGAGGCGGAUCCGAGCCUUGGAUCAGAAGGGUGAAGAUCGAUCCGAGAACUUUCUCUGAUGGAUCCGAGCUCGGAUUGUAUGACUUCGGAUACACUGCUCCAGAAGUACAGACGAGAGCUCGGAUCGCCCUUUACUCACACGGAUCUGACCUCGGAUCUGUGCUGAUGAAUUUCCAGUUUUUUACUUCUUCUCUUUUCUCUUCAUGUUUGUUCCUAGUUUCUCUUGUACUUUAUCCUCGGGACAAUUCUUACAAUUCCUUCAUCUCGUGCAUGAAUUCUAUAUAUCAAUGUCCUUCAUAAUUUCACAAAAAUUAACACAUUAAUCCACUUACUUAUCAAAUUUUAAACACUUAAAUAAUAUUUAAUCAAUUAUCACCAAAAGAGUUCAAAUAUGGCUUUAAUCUUCUCAAAACAUACCAAAAGUUUAUGCCAAACUUGUACAAAAUAUACGUUAAAUAUUCACUUAUUAAAUUCCCCACACUUGAAUCAUUGCUUGUCCUCAAGCAAUUUCACACAUAACUUACCAUAAUGAUUCAAGAGAUAAAACAAUAUACGUACUCUUGUCAAAUUUAAUUUCUCAAAAACCUAGAAAUCAAUCAUUAUGCCAUUUCUCAGAUUAUACUAAAUACUCAUAAUAUCAAGUUAAAGAAAGAUAAUUAUGCAUUAAUUUUAACAACUUCAAAUCAAUCUCUCAUUCUAUCCUAAUUUCACAAAUAAGUAAAUCGCAUAGUCAAUUCUAUGGCCUUCCUGAUCCCAUGACCAUCAAAACUUAACAAUUGAGAGGGAUUUAUUCACACUUCAUUAUUUUUAAAUAGUGAAAUCGCCUUUUUAUGCGAAAAUCGACACUUUUAGGUGAAGAUUCCCGGUUACUCAACAUUUCACUUAUUCAAAUUGCUAAGCAUACUCUUAAUUCCAAUACCUUUUUACGCGAAUGUUAAUAUUUGUAAAUGCCAACCCCCGGUUACUUAGUAUGUGAAUCAUUAGAGUAGAAAAAUAAUAUCAAUAUAUAUAUAUUUUUUUAAUAUUUUUCUUUUCCCUCUAAGCAUAAUUAAAGGAAGAAUCUAGCCUUGUCUUGACUAUAUCAAUCACUGAUAGGGUGUUAAUUGUUAGCAAUUUUAUUGUUAAUUUUUCCUUUUAUCCUUGCCAAAUAAUGUUUUAAUUAUUAAUAUUUACUUAUAUUUGGUUUGUGGACUUAAAUCGAAUGAACCAUCUUCAAAUGGCUGAUUCAAUGCAUCAGCCACUUCAAAAGAUAUCUGCUACGUAUGUUAUAGCAGCUGUUACGAAAAGGAAGCAACACUACUGAUCGAUCUUCAUAAUGUAUAUAUAUUACUUGGAACUUGCAAGCAAGUUCCGAGUCAUUUUACUAAAUUUAUUUGAAAUAAAGAUUUCAUCUGAAUUUAAGACUUGACAUAAUCAACAUUUCUAUAUAUAAAAAAAUUUUCUAUACGCUAGCAUACUUGAUGACUAAUCUUAAUUUGACUUUGAAACUUAUGCUUUGCACAUAUGAUAUGCAUUCAAAUCCAAUAGUGUCUAAGUUGUUAGUUAGUCUAUAGAGGUUAAUCAUAUAUAUUUAUAGAGUAAAUGGCAAAAAGUGUGACUAAACAAUUAACCUUUUAUGUCUUCUGGUCACUAGACUAUUUUUUAGUUUAGGAUUUUAACAUAAUUCAGUUAAAGUCCCUAAUUCUGUGAUUCAUGUAUUUUUACCCUCAAUUGGAUAUUUUUACCCCUAUAAGCACGCUAUUUCUUGUCCCGGGACUACCUUUCCAUUUGUUCUAACUCCAAAAUUUGACCAAACACAAAAAAGCUACAAUUUUGUUAGUUGACUAAUAUUUUUGGCUAAAAAAAUAGUUUAGUGAGUAAAUGAUGUAAAAGUUAAUAGUUUAGUAAUAUUUUUUGCCAUUUGCUCUAUAUAUAGAGUUUUUCUCUUUCCAAAUAAUAGUUAUUUAUGGAUCAUUUGGAACUCAAGUUAAACCUAUUUUUGUAUAUAAAUUUGAUAAAGUUCAGUCAUAAUUGGCACUACAAGAAAUUUGGCCUUUUGUGACAACAGAAAAGUUGUCACAGUUGAGCAAAUUUAGUGACGACUUUAGGUGUUGUCAUAGUUGACCGAGAGUACACUCAUCAUCAUUUCCAACACGGGAUUAAUUGUCACAAUAUGGGUGGCGUGCAACUGGCCUGUGUGGUGGGAAAUCACCAUUGUGAUGACUUGAAAAAAUAUUGUCACUGAAAUGGGCUCUACAAUGACUACUUACAAUGUUAUCACAAUGUGGUUACCGGUUCAAAGUUAGUGACAACAAUUAGUUGUCACUGUCUAAAGUAAUUGGUCAUAACUCACUUUCAUUAAUUCUACUAUGCCACCCUAAUUUUUUCAAUAUUUUCCCAUAUGUUGUAAAUAAAUUUUAUUAAUUCUAUUAUGGCACCCUAUCUUUUAUAUUUUAGCCCCGUAUGCAGUAAACUAAUUUCAUUAACUCUACCAUAACACGUUAUCUUUUGCAAUUUAGCCUCAUGUGUAAUAAACUAAUUACAUUAAUUCUAUUAUGGCACCCGAUCAUUUACAAUUUAGCCUAUGUUUUUCAUUAGUAAAAUGGGGAAGGUAUUGUAAUAAAAAUGUAUACAUAUUUUAUAAUUGUUCCAAACUUAGUUAGUAACUUGUUAUGAAGGUAAAACAGUAUCAUGGACUCCCUAUCUAGUUCUCUUGGCAACACAUGAAAAAUUAGUGAUCAGAAAAUUACUUGUGUGAUGACCUAGGAAAAUGUUGUCACUAAAUGGUCCAUAUAGUGACAACUUCCAACAUCGUCACUGUCGCUCAACCGGUUCAGAGGUAGUGACAAUAAUUAGUUGUCACUGUCUAAAGUACUUGGUCCUAGAUCAUUUUCAUUAAUUCUACUAUGUCACCCUAACUUUUGCAAUUUAGCCCCAAAUGUAAUAAAAAAAUUUCAUUAAUUCUACUAUGACACUAUAACUUUUGUAAUUUAACCCCAUAUGCAGUACACUAAUUUCUUUAAUUCUACUAUUACACCCUAACUUUUACAAUUUUGUCCCAUAUGUAGUAUACCAAUUUCUUUAACUCUACCAUUACACCAUAACUUUUGCAAUUAAGCCCUAUAUCUAAUUCGCCAAUUUCAUUAAAUCAACUAUGGCACUGUAACUUCUGCAAUUUAACCCUAUAUGUAAUAUACAAAUUUCAUUAUUUGUACUAUCACCCUAUGGUGUUGCAAUUUAGCGAUUUUUUUAUUAGCAAAAUAUAUAAGUUAUCUUAAUAAACUAUAUAUGUAUACAUAUUUUAAAAUUUUCCCAAACUUAGGUAAUAAUUUGUUAUAAAUGUAAAAAAAUUCAUACAUUCCCCAUUUAUCCAAAUGACAACAUGGUGAAAAAUUAAUAAUUUGGAUAACCUAAAAACAGAGGUAGUCAAUAGUAGAAUUUAAAAAUAAAACUUAAUAUGAAAUUAAGUCUAAUCCUAACAUUUGCAUGAUCAAAAGGUUGUUAUUAAUUAUAGAAGCCACAUUUAUCAUUCAUGAAUUAGUACAUAUACCAAAUAGAUAGAUUUAGCAUUUCAUACAUGUAUUUGUAAACUAUUUUAAUUGUUCAAUCAACUAAUUCAAUUGUCAGGUCUUGUUAGACUGCAAGUCAUACAUAAUUGAUAACACCACAAAAUGAGUACCAAAAAGAUUUUAAUUAAAAGAGUGUUUAUUUUUUUGAAUCAUAAACAUAUUUCUAACAAUAUUUUUUAUUUUUUGAACUAUUUUAUUGUAUAAUAAAUUAGAAAAAGGCCUAUAUUAGUUAAAAUUGGUAAAAAAAAAUCCGCCUAAAUACACUAAAUUGUCAUAUUCUAUUAUUUUAACACAACCUAAGAGUAAAAAUAAUAAUAAAACUCAAAACAAUAGAAAAACUUAAUUACAUAAAGAUGAGAAAAAGAAAAGAGAGAGAGAUAGGUGAAAGGACAAAGAAAGCAUGCACUUCUUGCAUCUAAAUAAGGAAAAGACGUGCUUUUAUAUGUACGGAACUAAGAGCGGCAAACUAAAAAAUUCAAAUGGUGUGGCGGGCUGAAGGGAUUUUAGGGAAACGACACCGUUUGAUUCUAUGUCCUAAUAACUUAGGCAAAAUUUAAGACUUCUUCUUCCUCUUUUAUUGUCCUCCUUACGUCACCGAGAAUGCCCUCCUUAUGUAUCAAACUUGCACUACCAAAUCCAUCCAUAAACCAAUUAGUGCAACACUUUGAAUUUGGGCAACUUUAUUGAACUUGCACUACCAACAUCCCUAAUUCACCUAUUGCACUGCCUUGGUGGCAAGAAAUCAGAAAUUAGGCUUACCUGGUUCAGAGUCACCCGAGAGAGAAACAGGACAUGGUGGAGAAGAUAAGAACGGGUACCGACUUGGUGUACUUAAGGGUUUUGUUUCAGGAGCCAAAAGGGGCUUUUUUGACACCAUUAACGGUGGUUCUGGCAAGUGGGUUUAUCCUGGGAGUGGUGGAUCUGAGGUGAACUUGGCUAAUGGUGGUGGCUUGUUCUCUCCCAAGGGUGCUAAUGGCGCUGCCAAGAGUAUUGGUGCUGGUGGAGUUGAGGGUGGAAGUCAGCAAACUUUUGUGGGUUCUGGGGUUGGAAAAGAAACUGUUCCUCAGUCACCUAAGCCGUUUAGGAGAAGAAGCCUUAGGUUUCUGCUGUUAAUGGUCAUGCUGCAGCCCCUGCCGCUAAGUAAAAUUUUCUGCUUUCCUCUGUUGUUUGAGAUUAAAACUACCAUGCUUCCUUAAUUCUUUUAAAGUUAGAGUAGCAGCAUGAUUGUAGAGUUAGUUGUUUUGGUCCUCUAGGUACCGUUGCCGUUCAUGUCUCCUUUGUUGAUUUUUGACCUCGUUAAUAAGUAGUUAUUACUCCAUUCAAUUUUUUUUUUCUUCUUAACUAGCUGAUACAAGAUAAUUCUUUGGUUGUUAUUGUUAGGACCGGUCCAAGAAUAAACAAACUAAAGUUAUAACAAAAUAGGCGGUAUAACCGAUCAUAUAAAGAUUAGGCAGUAGACACUAGCCAUAUAAUAAUUAGACGGUAAAACCGACCAUAUAAAAGGGUUAUGACAACCCAAUAAAGACAAAUAAUAAAGCAAAAUAAAUAACACAGAAAUUUAUGUGGUUCGGUCAAAUUGACCUACGUCGACAGGCGAGGGAGGAGUAAUAUUUCAACUAUGAAGAAAAAAUACAAAAGCAGUAGAAAAGUGGUUCCUAGGCCAAAAUGACACUUACAAAAGAUUUAGAAAAUAUUUCUAAACUUAAAAUAAGAGAGUCUAAAAUAUUUGACUAUAAAUGGGUUAGAUGACCCAAGAAACUAAUAGCCCAUAUAAUGCUCUCUUGAGUGGUGCAUUUAAAAUCUUCAUAAGCCUUCUAUAUUUAUAGGUGAAUUUAGGAGGCUUUCCUUAGGCUUCAUCCGAUGUAGGAUAAAAUUUUUCCACACACAAGUCAAAGAUUGCGGUUUGAAAAAUCAACAAAUCUCCACCUUGGCAUAAUUUUAGUUCCACCAUCGACAAUAGCACAACUGUUCCACCUUCUCCACAUAAGCCCUGAUGGGCCUAAAUCACUAACAAUGAACACCAACCAAGUCCAAGCACUGUUUGAACUUAUAAACUAGAAGAGGUUUCGUAAACAUGUCAGCAAGAUUCUCCUUGGUACUGAUUUUCUGAACAAGGACUUUCCCUUCAGCAAUGAUAUCCCGUAUAAAGUGAUAUUUCACAUCAAUAUGUUUCGUCCUCUCAUGAUACAUCUUAUCUUUAGUCAAGUGUAUGACACUUUGACUAUCACAAUGAAUAACAGUAACACCUUGACGUAGACUAAACUCGCUAAACAAACUCUUCAACUACGAGACUUCUUUGAUUGUCUCGGUCACAGCCAUAUAUUCUGCUUCUGUAGUAGACAAAGGUACGACAGGUUGUAGAGUAACUUUCCAACUGACAGCACAAUCGCUAAUGCAAAAUACAUAGUUUGAAAGUGAUCUUCUCAUGUCAAGAUUCCCAGUGUAGUCUGAGUCUACAAAACCAACCAAAGUGUUAUUAUUUUUUCCAAACCCCAAGCAUGCAUUUGAACUACCUCACAAGUAUCUAAAAAUCCAUUUCACUGCCUGCCAAUGUAUUUUUCCAGAACAAAAUAUAUAUCUGCUAACAACACUGACUGUUUGUGCAAUAUCUGGAUGAGUACAAACCAUUGCAUACAUAAUACUGCCGACUGCAUUGGAAUAACGAACCUGUACCAUAUAUUCUUCCUCUUCAUCUGAUUUUGGUGAUUGAGCAGCAGAUAGUCAAAAAUGGCUAGCAAGAGGAGUAGAUAUUGGUUUAGCAUCUUUCAUAUCAAAACGUUCCAAGACUUUCUCAAGGUAAUUUUUCUGAGUCAAGAACAACUUCCCUACUUCUUGAUCUCGGUUGAUAUCCAUGCCAAGAAUUUUCUUAGCUGCUCCCAAAUCUUUCAUUUCAAAUUCACUAUUUAACUGCAGUUUCAAAGUGUGAAUUUCUGACAAAUUCUUGACAACAAUGAGCAUGUCAUCAACAUAAAACAGCAAAUAAAUAAAAGAACCAUCAUUUAACUUCCGGAAGUAAACACAAUUAUCAUAAAUGCUCCUUGAAUAACCAUGACCCACACAUAAAGGAAUCAAACCUUCUAUACUAUUGUCUUGGAGAUUGUUUCAAUCCAUAUAAGGAUUUCUUUAAUAAACAAACAUGGUCUUCCUUACAUUCAAUUUUAAAACCCUGGGGUUGUUUCAUAUAAAUUUGUUCUUCAAGUUCGCCAUAUAAGAAAACUGUCUUAAUGUCGAUCUGUUCUAACUCCAAAUUAUACAUGACAACUAAAGCAAGCAAAACACGAAUAGAACAAUGUUUAACAAUAGGUGAAAAAAUUUCAUUAAAAUCAACGCCUUGUACCUGAUUAUAACCCUUUGCAACUAAUCGUGCUUUAUACCUCGCAUCUUCAACCUCUGGAAUACUUUCCUUCUUCUUGAAAAUUCAUUUGCAUCCAAUAAUUUUCUUAUCUGAAGGCGGCUUUACAUGAACCCAAAUUUCAUUCUGAUGAAGAGAUUCAAUUUCUUCAUUCAUUGCAAUCAACCACUUUGCAGAAUCACCACAAGAAAUUGCUUCUGAAUAGGUGGAAGGCUCACCAACUGCAUUAGUUUCUUCUGCAACAGACAAAGCAUAUACAACUAAAUUUGCAUAUAUUUGUGAUGGUCGAAUGUCUCUCUUUGGUCUAUCUCUGGCUAUGGAAUAUUUCUCUUCAUCUAAACUAUCUUCAACAGUAGAUUCAGGUGUAUCUACAGGCAUUUGUUGAAUAGAAGAUUUGGUCUGAGAAGGACUAGAACUGCCAAUAUCAAACUCCACCUGCUUCUGUGUACUAUCAGUAGUACAAGAACUAGAAGACUCCUUUUUAGAAGAUAACAUAGACAAUUCAUCAAAAGUAACAUAUCUACUGAUCACAAAUUUUAGAGAUUUGGGAUCAGGAUACCAUAAUCUAUAUCCUUUCACUCCAGAAGCAUACCCAAGAAAAAUGUACUUUUUAGCUUUAGACUCCAAUUUUCCAUCAUUCACAUGCAUGUAUGUUGGACACCCAAAAACUUUUAAAUUGAAGUAAUCAGCAGGAGUACCUGACCAAACUUCUUCAAAAUUUUUGAAUUCAAGAGAUGCAGAAGGAGAACGGUUGACAAUAUAACAGCCCAUAUUGAUCGUCUCUACUCAAAAGUCAUUUGUCAAUCCUGCAUUGGAGAUCAUACAUCUUGCUCUCUCCAAAAGCGUUCUGUUCAUACGUUCGACCACACCAUUUUGUUGAGGUGUCAUUCUGACAGUACGAUGCCGAACAAUUCCUUCAUUUUUGUAAAAUCUAUCAAAUUCACCUUCACAAAUUUUCAUGCCAUUAUCUGUUCUCAACCGCUUAACAUGUUUUCCUGUUUGUUUCUCAAUCAAAAUUUUUCAUUACUUGAAAGUUAGGAAAACAUCAUUUUUAUGUUUAAGAAAAUAUACUCAAACUUUUCUUGAAUAAUCAUCAAUGAAAGUUGUCGCGCCCCAUUUUUCGCGAUGGAAAAGAAAGUGUUUAUAAAGAAAGUGUUUAUAAAAAGAUGUGAUUUAUUAAUAAUAGAUAAAAAAAAAGGACCUAGAAUGGGACUUAAAAAGAAUGCGACAAUUUGGGUCCAAAAUUUAGUCUAAAAGGGUUUUUAAGAAAAAAUAGGAGUCGCCACUUGGUAUGGGGUUUUGGUGUACCAAGUCACCCAAAAAAUAUUUUUGACAAAAAUAAAAUAAAACCCUUUUCGACAACUCCAGGUCUUUGAAAACAGAGAAAAUGAGUUCGGGAGUCACGGUUGAAGAAAGGGAAGGCAAAGGUUCAAUUAAUUCAAACCUAAGGCACCCUUUCAACCUAGUCUAAGCUAGUUGCGAGGUUUAGCCAAAAUUUUCCUAAUCUAACCCUUGAUUUUAUCAUAUUUGGAUGUUUCUUACAUAGAUGCAAACCUAAAUUUAUAAAAUAUCGAAAAGAUCAAAAUGUUCAUUCAAGGGUUUAAUUGAACCAAUCACAUUAAUUGCGAAGGCCAAAAUAAUUCCUUGAAUGUGUCACGAGUAUGCAAAUGAUGAAAUUAAAAGAAAAGAAAAGAAAAUUAAAUUAUAUACAUAAGGUAUAAGUGAGCAAAGAAAAAUGAAUGCAAGCAUAACGGGUAUGGGGGACAAAAAUUCGUGACAUGAUUUUCUUAUGUAGGGAUUAAUGGAGUAUUUAAACUAAAAAAUUAUAAUCACCCCAUUUCCCAUAUUCAAAGAAUAAUUCUCCUAAUAUGAACAGGCAAAUGAACUAAUUUAAAUGAAAUGCAAUUCUAAAUGACAUGAUUAACACAUAUAGAGGAUAUGGGAUAAUAAAAUAGGGAAUAUCAUGCAAAUGAGAAAAGAUCCUAAAAAUGAAAAUAUGCAUGAAAAUGUGGUGAAUAGUAUACAAUGAUGAAUCUAGCGCAAAAUGACCUAAAGGGUCUAGCGUUGGACUAGCCCAUUUCUAAAAAUCCUUGCUAGCGUUGGACUAGCAAGUAAGCGGAGGGAGAAACCACAACUAGCGUUGGGCUAGUGUGGUGACGUCAUGCAUUAACAAUUCAUAGUGAAACAAAUAAAGCAUAAAUUAAAACAAAUAAACACAUAAGAGCACGUAGCACGUAACACGUAAGCAUAAUAUCUAGAUGCGAAAAUCCUAAGGAAAGCGGAUAAAACACAUAACACAUAAGCCACAUAAACACGCAACCUAUCUAUUACAUCGGGGAGCGCCUAACUACAAUCUAGAAGGGAAAAAUAUAAUAAAACAAAUCUAAUUAUCCUAUCUAUUACAUUUUUGAGGUAAUUAAAUGCCUCUUGAAUCAUUAUAAAAAAUUAACUAAACGAAUAUAAUAUAAGAAAAUUUAAAUGAACAUUUAAAUGCAAUAAAUAAAACAUAUAAAAAUAGAUAAACACAUAGGAGCACAUAGGAGCACAUAAGAGCACAUAAUUGACAUUGAAACAAUAAAAAUAGGGGUACCUCCCGUUUGAAGUGGUGACUAAAUGGAGUCAAAUUGUCCUAUUUAUACUCACAAUGAACAAAAGAAUCAUGGCACCACUUUAAUUGAAAAUAAUAAUAAUGUUAAAACACUAAAUUCACAUUAACACGUCAAACGCAAAGAAAUUUAAGAGCAUCUAAAAAUUGCAAGUUAAAUAUAUUCAAAAGUAACAUAAUUAGCUAUUAAAGAAAAGAAGCAAUCACAAUAAAAAAAAGAGUCAAAAUUCAUUAGGGACUGAAUUGCAAAAAUUGAAAAACUUUUGGGGACAAAAAUUAUAUUUUUCUAAAGUUCAGAGGUCAAAAUUAAAUAAAAGAUAAAAUUCAGGGACCAAAAUGCAAUUACUAUAAGGACCAAAGUGAAAGAAAUCAAAAUGUUCUGGGCCGAAGUGAAACUACUCCAAAGAUCAGGGGCUAAAGUGCAAAUUCGUUAUCAGAUCUUCUUAAGAAAACAGGCCACUGGGCCAUCAUUUUUAUUUCUUUGGGCCAAACAUUACCUAAGCCCAGCCGAAAGUCCAAGCCAAAACACAAGGCCAGCCCGUCUUCUAUCACUCAGACCCAACCAAAAUAAAGGCAUGGGCUCUGACCUUCUAGCCCAACCGAAAUUAAGAAACAAAACCAAAACCCAUUUACAAAACCCAACCAAAACUAACUCUUGGCCCAUCAGAAAAAUAAACAUCAGCCCAAAUCCUUUUUUUUUUUCUUUCUUUCUUUUCUUUCUUUUCUUUUCUUUCUUCUCUUCUUCCUCUUUUCUUUCUUCUUCUUCCACCGAGAAGCUGAAGCUUCUCCCUGCUGGCGGCCAUGGCGGCUGCCGGUGGCGCCGCCGCCGCCGACCGCCACCGCCGGUGACCUCUCCGGUCACCAAAAAUCCUCAAAAUACACCCCCUCACUCGAUUUUUCGCGUAGACUCCAUUUCCGGAGUUAGUUUUUACAAAAAAUGAGUCGAAAGCGGUCAAAAUGCCAAGAAAUCAGUUCAGUUUUUUAUUUUUUAAAACCUUCACAUCUUCACCAAAAAUCAUAAAAAUUAUGCCAAAACCCUCCUGAUAACUUCUACAUUACAACUAUAAUCUUAGUUUGACAAAUAAACAACAACAAAAUAAAGCAUUAAGUCAAAACAGCCCCAAAAAUGAAGAAAAUUAUUCUAAUGCUUUGAAGGCUCAAAAACUCCCAAAAUUUUGGAUAACCAAGCAUUUUCAGAUCUUUGCUAGCUAAUGGUCAUCCAUUUAAGCAAAACAUACACACCAAAUUCACUCCUUUGAUUCAUUUUUUCAUUCAAACAUUUUUUCAAACAUUUGGCAUGCAUUCACAGCACCGUUUCUUUUUUCCUAAUUUUGUUCAUGACCCAUCCCAAAAUUUCAUCCAUACAACACCAACAAAAACCAGCAAAAAUAAGCAAUAAAAAAAGUAACCACACAUACAUUCAAUCUAGUUAAUUAAAAAAAGAAAAGCUGGAAAAAAGGGAGAUAAAUACCUCAAUGAAGAGUUUGGUCCCUUUGCCAAGAUUUUUGAUGAAAUUGCCAAGCUCCAAUCCAACCGAUUGCUGCCUUGUUGUGUGCAAAUGUGUUUGGAUUUUGUGGAAGAAAAUGUGUAGAGGGAGCCCCCUUUUUUUUUUUUUGUUCCUCUUGUCUGAUGAGGGAGAGAGCCGAGAGAGCAAAUUGAGCCAAAAGGGUGGAGUCUUUUUUUUCUUGUCCUCUGUCCGUGAGAGCCGAGAGAGGAGAUUGAGGAAGUAGUUUUUUUUUUCUUUUGUUUGGUUUUUGUUCUCGUCUGUUAAGAGCUAGCCGAGAGAGGGAGGGAAAAUUUUUUCCUUUCUUCCUUCUUCUGUCCUGGAGAGAGCCGAGAGAUGUCUUGUAGCCAAAAUGGAGCUUGUGUGCUGAAUCUUCCAAAAUGAUGAUUUCUCAAUUAAUGAAAAGACAAGUCCAUGGCCAUUGAGUGUGAAAUGGGUUAAUAGUUAAUUUGGUGAAACAAAAUGAUCAAAAUGAUUUUUUGAUUUUUUUUUUGAUUUUUUUUGAUUUUUGUUGUUUUGUUGUUUUUUUUUUCUCUUUUUGUAAAGCAAACCUGCAAAAAUGAGAAAAUGUACAUUAAAAUACAAGAAAAUAAAUAACUUAUUAAAUAGAAAAAUCCUGGAAAAUAUUAAAAAUUGACAAAAAUUUGGUGUCUACAGCUUGCCCCUCUUUGUCUAGAGUUUCAAAGAAACUCAAGACAAAGACGUAGACACCAAAUUGCUUAUCUGUCUCUUGUAGCUGCACCUGAACUAAAAUAAACAAACCAACACUUGGCUGAAAUUAUUGGACAAAAUGAUGCAAUAACAUUGCAGAAAAUGUGACCGGACCCAUGUAGAGUUGCCUACGUAUCCCACCAUGGGAAUCAGGUCAAACGUAGUUCGAAUUACAAGUGAAUCACAAUGAAACAAGUGCAUUGACCAACUGUGGUCUUUGCAAAGUCGAAAAAGUCUGAGCUCUCAGAACUUCUAAACAUGAAACACCAAAUGAAUGAGAAAGCACAACAAUUAUUGGUCAAAACAGUCAAGAAAAGUAACUUGUCAUAAUUAGAAAAAGAUGCGCGGAGGGACGCGAUUACGCUCCAAGAAGGGGGAUAGAAGGGUACGCGGCGGACGCUGAGACUCACCAACAAAAAUUAAAUUGAUCUUUUUAGAAAAAGAUGCGCGGAGGGACGCGAUUACGCUCCAACAGGAAAUUAAAUUGUCAAGAAAGGGGAUAGAAGGGUGCGCGGUGGACGCUGAGACUCACCAACAGAAAUUUAAAUUGUCAAGAAGGGGAAGUAGAAGGGUGCGCGGUGGACGCUGAGACUCACCAACAGGAAAUUAAAUUGUCAAGAAGGGGAGGUAGAAAGGUGCGCGGUGGACGCUGAGACUCACCAACAGGAAAUUAAAUUGAUGCGCGGAGGGACGCGAUUACGCUCCAACAGAAAAUUAAAUUUGUCAAGAAGGGGGAUAGAAGGGUGCGCGGUGGACGCUGAGACUCACCAACAUGAAUUUAAAUUGUCAAGAAGGGGAGGUAGAAAGGUGCGCGGUGGACGCUGAGACUCACCAACAGGAAAUUAAAUUGAUGCGCGGAGGGACGCGAUUACGCUCCAACAGAAAAUUAAAUUUGUCAAGAAGGGGGAUAGAAGGGUGCGCGGUGGACGCUGAGACUCACCAACAUGAAUUUAAAUUGAUGCGCGGAGGGACGCGAUUACGCUCCAAUAGACAAUUAAAUUGAUGCGCGGAGGGACGCGAUUACGCUCCAACAGAAAAUUAAAUUUGUCAAGAAGGGGGAUAGAAGGGUGCGCGGUGGACGCUGAGACUCACCAACAGGACGUUGAGACUCACCAACGCGCGAAUUUAAAUUGAUGCGCGGAGGGACGCGAUUACGCUCCAACAGAAAAUUAAAUUGUCAAAAGGGGGAUAGAAGGGUGCGCGGUGGAACGCUGAGAACUCACCAACAGGAAAUUAAAUUGGCAUUCUUUUUCAACAAUUUGAACAAAGGCUCACAGGUAGAGGUUAACUGUGCAAUGAAUCGGCCAAUGAAAUUGAUCUUUCCAAGAAAACUUUCACAUCUUUUUGACUUUUUGGAAUGGGCAUAUCUCGAAUUGCUUUUAUUUUCGCAGGAUCUAUCUCUAUACCCUUUUUGCUGACAAUAAAACCCAAUAACUUACCAGCCGGAGCUCCAAAAGCACAUUUUGCAGGGUUCAACUUCAAAUUAUACUUCCUCAAUCUUUCAAACAGCUUCUUUAAAUCAACCAAAUGGUCCUCAACCUUCUUGGAUUUAAUUAUGAUAUCAUCCACAUAACCUCCAUCUCUUUGUGAAUCAUGUCAUGGAACAGGUAGUCAUGGUCCUCUGAUAAGUGGCUCCAGCAUUCUUCAACCCGAAAGGCAUCACUCUAUAACAAAAGUUCCCCAUGGGGUGAUAAAAGAGGUUUUCUCUCUGUCUUCUUCUGCCAUUAAAAUUUGAUGAUACCCAGCAAAACAAUCACCAAAAGAUUCAAUUUCGUGUCCAGCAGUAUUGUCCAAAAGAAUAUGAAUGUUUGGCAAAGGAAAAUCGUCUUUCGGACUGGCCUUAUUCAGAUCUCUGUAAUCAACACAUACUCGCACCUCCCCAGAUUUCUUAGGCACUGGCACAGGAUUCGAUAACCAGAUGGGAUAAUGAGACACCAUGAUUAUCUUAGCAUUGAGCUGCUUCACAAUUUGUUCCUUUAUUUGAGACUCAUUUCUGGUUUGAAUUUACGUGGCUUCUGCUUUACAGGUAAAAAAUUUGGAUCGUUGGCAACCUGUGAACCACUAUGUCUGUAGAGAUCCCUGGCAUAUCAUCGUAUGACCAUGCGAACACAUCUUGAAAAACAUUAAGAAUUCAAUCAUUUCCUCCUUUGUUUCCUAUUCAAAUGAAUGCUGACUUUAACUUCUUUAACCUCCGUCUUAGUGCCAAUAUUGAUGAUUUCUGUUUCUUCUAAGUUGGGUUUGGGUUUCUCUUCAUACUGUUUUAAAUCCCUUGAAAUAGACUCAAAUUCUUCCUCAGUAUCGCUCUCGCUUUGAAUUUCAGAUUGCAUGAUUUCAAGUUCAUGAGAGAUAUCGAGAUUGCAGCCAUCGAAUUCCAAAAUGGUGACAUCCAAAGGGUCAAAGGAUUUUAUUUGUGGCCAUCUGAAAAUAGAAUAGAACAUAAGUAAUAAACAAAUAGCAAAUACUGGAGAAGUUUUCAUUUCAUUAAAUUCAAAAUGCAUCGAGACUUCACAAAAAGAUAAAUAUACAGACAUGAUUGCUAUUUAAAGACAUAUUUAACCCAAACCUUUAUUUUCGUUUCAGCAAUUUUCUUGAACAAAGCAAGUUAUAUUAACUGAAACAAGAAUAAAGGUUUAAAAGAUGAAAGCAAUUUCUUUUAACAAAAGAUCCAGACUACUGUCCUAUCUGGAUGUGAUCUAGACAAAAGACAAUCCCCUUAAAUUUACCGAAAUUCCCUUCGAGAGGGAAGAUAAUCAGCAGUCCAAUUCUGAAUAGCUCCUUCGGUAAUUGGCAAAAAUUCUGCAUUCUCUGAUGGCUCCUCCUCACAAGUGCCCCGACAAAUAAUGAGACAGGUCCACUUCAAUCUCCUCCACAGGAUUCUUCGUUUCUGGCAUAAUCACCUCUGAUGGACGAGGAAAAGUGUGAUAUAGCGGGGGAUAUUUAAGGCAGUUUGCUUGCCCUUCUUUUCAGCUUGUUUCGAGCUUGCAUUUCCUUCUAUCCUUAGCAGUCGGAUGAAAUCCCAGUCCAAAUGUAUCCUUCUGCGUCGGGAUCUCUAUUGGCUCCAAAAUUCCUUGCAAUUCCCCCAAGACCUUUUCCUAUUUCAUAUCCGCCUCGGAUCAUCUCCCUAGCCAUCAUAAUACUGGCCUCUGGCAAAUCUGAUUGAGUCAACGACUUAUCCCUGAUGCCCAUCCUACAGAGACUAUGUCAGCAACAUGAUGAGAUGAAAUUGGAGUCCUUUUUGUUUCACCUUGAAUUUUGCAUCAACGAUCAUGGUACAGUCAUCCUCAGCAAACACAGUAAUGAGUGAUCAUUCAAUAAACUCAACAUUUGAUGCAGAGAAGAUGGCACUGAAUUGGAAGCAUGUAUCCAAGGUCUUCCAAGAAAAUGUUGUAAACACUGGAGAAGUCCAUGACUUGGCAAGUAACUUGGAAUUGAGCAGGGCCUAUCUCCAAUACCAGAUCUGCUUCACCCAUAGAUUCCCUCCUUGAACCAUCAAAUCCUCGAACCACAGUUGCAGAUGGACGGAGUUUAAUAUCAAGAAAUCCAAGCUUGGUGAGAGUGUUCCAUGGACAGAUAUUCAACGCUGACCCAUUAUCCACUAAAACCCUCGGCAACAGCUUUCCAUUGCAACGGACUAUAUAUACAAAGCUCUGUUAUGCCCGAUCCCUUCUGCAGUCAGAUCAUCAUCGGAGAAGGUAAUAUGAUUAGCAGCAAGUACAUUCCCCACAAUGUUAGAAAAUUUAUCCACCGGAAUAUCUUUAGGGACUUGAGCUUCGUUCAGAAUUUUGAGCAAUGCUUCUCUGUGCAGCUCGGAAGUCAAGAGAAGAUUCAGAAAAGAAAUCUGAGCAGGCAUCCUAUCCAACUGCUCCACUAUUUUGUACUCGCUUCUCUUUCAGCAUCUUUCAGAAAAUCUACAGCUUCAUUUUCAGACACACGAGGCUUGGGUGUCGGAGAUUUAACCUUGGCCUGGAUUGAACAUCAAUAUCAGUUUUUCACAAUUUCCCAGACUAGUAAUAGUAGAUAAUCUUCCUUUAAGCAUUUUAUCUCCAACAACAGAAUAGAUUCCUCGUAGUUCCAUGGUACCUCUUGCAAGUUAUUGACAGGCAUUUGUUCGGAAAUUCGAGAAUGACAGGCUCUGAUAUAUCCCAUUCAAAAGAUGGUAGAUCCAGAAUAAAAGGAGAUUGUCAACCUCAGAAACUCCCCUUUCAUAUAAAUGGCUCCUCUUUUUCAAAUACAAAAGAUUCAGUUUUCCUCAACAUUAUCGUUGGCAUGGACUUUUCAGACAGACAUUUUCUCAUUCUGCAUGGUCAGCUUCCAUUACGCCAAACGCCUCAGUUUCAUCUACAAUGUACUGAGUGGGAUCGAUAAAAUCUCAUCAGCGAUGAUAACUCCCACAGUACUCCCAUGCUCAGGUAAAGGAUUCUUACUACAUUCGGUCCUUGUUCUCCUUUCUUCUGAGAAGGAUGUCUCCAGAGUCAAUCAUGUCCUGAAUCUUAUGUUUUAGCCCAACAAUUGCCAGUGGUAUGACCUGGACUUCCAGAAUGAUAAGCACAAAUUGCUGCGUAUCAUAACCUGGAGGAAUGCCUUUGGGAUAAAGUUUGGGAGGAACGGUGCCAAUUUUUCCAGCUGCUUUUAACUGCUCAUAUAAUUGAUCAAUUGGUCGGCCCAAGUUGGUGAAAGUUCGAAAUUGUUUCUGGUUUGAAUCCAUUGGUUUGAAAGGAUUUUGAGAGGGUUAUUAUUUUGCAGGGUUGGUCUGGAAUGGUAAAUGGGACGAGUGUGAUUUUGAAAAACGGUUGUGGGUUGGAGGUAACGGUGAGGUAUUCAAGUGAUUUGGUCGGAAUGAUGGAAUUGGGUAGUGGUGUGGUAGACUGGUUGAGAUUGGUGUAAUACGGGUAAGGAAAAGAAUAGGUGGGAUGGUUUUGGGUCUGAAAGACGGGCCCUGAUCCCAUAUAAAAGCAGUUUCUCCUUCUUUCUUCUUGAAUGGGGGUUUUUUCCCAUUGUUGCUUUGAUUUUGUAGAGCAUCUAAUUGCAACUUUAAUGCAGACACAUUAACAAUCUUCCUGCUUUGACAAAUUCAUCGUAUCCUCCAAUUGUUAAUGAUAGCAGCAAAUGAACUUCCAGUCAUGCGAAAGAUCUCUUCAAAGUAGGGUGGAUCGUGAGCUUUGAUGAAAGUACGAACAAUCUCCUCCUCAGUCAUAGGAGGCUCCACUUUGGCAGCUAACUUUCUCCAUCGCUUUGCAUAGGUCUUGUGAUCUUCCGAUGGUUUUCUUUUGUACCCUCCAGUGUCGUUCGUGUUGGCGCCAAUUCACAAUUAAACUCAUAUUGCUUCACAAGGCUGUUGACAAAUCCAACCAGGUUUUGACCUCUUCAGACUUCAAAUUUGAAUACCAAUCUAGAGCAUCUCCCUCCAAACUUUCCGGAAAUAACGCAUAGGCAAACUCUCAUCAUCCACAGGUUUACCUAACUUGUUGGCAAACAUUUUGAGGUGCGUCUUAGAAUUUCCAGUUCCAUCAUAUUUGCUGAAUUUAGGGGUUUUGAAUCCCAACGGUACUGAAUAUUGGGGAAAAGACAUAAUUUAUCGUAGUCCAAACCACCAUGCCUGCUCAAAACCUUGAUUCUUUUUCAUAAAGUCGUCGAAUCGGUCCAACCUUCUUAACAGAUCUUUAUCAACGGGGUAGGUUGUUUCUUUCCAUCGCCGCCUUCCCUUGAGAUGCAGUAUCCAGUACAAAAGGCUCUGCAGUAUGUGGUGGGCCCCUGAGGUUGGGGGAAUGUUCAGAUUGGUUUGUGGAUGGGUUUGAGGAUUUGACUACUGGUUGGGUUUACCAAUACAUAAUUUGGAUGCAUAUAUGAAAAGUCUGAAUUUAAUCGGGCAAAGUAUUUUCAAGAGGGUUACGAAAGGAGGAAAGAAAGGUGCUUGGGUAUUGGAUGUGUGGGUGGUUGAUAGUCUUGGGCAGGUGGUGAUUAUCGAUAGGUUCUUGGUCGUUUGGGACCCCCACCAUUGUUGCUGGCGACCAGCUGAUCAAUUACACGCCUUUGUGCGGCCAUUUCAGCACUUAACUCACUGAACUUGCCAAGUACCUCACUUAACUGAGCUCCCAAUGCUGUGAAGUCCGGUGAUUAACCAUAGCANNNNNNNNNNNNNNNNNNNNNNNNNNNNNNNNNNNNNNNNNNNNNNNNNNNNNNNNNNNNNNNNNNNNNNNNNNNNNNNNNNNNNNNNNNNNNNNNNNNNNNNNNNNNNNNNNNNNNNNNNNNNNNNNNNNNNNNNNNNNNNNNNNNNNNNNNNNNNNNNNNNNNNNNNNNNNNNNNNNNNNNNNNNNNNNNNNNNNNNNNNNNNNNNNNNNNNNNNNNNNNNNNNNNNNNNNNNNNNNNNNNNNNNNNNNNNNNNNNNNNNNNNNNNNNNNNNNNNNNNNNNNNNNNNNNNNNNNNNNNNNNNNNNNNNNNNNNNNNNNNNNNNNNNNNNNNNNNNNNNNNNNNNNNNNNNNNNNNNNNNNNNNNNNNNNNNNNNNNNNNNNNNNNNNNNNNNNNNNNNNNNNNNNNNNNNNNNNNNNNNNNNNNNNNNNNNNNNNNNNNNNNNNNNNNNNNNNNNNNNNNNNNNNNNNNNNNNNNNNNNNNNNNNNNNNNNNNNNNNNNNNNNNNNNNNNNNNNNNNNNNNNNNNNNNNNNNNNNNNNNNNNNNNNNNNNNNNNNNNNNNNNNNNNNNNNNNNNNNNNNNNNNNNNNNNNNNNNNNNNNNNNNNNNNNNNNNNNNNNNNNNNNNNNNNNNNNNNNNNNNNNNNNNNNNNNNNNNNNNNNNNNNNNNNNNNNNNNNNNNNNNNNNNNNNNNNNNNNNNNNNNNNNNNNNNNNNNNNNNNNNNNNNNNNNNNNNNNNNNNNNNNNNNNNNNNNNNNNNNNNNNNNNNNNNNNNNNNNNNNNNNNNNNNNNNNNNNNNNNNNNNNNNNNNNNNNNNNNNNNNNNNNNNNNNNNNNNNNNNNNNNNNNNNNNNNNNNNNNNNNNNNNNNNNNNNNNNNNNNNNNNNNNNNNNNNNNNNNNNNNNNNNNNNNNNNNNNNNNNNNNNNNNNNNNNNNNNNNNNNNNNNNNNNNNNNNNNNNNNNNNNNNNNNNNNNNNNNNNNNNNNNNNNNNNNNNNNNNNNNCAAUCUUCCUUCUACUCGCUCAAAUCUGUCUGAAGUAACUUUUGCGAGCUUUUCCACUGCCAUCUCCCAACCAGGUUUAGUUUCAACUUGUUGUUGCCUUGAUUGAAAUCCCGGUGGAUUGGCUGGCCUUGGUUGAUUUCCUUGAUCCUUCCAUCCAAAGUUUGGAUGAUUUCUCCACCCCGGAUUGUAAGUAUUCGAGUAGGGGUUAUUUUGAGCAUUACGAUUGUAAUUAUUAACGAAUUGUACCUGCUCAGAAUCAACACACUCAUUAGUAUCAUGUUCACCUCCACAUAUAGAACAACAUGCUACAUGUGCAUUAGAUGAACUUGGACCAACUCCACUUUGUCUACUUAGCAACUUCAUCACAUUAUUCAUUUGAGUACUCAGCAUAUUGAGAGUGUCCAUUUCUAUCAUACCUGCGUGACGUCUUGUAUUACCUCUCUCAUUGGCCCAUUGGUAGUUGUUUGCAGCCAUUUCUUCUAUCAAAUUCUGAGCUUCUUGGGGUUAUUUACCCAUUAAAGCUCCACCUGCAGCUGCAUCGAUCAUAGUUUUAGUAGAAAAACUAAACCAUUAUAGAAGGUUUGUAUGAUUAACCACUCCGGCAGUCCAGAUGUGGACAUUUCCGAAGCAAAUCUCUAAACCUUUCCCAUGCCUCAUAUAAUGAUUCACUUUCUAAUUGGCAAAAACUAGUGAUAUCCAUUCUAAGUUAGCAGUCUUUACCUGGUGGAAAAUACUUAUUUAAGAAUACUCUUGAUAACUCAUCCCAUCCAGUGAAAGUAUUAGGAGCAUGAGAGUGUAACCAAAGUUUGGCCUUAUCUCUCAAUGAAAAUGGGAACAAUCUUAGCCUUAUAGCAUCAUCACUAACUCCAUUCAUUUUAAUUGUAUCACAAAUUUCCAAGAAUGUAGCUAAGUGUGUAUUAGGGUCUUCUACUGCAUUACCUCCAAAUUGAGAUUGUUGAACCAUUUGGAUAAGUGCUGGUUUAAUCUCAAAAUUGUUAGCAUUUACCGUAGGCCUUACUAUACUCGUUUGAGAUCCUUGUGUUCCCGGUAGAGCAAAAUCUCGUAGAACUCGCCUAUGUGCUUCGUUUUCUGCCAUGUCUUCUUCAAAUGGAAGCUCUAUUAAGAUAUCUUAUUGGCUGCCAAACCUCUUUUUCUCUUGAUGUGAUGUACUCCUCCUUUGUCUGUGUAAUGUUCUUUCAAUUUCAGGAUCGAAAUGUGCAACUUCUCGAUUUGAUCGGUGCAUACACUACAGACAAAAACAAGAGAAAUUUUGCAGUUUAAAUUCAACAACUUGAAAUAAAAAAAAAUGAAAAUAUCUAAAGUAAUAGAGAUGAUUAGGCCCUAAUAUUGCCGCUCCCGGCAACGGCGCCAAAAACUUGACGGGAUAUUUUGUAUCUAUACAAGUUUAAUUCCGAUUUUACACCCGUUGGACUGCAAGUAUACAGGUCGCAAUUGUAGUACAAGAUGUGUAUCGGGUCGAUCCCACGAGAAGCAAUUUAAACAAUUACUAAGCCCUUGUUCUCUCUAUUAUUUAGACUUACAAUUAAUUUGAGCAGAGAAAGUCUAAUGCUGUAAUCUACAAAUCUGAUAUACAAAUCUAGUUUAACAAAUACUGAGUACAAAUAGAGAAAUUUUACUUAAGGAAGAUUCUAGGGAUGUAGAUUCCACUUAUGGCAUAAACUACACAAAUGAAUGGAUUUACUCCUUGCUAUUAUUCUUGCUUAACCAGAGAUUUAUUUCCAAGAAUACCAAGUCUCAUUUUCAUGAUGAAAUGGCUUAGAGCAAUAUAGAUUUCCCUAUUUUCAUGGUGAAAUAUUCUACUACUCCGUUUUAUUUCAUGAAAUGCUCAAUAAUCCACCUAAGUGUAUCUCUAUUUUCAUGAACAUACAACUCAAGCUCUACUCAUGUAUUUCAAUUGUUAUUACCAAUUCUCAUUGAAUAAUAACACUAUAAAUAUGCUAUUGGUGAUCAAUCAACAACACGUAAUCACAGCUACACAAGUAGACAAGUUACUACAAGAUAUAACAAGUGUAAAUCACAUUCCAUUCAUAUUAUUUAACCAUAAGCUUCAUCUACUCCCUAGAUUAAGGGGUUUAGCUACUCAUGAAUGAUUUAAUAAUCAAACUCACAAGUUUAUUAAUGCCAAACAUCAUGAAGUACAAGUACAAGAAAGAUAAAAGAAAGCUUAGCCACUUGAAGGUGAAGCUCUCCAAUUCCUGCUAUGCUCUUGCACAAUAUGAUUACAAGUAAAAACUCCAAGUACUUCUCCAAGAACUCCUAUCUAGAGAGAAACUAGAUACCAGAAAGAAAACUAGUUACGUAUGGUAAUCCCUCUUCUCCCCAUCUUUCUGCAUAAAAAUGUGGUAGAAAUUCCAUUCCUCUCACUUCAUAAUUUCUUCCACUCAGAUUUUGUAAAAAGAGGUCAAAGAUAUGAUGUCUCCUUUUGUCCACAUUCAUUUGGUCUUCUCUUUUGUUGCAGAAGCAUGUGCCACCGAUUUCUGUCCCUCAAAAUAGCUGGAAAGUUAUGAAAAAGGUAAAGAAAAACGGCUAUGGCACUUGCUGAGGAGAGAGACAGAUCCGAGCCUCGGAUCCGAGGAGUGAAAAUUGGAUCCGAGCUCGGAUAUUAGGAUCUGAGGGCUUCCAUGAUGGAUCCGAGGUCGGAUCGUCCUGACCUCGGAUACACUCCGCCAGAAGUACAGACUAGGGGUCGGAUCCCUCUUGUACACACAGAUCCGUGCUCGGAUCUGUGUUGAACAAUUUUCCAGUUUUUCACUUCUUCCCUUUUUCUACAUUUUUGCUCCCAAUUUCUUGUGUACUUUGUCUUCUGAAUGACCCUGACAUUUCUUUCAACUUGUGCAUGAAUUUCAUACAUCAAUUACCUUCACAAUUUCACAAAAUUAACGCAUUAAUCCACUCAUUUAUUAAUUUCUGAACUCUUAAACAAUAUUUAAGCAAUUAUCACCAAAAGAGUUCAAAUAUGGCUUUAAUCUUCUCAAAACAUACCAAAAAUUCAUGCCAAAUUCGUACAAAAUGUACGUUAAAUAUUCACUUAUCAAGGAACCUCUUUAGGAAUUUGAUUGGUAUUAGGAAACCAAUCAAUUAAGCAAUUUGGCAGGGAGAAUUCAGCAUAUAGCUCUUGCUUAGGAACAAAGCAUAGUUAUUCUUGUUUUCUUGACCGAUUGACAAGAAGACAAUUGGAAAGCUUCGAACAGAUUUUUGCAUGGCUUGUUCUCCAUUAAUGGAGAACUAAUUUCAUAUUUCUAGUCAAGGGCGACAAUUGAAGAUUUGGUUCAACAAUAACUGUGAUCUAAAUUAUUUUAAUUGCUUCUUUCAUUCAUUGGUAUUUAUAUGUUUUUGCUUUAAUGGCUAUGACUACUGUGUAUGAUUGAAUAGUUGCGCAUAUUUAAUUAUUCACGUAGUCUAUUUGCUAAUUGGGGGUAGUUGAAUCCGUAAUUGUUUGAUUACUCCAUCCCGGUAGCAACUAGCAUGAUUGGUUUCAUGUUAGGAAAACGUAUGAUAUAACUUAAAUGAACCCUCGUAGUGUGUUUGUUGGUUAGAGUUGGGCUUUUCCAAUUCUUAUUGCAAUCGAAAAAUGAAAUCCUAUGAUCGUAUUUAGGGUUAUUUCUUGUUUGGUGAAAUAGUUAAUGAUCAUACCUUAACUAUCGAAAAAGUAAGGAAAGGCUGGUUGUUUAUCGCAUGCAUGACAACUAUAACCAAUCUAUUAAUGAGUAAUUGAAUUAUCUUUGCAUCGAUGAUCAGUUGAAUGAACCGUGUCUGAAAAGUGCACCUUUGAUUAGAAUCGUAUUGGUUAUUGAUUAAUUCAUGUUUAUUUCUGUUAGUUGUUUCAUUAGUUAGUUAAUUAGUUAUUUUAUAUUCUCCAAAAACCCCCCAUACUUCAGACCCUGGAAGAAACGAAUUAUCCCCAAUCCCUGUGGAUUCGACCCUACUUGCCCAAUAUACAAAUUAGAGAUUUUUCGUGAAUAAAUUCUGGUAUAUCGGAUUUAGCAAACUCUUCGGAACCAGGAUGAAUCUAGUAACCCAUUGCACAUCUAGAGUCCCUGCUCCAGUACCAGAAUUGACACGAAGUUGCUUCCGUUGGCAAUUAGGAUUAUUAAUAUUAUUAUUACACAGACUCGAUACCUGUCAAUACUCACCUAACAAACCUCCACCCGAGGAAAUUUUUUUUUAAAAAAAUCUACAUUAGGGUAUACAUUAGCAGAAAAUGAAAAAAAAAAAAAACUUUAGACUGCAAUCUAGUAACAUGUGUCCCAGGUGCACAAAGAAAUUGAAACAUAUAGAGCUUUGAUUGUCAAAAGUAGCACUAGUACUCCUCGGAGUUUAAUUCAAAUACAGAUGAUCAAAUAUGAGUGACGCCUUGCGCAUAGCGGCAAUAGAAAACUAUGAAAGGAUAUGCCACGGUGUGUCAGCCAACCGUCUUUAGAGUUGAAAUUCUUUCAGGAGCUUCUGUGAUUGUAUGGUUUUGUAAUCUAGCAGCAUCAGAUUUUGUGAGGCGAUGCGUUGAUGAAACUUGGGUAUUGGUAUUCAAUCCCAAGAUCUUUCAUGUAAAAUGACUCGGAUGCGGCAAAAGCCUUGGAUUCUCUGCUCCGGUCAACUUGAAAUUGGACUAGUCCCAGCACUUUAGGAAGUUGGUUAUUAGCACAUUUAAAUUUUUAUACUAAUUGUAGUAAGUAAUAUUUGGAGGGACCAUAAGUUCAGGUUGAAAAGAGGCAUGGUGAAAAUCUUUCCAAAUACAGACCCUACUACUUGUACAAAUAAAAGAGAGAACAAAAAUAUAUAACCCAUUAACACAUACUAAAAGUUUUUACAGCAAUUACAUGGUGAAUUCAUUAAAUUAGGCAUUUGGUUGACUUUGACAUGUGUGUCAAGUCAAAACAUUGUCAAAAAUUGCAACUUAUUGUAUACUGAUUUACUCGGCAAAAAUAAAUUUAGUUAAUUAUUUAUUGAUAGGAAAAAACUUUUAAAAUUUUGUUUUUCUUAAUAGAUACAUCGAAUGCCAUUGUUAAUCUCCACGUACUUUGAGGCACCAUUAUUGCCAACCUUGCGUCUAAGCAUUUAUCCAUACAAAAAUAGGUGAUUUUAAAAGCUAAAGACAUUUUUCAACCUUUAAAUGUAUUUUAAUAUGCAUAAACAACACGCUUAACCGCAUGUAUUUAUAAACUUUGCCACUGGAUAAUGCCUAAUUGGCCGUAACAAAUGAAGUUUCGGUACUUGAGGUGACGCACUAGUGAAACCAUGCAUUCCAGGGAUAAGAAUUAAACUUGGAAAUCUGAAAAAGAUAACUAAAGAAUAAAUAUUAGAAUCAAUAAUAUAAAAAAAAAAGUUUCCAAAUCAAAUCAAAAUUAUUGAAAAUUGACCAAAGCUCAAAUCCAAAUCAAAUAAAUCCUUACACGUUAAACCCACGAGAAACCUGUUAUCAAGAGGUGCAAUUACCACUUGAUAAAACUCCAAUGUAGCUAUCACCUCGUGGAUCACACAUAUGUUGGGUCCUCUUAAUUAUUUUCAGUUGGUACGAAAUCAUUCAGAUAUGAUUUCCGUGACAAAUUCUGAGUGUAACGCAAUAUUCACCUCAACCAGUUGAGACAUUGUCUGAUAACCAUGAAAUUUGACUCUCCAAUUCUUGGGUUUUGCCUCUCUCUUUAUAAGGUGUAGAAUGUGGGUUUUCUUUCGAAUGAACCUGGUUCUAAAGAAUGCUAACUGGCUGACAAUUGCGGAAGUUUUUGUGCAUAUCUCUACCAUGAAGCCAAUCAAAAUGUGAAUGGACUAGACAUAAAGGGCAGUAGUUUAAAAUUUGUAGUGAAAUUAACUUAAUUACCUCAAUGGGAUUGAACUAAAAAAUGCAAUCUUCUAUUCAGACAAAAUUCAUAAGUUCUAAGUUCAUUAAGAAAGAUCAAUGCCUGUCAUAUUAAUGCAAAAUUAUUGAUAACAACAAGAAGGAUACUUUUAGAGGUGAUAUAGUCUAGAGUCCAUGCAUCUAACCCACUCUCUUGACAUAGAUCGGAGUUCAGUGAGCGUUAAACUCAAGUCCAUUGGCCAAAAAAAAAGAAAAAAAAAAAAAGACUCAAGUCUAUUCAAAAAACCAAACAUUGGACUCCAAACCAGUGAUGUCGAAUUGAUUAUCCAUGGACGCUAAAACCGCCAGAAACAAGUCAUCAAGAGGUGAAACUACCACAUACGACAAUACCCAAUUAUUUAGCAAAUCAAGGAUAAGGAUUAGGACUGUCAAUGGGGCUGAGCCAGCCCGAGCUCGGCUCGUUCGGCCCGACAGAAAACCCGAUGAGCCCUAUCAUUUAGUGAGUCGGUCUGAGCUUGAGCCUAAAAAUUAGGCCCGAAUUAAAUGUGAGCCGAGCUUGGGCCUUAUUAGGCUCAAACCCGAUAUAGGCCCGACCCUUUAAUUACCUAUAUAUAUAAUAUUUAUAUUUUGAUAUUAUGUAUAAUUAUAUAUCCAAAUAUAUUUUUACUAAAUACUAAAUAUAUAUAUAAAUUACAAAACACAAAAAUACAUCUAAAGACUCUUUCAUGAGCUUUCUUGAGAGCCAAUAUUAGUAAUGCAUAACUAAAUCUCUAAUUUUUCUUAUUGGUUGAGUAAAUUUUUGUAUUGGCAUAUUAUUGGUUGAUUUUUUUUUGGUCUACAAACACAAAAAUCAUCAAGCAUGUUCGGAUUUAAAUCACAAGAUUAUAAAAAAAAAGUUUCAACUUUUAAAGAUGCAUUGGCUUAUGAUCGCAUGUUUUAUUACUAUUUUUCAUGCAUUUUAAACGGAUUAAAUAUAAAUAUUGUUGAAAAUUUUUUGGUUUAUAUACUUUUUAAGAACUAUUAUUUGUUCAUGUUUAGUUUUAAUAUUAUAGUCUUGUAUAUGUUAAAUUAGUUUUACAACUUAAUAGUUAUAGUAAUUAUAUUAAGAAAAUUAAGGAGUAAUAAGUGAGCAUGGGCUAAACCCGAUUAAGGCUCACAACCCAAAUAUUAUAUGAGCUAAGUAUGAGUUUCACAUUUACGAACCCGAAACUCAUAGCCCGAAGCCCAAAAAUGUUUCAAAUUAAAUGAGUUAACUUGAACUCAUCAAAGCCCGGCUCAUUAGGCCCGAUUGACAGGCCUAAUAAGGAUCAGACAAGUAUCAGGGUAUUAAUAGUCCUCUAUAUUAUUUAUUUGCAGCUGGUACGAAGUCAAUUAAUCAGAGAUACCCACCAAAUGACACAACUUAAGACUUGAAGGAAAAAUAUGAUUGCUGAAGAAUCGUUAUCAGAAUCAAAUCAUUGCACCUUAAAUACAACUUUUUGGAUUCGUUAGGUUUGCAUCGAGGUGGAGAAGAUCUCAAUUACAUACAAGCAAUUAACAGCAGAAGAAACAUAGCUUUAAUAUCUGAUUCUAGUAAUGGUUUCUGGCAAAGAAUACGUUGUCCUUCACGAGUAAUGUUUCUAGAAACAAUCUUUAUAUUUUUGUGUUUAAAAUAACUUGAAGAAUACGGCAAAAGUAAGCUUUGGUUUGUGGACUGAUGAGUAAACACUAUGAAAUGAUGAGUAAACAUCAACACUAUAUGUCUGGAAAGAGAGGAAUUACAUUAUUUUUAGCAACAAGGUUACUAAAAUUGGGGGUUAUUAUAACUUUAUCCCUUUAAACUAUAGUGCUAAUAUCAAUUUACCUUUUUAACAUUAUUUUGCAGGCAUUUGACCUCGCAGUUAUUCUCCUUUUUCAUUCUAAAGGACCAAGAAAAAUGUAAAAGGGUUCCCUUUUUUUUUCAUUCUCAACUAUUAAGAAAAAAAAAAAGAAAUUGAAUAGAGGUUGACAGAAAACUCAAUUUCAGAAAAAAGGAAAAUAAAGAAGAAUCCAAUAUUAUAAUUAAUUUAAAAUAAGUUAGAGUGGGCGGUAGGGGUGAAGAGUAAGUAGUAAUUUUAAAAUAAUAAGCACAUUGGAUUCUGUAUUAUUUUUAUUUUCUUUUUUAAAAUUGAGUUAUCUCUCUAUUUUCUUAUUUUAAGUAUUGAUAAGUACACGAGGAAAAAAAGAAGAAGACAUUUUUUUGACUUUUUUCCCCUUGUUAUUAAAGAGGGUGGAAAAAAGGGAGAAGACACUUUUUUAUUUUUUUUCUUGGUAUUAAAAGGGUGAAAAGGGGGAAAAAACCAUUCCAAUUUUUUUAAAAUUUUUAAUCAUACAGGAGAGGGAUGUAUUUCUUCUAAAAUAUUAGGUAAAUUAUAUAUAAUUUCCUGUGUUUUCAUCUAUUGCCACAUGAUUCCCAAAACAUUUUAGGGUUUUAUGCGGCUGAUGUAAGGGAAAAAAUUCAUAUUAAUACCUUAAAUUUCCCUUAAGGAGUUUUUAUAUUUAAAUCAAAUUAUUCAAUGAAUAUAUUUUUGUUUUUCUCCUAGUCUCAAAGAGUCUUGCCUCAGGCCUAAAUCAUUUCCGCUAUAUUCCUUUGGCCAAAUUUACAAUCGUAUAUUUGUGUUUGUAGCCGUUGAUUGAACUUUAGUCUUAGGAAAAAUGAUAACAAAUGGAAAGAGUGAGAUACAAGUCAAUUAAAAAACAUGAUUAACACUAGAAUUUGUGAGACAUGGAGACUUGGAUUAUAAAAAGGAUAAGAAAACUUGAAUAGGUGAAAAAAGGUGCAUUAAAACUAUACGAAAGAAGUAGCAUAACAGUGAUAUAGUAUUUGGUGAUGAGCAGAUUCUUGGUGAUAUGUUUUUUAAGUUUGAUAGGCAUUUUAUUACUUUUGGGAAGAUUAUUAUAAUCAUUUUGAGUCCUUAAGAAAAGCAUGGAAGUAUAAUAUUUGAAUAUAGAGGUGGGCAACGUGAGAUUAUCAGAAAUCUUAGAAGAAGUUUUUGAAAUUAUCCUUUGCUGUAAUACUAUUCUUUUUUUUUUCUACUUUGUGAUUAUUGAUUUCCACAUUCACACUCGAAAUGCUAAGGCAAAAAGCAAAAUUCAAAAGUAGUGGGUUGGUGGCUCAGCUCAUAUGAUUCUGAAAUACAACGAUUUAUUGGGCACAUUCUACCCAGUAUUGUCUGUUGGCAGAUUUGGAAAGCAAGGAAUAAAGCAAUGUUUGAGGAUAUUCAGAUGAGCCGCUUGCCAUUUGUCGUGCCAUUUUCUCGGAAAUCCAGACCAUUGUGGGAAUUUAUUUCAAACAAGUGUUCAGAGUACAGUCAUUUCAUCAUUUGUAUGAUUGGUCGUAUUCUUCUCAUACUGAGGUUACAUACAAACUUGUUCGUUGGGAAGCAAAGGAAUCCGAUCGGUUCAUAUUAAAUACGGAUGGCUGUUCUAAGGGCAAUCCAGGGAGUGAGUGGAGGCGGUGGGGUUCUUCGGGAUUCAAAUGGCAUACCUUUGAUUGGCUUUUCGGCAUAUCUUGGGGAAACUACAAGUCUAUGUGCAGAGGUUCGGGCACUCCUUAUUGGGCUUCAAACUUGUGUACAUAGGGGUUUUCAAAAUCUCUAUGUUCAAUCGGAUUCUUUAUUAUUAGUUGGAAUUCUUCAGAAUCGCAUUCAAUGCCCCUGGAAGAUUCGACGAGAGAUUAGGCAGAUUUGGCAGUUGGUGAAAGAUCCUGAUCGUUUUUCGCAUUGCUAUAGGGAAGCUAACAAAGUUGCUGAUGCGCUGUCCAAUGUGGGCGUAUUUCAUCCAGAGCAUCAAGUCAAGCUUUACGAGGCCUUUAAUUCGUUCCCAACUAUGGCUCGUGGGGCCAUUCGACUUGAUAGAUUAGGAAUGCCUUCAAUUCGGAAAAGUAAGCGUAUGAAGGGCUGAGAACAAAGGACAACUGGAGCUAAUAUGCGGUUGCGGUUGCGGUUGAAUGAGACAUGGAGGUUUUGUGUGCUUUAUUACCUUUUCAGUCGAUUGCUGUACUUCGAAUUGGUCUUUCUCAAUGUGUAAAAUUUGCUCCUAUCAAUAAAAUAAACUAAUAUUUAAUUAAAAAAAAAAGCAAAAUUCAAGGAUGAAAAUGAAAAAAAAAAAAAAGACAAGGUUAUAAACAUAGGGAAAGACUCUAUAUUUGAUUAAUGCUAAAAUAUUAUAAAAUGAUUAUAGAAUUUCUUUUUCAUUUUUUAUGAGUGACAUUUUUAUUAAGAAAAUUUAGUAGGGGAAUGAUGGGAUUUAAAAAGUGAAAAAAGAACAAAGAGAUCAAAAUUCAGGAUCUCUAAUUCUUGGGAGUAACAUGAUAAUAUUAUUUCUAAAAAUCCAAUAUCAAAUCCUAUUGGUGUAAUAUAAAGGAAUUUGGAUGAUUGAAGUGUUUAAAAUAUAAAAUACUUCUAAAUUAUAAUAUCUUAUUCAUUAGUCGAAUGUGGAAUCUUAUGUUUGUUGCCCCUUUCUUUUUUGCUUUGGAUUUGGGUUUUGAACUUUGAGUAUGAAUUGAGUAAGAUUAUAGCAUGAGAAGGUUCAUCAUGUUCAUUUAAUUAAGGUCUUCCUGCAUUUAAAAUGGGAGCUUACAUGACAAAAAAAAAAGAUUAAAAUGGUAAUAAUUUACAAAAGAGCAUCAUAGUGGGAACAUUUUUCCUAAAAAAGGUCAUUUCAGAACUAAAUUCCGUGAAUCCAUGGUUUCAUGUGGGGUUUCUUUUCAUGGACGUGAUUAACAUCAUGUCUCUUAUCAUUUCGAUGAGGAUUAUUAACAUCCAAGUCCUAGAGCCUGAUUGCAUUAGUACUAUCCUUGGCCUUGGGUAUAAUAUCACAAGUUCCUCCCUGUAAAGGUUGCAAUGCGUUUUAAGAGAGUGAGAAUUAAGUAUAUCACGGGAAAAAAAAAAUUAAUGGCAAAGUAACUUACCAGAACAACCAACAGAUGGAGGAGGAUAAUCCAACAAGCAAGUCCUUUGGAAUCCAUCAAUUGGUAGGUUUUAUAUCCCUUGCAACUCCUCCUUUGAAGGAUUAGGCAACAGCAGAAGCAAAUGCCAAAUAUUACAUAUCGAUGAAAAGUGUGCUUGAUUAGAAGGUUCUUUUUCAAAUAGUCGAUUAAAAUAUGACCCCUUGACAGAUAGUGUUUCUUAUUGAGGUUGAAAAAUGAACCAAAUUAUUUGAUACUCAAAUCAAAUUUGGCUAAAGAAAAGUUUGUUUGAACUUAGUUUGCCAACUAAUCAAUUUAAAAUUUAAGAAGUAUUAUUAUGUGUUAGAUUAACUAUCAAAUUUGGCAUUAACUUGGCUUGAUUAACAUAAAAUUAGAAUUUACAAGUAAAAAAUUCAAGUUACUCAAGUUCGACUCAUGCUCGAUUCUAUAAAAAAACUCAUUUGAGUUUGGCUUAAUUAAUAAACAAGUCAAAUUUGAAGACCUUCCUCUUAAAAAAAUUUUUAAAAAAUCAAGUUUGAGUACAGUUUUAAGUUUAUUAAAUAAUCUAACAAGUUUGAAUACUAGAACAUUGAAUCUAGUAGACCUACACAAAAUCACUAAAUUUAUUUUAGACCAUAACUGUAGAUUGUUUAGAAAAAAAAGGACCAAAAUGUAGACCUACCCACGUGACAAAACCAGCCACGUGAUCCAUGCUGUAACCUUGCUAGCUUCACUUAGCUAUCGCCUUGUAUAAAUAGCCGUAUACCCCAAGAGUCUUUUCACCACCAAAGUUACAUUUUGAGGCUUGUCAUAGGCAAGGCAUGGCUUCAUCUAUCACUCUGAUCGCAGUCUUUUCAAUUGCCCUGGUAAGUUCUCAACCAUCAAUACUGUACUUGAAGUAGUAGUUCAUACGAGAUAAUUGCUAGACUGUAUAGGAAUACUGAUGAAACCCGUGAAUUAAAGCUACCUGAGAAAACACAUUCUUCUUCCUUUUUGCACAUUCAUCUGCAGCUCUAACCAUCGCCACUGAAGGAAUGGAAGCUCUUCAGAUGCUCUGUAGUUCUAUUCUGAUAAAAUCUUGACUUCCAAACAUUACCAAUGCUGGUACCAUACUUAAACGUCAAUGUAACUUGAGUAAUGGCAUAUGACACUAUUUACCAUUUUUUAGUUGGAGGAUUCAUCCGGGAAAGCUUGAAGGUCAAAUCAAUACCUUAAAAUCAACAAAUGAAUAUUCCUGUUGCCAGUUGAGCUCGUAUUUGGACAUAACUAUCCUUCCCUACAAGGGGUCAUCUUUUACAGUGCUACCAUCAACGUACCUAUAUGGCUAUAUUGACGUUAGUUUCUUUUAUGGUGAUAUUUGCACUAAUGUGCAGUUUGGAUGCAUCACGGAAGCAAGGAAGAAUCCUACGGACUUUUUGCAAUCUGCUGUCAUUAAUGAGCAUACUGAGGACAAUCACCAUGCAGAGCCGUCCCCUUCCAAUCAGAAGAAGACAACUAAUGGUAACACAUUGAAAGACUUUGAGUCGAAGCGUGGCUCCCAUCUCUUCUAUCAUGGCGACGACGCUUCUCCUCUGGUGAAAGACUUUGAGUCGAAGCUUGGCUCCCUUCUCUUAUAUCAUUAUGGCGCCGAGGAGAAACCUCUGAGGAAAGACUCAUUAUUUGGCGCUCCUCUGAGGAAAGACUUUGAGUCGAAGCUUGGCUCCCUUCUCUUAUAUCAUUAUGGCGCCGAGGAGAAACCUCUGAGGAAAGACUUUGAGUCGAAGCUUGGCUCCCUUCUCUUAUAUCAUUAUGGCGCCGAGGAGAAAACGCUGAUGAAAGACUUUGAGUCGAAACGUGGCUCCCAUCUCUUCUAUCAUGGCGACGACGCUAAGCCAAUGAAAGAUAAUUAAUGUCCAGGGAAGCCGCAACUUUACCUCUGUACGGACUACGGACCUGUGUCUCUUCUAGCUGGUCCGUUUUUAUCCAUUGUCUUCUUUCAACCAAGCGUUCCGUAAUAAAUGUCAGUACAGUUGAGUGCAUUUUCUGUUUCUUUGUUUGUUGUUCUUUUUGCCAUUUACCAUAUACAGGAAGUGCACAAAAAAUGAGCACUAUUCAAGCAUUAUAAGAAUCGUAGAGUGAGCGAACCGCUUUACCUUGAUAAUCUAAAAAGAGUUCUGCAAACUCGUACUCUUGUACGAAACCAGGACCAAAUAUAUAUAUAUAUAUAUCGAUUCAAUUUUCUAACUAUGUGUGUGGUACGAAUGCACAUUAGAAGUACAGAAAAUUCUCGAGUAAACUUUCACAAAAGAAGGGAAAGAAUGGAGAACUCUUGAAGCGUGAUUGAUCGCUACUCUUAGGAAUUUAAUUAUCCAUACUACACUAAGUAUUUGCUGUAGAGAUAUGGUAAUUUAACUUUAAGAUACAACAAGAGAAGAAGCAGUUGAUAGCAAAUAUCAAGUUUCUCAAACUAAGAAAUGAUCAAAUAAUUCUAGCUAGUUUUGACAUUAAAAGGCUUGUUUAUUUACAGGUAACCUUGUUUUCUUUUUGUCCCAAUUAUUUGACUUUAAACUUGGUUCUGUGACAUGGAUUCUACGUGUUAGUAUACACAACACUAAUCCUAAACAUUAAGUGAAAAUCAUAUUAUGGGUAACUGAGUACCGCAUAACUUGCAAUUAUCCACUUACGCACUCAAUAUUAUUGGAAAUUACAUGGAUUUUUGUUUCGGUAACUCUAAUUAUAGUCUCAAGAUCCAUCUUAAUUGAAGGGGCCAUUAUGAAUUAGAUGAACAUGAAAUUGUAUUUCGAUUCUCAAGCUAAUCCCUUCCUCUUUCUCCAUUGUAAGGAUUAGUCUCUCUUUUUUUUUUUUAAGUGCUCUAAUUAUACAGGAUUAAAGCAAGUAGCAAUGGUCUAUAAAAGGAUAAAAAGUAAGCAGGGGCAUAUUUAUUAAAACAUGAAAAUAAUAUGAAAUUUUAUAAUACGCAUGAUAUGAAUAAUGAAUUGUACGUCAAUAAUGCCAAUAUAUUUGAAAAGUACAAAGCUGAAAAUACAGCUUCACUUACUAUGUGCAUAAUAAAUAUUUUAGCGAAGAUUUUUUAUUUUUAGUGUAAGUGAGAAAUUUGAACUCCAAACCUUUCACUUACACUCUUUUUUCAUACCAUCCAAUCCAUCCCUACAUUUUUAUGAAGAUGAGCACAUAAUGUGAGUUUUUAUUUUUUGAGGUGAAUAACUUGUUCACAAAAAAGUUUACUCGAUUUAUGUAAAGUUUAAACUUUGGGCUGUCUAAACAACGCAAGUAGAUGGCACUAGGACACAAUUCAUUAUGAUGACUUCAUCCAAGGUAACGAAAAAAAAGUUGUACAAUUGCACUUAAAAUUUGUGAAAUUUAUAGUACUAUUUCAUGGUUUAUCCUCUCAAAGUUAACAACAAAUAAUGCUUUAAACUCCGUUUAAACAACUUAUGAGUGUAAUUCAAAUUUAUUGCUCCAUUAUGUAUGUACAAUGUAUCAAAACAGAAGAGUAGCAAAUUGUGUUUUAUUGCACUUUCUGUUUAGCUAGCUUCAUGCAAAUUAACCUUCGUAGAUUAUAGGUAAAGAAUUGGUUUGCCAUUCAAUGUAUCCAAGAAAUAUGUGUUAGUACAUAAUGUUUAUUUCAAUGGAUGCACAGGUGUAAAACAAAAUUACAAAUUAUUAAGUUUUAAACUUUACAAGUACUUAAAGCACAAUAAUUUUUAUUAAAUUAAAAUUUUCCCUCCUGUGAUUUGGUAGUUUAUCAUAUAACCCCUCUAUAGUUUAAAAAUCUAACACAACGUCCUCAUAAUCUAGGUUAACAUAUCAUCAUUAAUUUUUCUAUUAAAACUAACAAUCAAUAGUUCAAAGUUUAAGUCAAAUUAAUAUAUUGAAAAAUUUACCCUUUCACUAAUCUAAUUCUUUGAGGUAGUUACAAAACUAUUACAAUUAUUAUACACCUUAAACUAUGUAUUUGUUUUCAAGUAAACACAAAAGAUGCAGCAGACCAUUUUUAGCCAAGUUAAUAAAAUUGCAAAUGUAACAAUAUAAAGCACCCUAUCAAAAGUUACUCUAUAUGAUUAAGAAAAUAAUUUAUAUUUAUUCGAAUGGAAAAAAGUUGCCAGAAGAGGGAGACACCAUAGGAAAAAUAGUUUAGAGUGAACUGCAUCAAUCAUGCCUUCCAUCGGGGGGAAAAAAUGAUAGAUGUGCGUGUAUAUAGAUACAUACACGCGCAUUUAUGUAUGUGCAUGUACACGGACGUGAGGUUGUUCCUUUGAAAAGUAGCUUCUCCUGCAAUAAUCCAAAUUCUAGGACAGUGGCAGAAAUGGAAAAGUAGUAUAGGCUGCACCGAAAUCUACUAAAAUACAAGCUUGAAAUUCAGAUAGAAAUCGAAAUACAUAAAAAGAUCAGAGCUUUUUUUUUUUUUUUUUUUUGAGGAGAUAAAACGUUCAAAGCUGAAAGCAGAACCAGUCUUUGAGUCGUAGUGUUAUUUAGAUUCAAGUGAAAGACGGGGCACACGACCAAUACAGCAGCCAAAUAGAGAUGGAAACUUGAGCUCUUGGACUCUAUGGCCGAAUGAUAGAGCCCUAGAUUGGAACCAGUGCAAAGCUUUCUGCCGCACUAACAUGGCAAAUAGGGGAGGUCCCGGAAGGCAAUGUGACCAUGGCUCCAGCGAGGGGUAUCCAUGUGACAAACAACUUCGAUCUUUUCACCAUCCUCUCCGCUUAGCAAAAUCCUAUACACGCCCGAUCGUGGCCUCUUGAGCAUGGUGUUAGGAAAUUAGUUUAAUUUCUUUUAGAUAGAUUUCUUGUUUUGUGUGGAAGUAACUAGUUUUUUAAUUGAUUUUGGUUACUUAAAAUAGUAGUCAAGAAAUUUCCUAUUUUAUUUAGGAUUAGAAAUUAUUUCCUAUUCUGGACAAGUCUAGGAAUUAGAAUUGGUUUCCUGUUGUUAUUUGGGUUUUUGAUCAGAUAAUAUUUUCCAUAAAUAUGUGGAUUAGCAUACUAUACAAGAGACACACAAGGGGCACACAAGAGGCGACAUGUAGCCCAAUACAUGGGUGGAGAGAGAGAGUUCUUGAAAGAUGAGAGAUGGUAUAUAAAGAUUAGAUUUUGGUUUAAGUUGUAUUCUUGUAUAGGAUUUUUUUCUCUCAUAAUAAAGAAUGAGUUUCUCUCCGUGGACGUAGGCUCAAUAGUGGAACCAAACCACAUUAAAUAAAUAUUGUGUCGUUUAUCUUUCAUACUUGUGACUUAUUUAUUAUUAAUUAUUGUAUACUUGAUAUCUUAAUAGUUAUUUGUUCUGCGCUUGAAUCCUAACAAAUAGUAAUAAAAGAUUUAAGGAUAAGCUAUGGUACGACAUGUCAUCUUUGGAGUUAAAAUCAUUUCAGGAACUUACAAGAUUGUGUUGUUUUGCAAUCUAUCUGGAGUUGAUCUCGUGGGCUGUUAUGUCAAAAAGACUCCAAUAUUGCUCUCCGACCCUUGAUUUUUCUGGCAAAUUCACCCAAUGACUCAUAGGAUGUGACACAAGUACUCGUCUCUCUCCGUUGAUUGGCAUCCUCUCACACUCUCAAAGUGUAUUUUCCAUCAUCUGGGCUUUUCGAGAUCCUUGAGGAAUCGAAAAGUGUUCAAGAAUGUAAGGGAGUUGCUCUAGCUGUAGCAACUGACAAAAUUAUCCUUGAUUGCUUAUUCUGUCUACAGGGCUGAAUGCACAUGCAUGUGGCAACAGUAUAGCGCCUGUUAAUGGAGUCUUGGUGCUAUAUAUGGCCCAUUCUUAAGCCAUGUUUUGUUUGAUUGGUUUCUAAAAGCCAGUGAUCAUACUGAGACCGGAUUGCCCCUGACGAAUUUGAAUUAUGGAGGCGAGUCCAUUAUUUGAUCAAGAACCACCCAGAUUUACUAGAUGGCAAGCCAAGAUUUCAAUCUCAUCGAGCUCUUUUGCAUUCAUUGUAUUGCAUGUACAAGACCAUUAGUUUCGUUAUGUUAACAAUAGUUAUAGAUGCACAUGCAUUAACAAAAAAAGUAAUUUUAGUUUAUGUACAUGACUCAGGAAAAAAUAUACCAAUAUAUAGUAAUUCUUGAUAUAUAUAUAUAUAUAUAUAUAUAUUGAUUGCUAGUUCUUGUACGUAACUCAGGGGAAAAAAUUUUAGUUCAUGUACAUAAAUCUUGACGUAUGUGUAUACCAAUUUUUUUGAAAGUUAACUCAACCAAGCACAACUGGACCUGCGCCAAUCCCUAAUCAAAAUUUGAUGCACAUGCCAUAAAUUAAAAUAUAAAAAACUUAACAUUGGAGAACUAAAUGCGGCAAAAGAAUAAAUAAUAUAAGACUAUUGUACAACAUCAACAUAUGACACAAGUCUAUUGUACAACAUCGUCAAAUUAAGAAAAAAACACACUCAGAAUACAUAGAUGUUCUGUACAGUCCCUAAAACUUUUUUUUUCUUUUUACUAAUUUGAUCCGGCCCACAGAACUCUCGUCUUUACCGUUACUAUUUCAACUUCUAAUUAUCUUUAGGGAAUUAAGAAGGCCUUACUGUAUAAUAGGUCUGAAGAAAAGUUAAUACACUGUUAAAAUAAGUGUAGAAGAGUUCAGCCAGCCAUGUCUUUGCCUUGUUGUUAUAGUGUGCUUGAAUUUUCUCCUUCACAUUAUGAAAAUGGUGACAUUGUGCACCCCGCAAGUGUUUAUGUCUUUAUAAACCUUCAACAAUUCGUCAUCACUGCCCAAAGUUGUGAGCAAUAUCCUUUUUUUCCCUUAGUUCUUUCACAUCCUUGGGUUGUCGAUCAGCGAUUUCAUGAACUCAAUAUAUGCUGUCACUGCUCGGUCAGUGCUGGUACUUGGGCACAUUUCAUAGGCAAUCAUAUUUAAAAAGAAAACUUUGGUGUCAAUCGAAACAAACCAAAUUGGAACUUCAAGUGUUGCAUAGAAAUAACCUGAUUUGAACUUGAUGCCCUUCGAAGAAUCAGCACUGCUGGUCCUAAAGUGAAUUCCCUUGGCCUUCAACUCCGUGGCUGAACGAAAGCAAUGAACGUAUUUUUUCGUGCUAGAAUCAUUGUCAAUAUUUGAUCUUCUCCACCGCAGAAAACAUGGCAAAUUAUGAAUAUACUCGUGAAGAUUGCUGCAUCUGCGAAAAUUUUUGAAGUGAUUGAGACAGACAGCGUCAUUGCUGGCCCUAGAUUUUGGAGAAAUUGGUUUGUCUUUACAGGAUUCAGAGACAAGAACUGGCCAGAAAGCGUCCAGAAGAUGAUGGGGUAGGUCCUUAUCUCUGCUAGCUAUUCCACUCCCCUUGUAAUUCCCGAACACAGUCCUGUUCAAGAACUCGUUGAGCACCUCUUCACCUUCUUGUUUCCCAUAUCUCAAACACAUCAGAAACUUAAGAAGCUAGAAAGGAAUUUGAUUUUCAAGUAAAACAUGUCACGAAGUACAAUCGCCGAUACCAAAUCACCAAGAAAUAGCGUGUGAUGUAAAAGUUUGCGGCACUUUUGCAUCUAGAAAUUAUGUCGUUGAUAAUGAAAUAGGCAUCAGGAAGCAUCAUUUGUCACUACAAGAAAAUUGAUUUUCAAUGACAAGCCAUUUCUGUCACAAAAAAAUGAAAAGUCGUCACUGAUAACUUUUAUUGACAACUUUCUAGUUGUCACAGAGUCGUCACUGAAGGCCCGUCGGUAAAAGUACAUAGUGACGACCUUAAAAGUCGUCAGUGAAUGGGACUGUUUUGCGACAACUGAUGUCGUCAAUAAUUGUUGUACUUUUUAGUGAUGACAUAGUAUCUUGUCAAUGAUAUACAAAGUAUUGUUGUCACUAAAACUAAUUCAUAGUUGUCAUUGGUAUAGACUAAUUACUGACAACAGGUUGUUAUCAAUGGAGAAUUCUAUGACAACAGGUUGUUAUCAAUGGAGAAUUCUAAUUCAGUGACAACACUUUAUCACCAUGAAAUUUGAAGAUUUUCCUACUACAAUUAUAUCUAAAAAUGAAAAAUAAUAUAUCUUACAUGCCAUUAAAAAACAAAUAAAAGUUGUAACUGCAUUAGAAGCUGCAUGCCAAUAUACCACAAAUUAUCUCCAAAUGUCAUAUAAGUUCUAGAUCGUAAAAUAAAUGUUUCAAUAAGGGGUCUAGGAGUCCCAAAUUUUACAUCAAAUUAAGGUCGUUUUACAAAAGACUACUGAAAUAAAGAAAUAGAAAACUCGUGAGUGAGCUGCAUGAACAAAAGACAUAUUCAACUCCAAUGUCGGUCAAUCAAACGCAUGGACUCUAGUGUUGGAAAUUUUAGUAAUAUUCAUUGAUCUUCCAAAAAGGUUGAAUGAACUGCCAUUUUCUACAUUAAGGAAGGAAAAUAAGUAGUGAAUACAAAGACGAGCAAAACAUCAAAGUAAAAGCAACUUUGGUUAGCUUAUCCACCCAAAAAUGCAGUUGAUUCACAUGAACAUAACAAAUUAAGUAUGCAGAGGCCCCGUCCUGGGCCGGGACACGUGGUAGCCCAGGUGCGGUCAAACUGGGCCUGAGCCCCAGGCCCUGGCAGCCGUCCGGGCUGCGUUGCUAGGGCUCCUGGAGGGGCUGAGAAUCCAUCCCGAAGAGGUCGGAGACAAUCCCCCAAGUGCGGGAUAAGGGCUAUUCUGGGCAGGUCCCGAAACGUACGGAGGUCGGACUUCCGCACAGGUAUAAAUGGUAGAACACAUCAACUGUACAAGGUACGCUCACUAUUGGCAAAUUGCUCCCGGCUGUUUAUACUUCCCGUGAAUUCUUCUCAUCGGAAAACUAACUUGGUCGUCGGAGCGCCCUCGAGGACCGACCUCGGGCCCCCCGUUGUUAGCUCAUUCUUAUCUGUUUUGCAGGCUUGGAGCCAGCUCUUCCAUCAGCAUCCGAGCUCAUCAGUUCAGCUCGGUCCGGGGAAGCUCAGCGCUUCUUCAGUUGGCGCCGUCUGUGGGAACCGGAAGAGGUAAGUGCAGUUGUGCUGAUGGCGAGGACGCGAUCCAAGCGAGCGGUAGAGAGCACCGGCCCUGGAGGCGGUGAGGGGUCCCAACGAAGAGAGGCUGAGGCAUCCCGGGGCGCCGGGGGCUCAGCCCUUUUAGGAGAAAGGAUGCAGCAGAUCCUCCAGUUCGUGACGGAGAACCUCCCCAUGCUGGAAGACAUCAUCCGGCAGGCGAAGGAGGGGGAGGAGGCUGGAGGCGCGCAGACCUCCAAGGCGAAGGGGAAGGAGAAGGAGCCGCUCCCCGAACCCUCGAAGGAUGAGUCGCACGACCAACCCCCCAGGAGGAAACGGCCACGGACGCCGCCUCGCCCGCGAGCCUCGAAGUCGGAGACAGCGAAAGGUACUCCCGCUACAGGUCCACUGGGGGCAGGCCGAGGGGCCCCUCGCCGAGGAGGCCUGCGAGGAAUGGUCUUGCCCGCUCCCCAGCCCGCUCUGCCAAGAGCCGACCGCGCAAUCCCCUUCACUUGAAGCCUGUCCAAGACGAGCUCGAGCAGAUCUUGCGGCCGCAGCUGUACGCGGACAACUACUCCACCUCGCCUUUCCCCGGGAGAUAGAGGAUUAUCCCCUGCCCCGGAGGUUCAAGAUCCCAAUCAUCGAGAUGUAUGAUGCUUCCACUGACCCGGAAGACCACCUCUCGGUUUUUCUGACGCACAUGCGUCUGCAAACCGCAGCGGAUGAGAUCCGUUGAAAGACCUUCCCUAUGUUCCUGAAGGGGAAAGCUCGGCUCUGGUUCCAGGGCUUGGCACCAGGAUCUAUUCGGAGUUUCCCCGAGCUGGCUAGACAGUUCGUCGCCCAGUUCGUCUCCUCGAAGACCUACGCGAAGAACGCCACCACCUGAUGUCUAUCAGGCAGAAGCCCGAUGAAUCGCUGAGGAACUUCAUGACCCGCUUCAACGCGGAGAGCUUGCAGGUCAGGGACAAAGAUGAAAAAGUGGUAAUGGCCGCCUUCACGAACGGGCUCAGGGUAGAGGAGCUCUUCUACGAGUUGGCCAAAAAGCCUCCCAUAAACCUGGAGGAGCUCCUAACCGGGCGCACGCGGCCGCCAACGCAGAGGAGGCAGGUCGCCUGAAGAAGGAGUCAGAUCGGAGCUCGGAGAUCGGAAGGGUCGGGCGAACCCCAAGAGGGCAAGGACAUCCCGGCCAAGAAGAAUGUGUUUGAUCGGCUCUCGAAGGAGAAGGCGCCUGCUCCGCCGCCACUCCCAGAGAAGAGCUACACCCCUCUGACACGGCCUAGAGCUCAGAUCUUGGCUGUUAUGGAGGCGGAAGGGCUGGGAGAUCGGCCGCCUAAGAUGGGGACACCUCGGAACAAGAGGAACCAGGACCGGUACUGUGCCUUUCACCGUGACGUGGGACAUGACACGGAGGGAUGCUGGGCCCUACGGAAGGAGAUCGAGGAUCUGAUCCAGCGUGGUUUUCUGGGACGGUUCGUACGCCAUGGCAGGUCGGGCCAGGAGUCCGGGCGCCAUUAUUAUGGAGACCGGCGUGAGGGACAGCGCCGCGACCGCCCUGAGCGGCGUGACGCUCCUCGGGGCCACUCUCCGACCAGGACAUCCAGAACUUGGCGGGGGUGAUCAACACCAUCGCCGGAGGCCCCACGGGGGGACAGCCAUACAUCUCGGAAGAGCAAGCGACCGCCCCCGAAGGGGACGACUCCUUGAAACGCUUGCGCAUGGACGAGGAGAUUACCUUCGGACCAAGGGAUGCGGUCCCCCUGAUUUCCGAGAACCACGAGGCCAUUGUGAUAGACAUCGUCACCAACAACUACCGGGUGAAGAAGGUGUAUGUCGACCAAGGUAGCGCGGUUGACAUUAUGUUCUAUUGGGUGUUCAAGGAGUUCGGACUGAAGGAUGACCAGCUGACCCCGGUUCGGACACCUCUGGUGGGCUUCACUGGACCACCCAUCAGCUCGGAGGGGAUGAUCACCCUGAUGGUCACGGUAGGACAGGCUCCCAAAUGCCGGACCGUUCCCGUUAACUUUGUGGUGGUCAAGCAGUCGUCCCCGUACAAUAUGUUCCUUGGGAGACCUUCUUUGAACGCCCUCCGAGCUAUUUCCUCCACUUUCCAUCUCAGCGUCAAGUUCCCCACCCCUGGAGGGAUAGCCGAGGUGCACGGCGAUCCAGAAGUAGCCAGAGCUUGCUACCUGGCCACGCUCCGCGGGCAGGAAAGAUGGUCGCCCAGACAACCUGUUUGGAGCCCUACAUCCCGGGGGAUGAGGCCCAUCGGCUGGGCACCCAGGAUGAGGUUGAGGAGUUCCCCUAAGGGAGGAUCGGCCCGACCAGGUUCUCCGCAUUGGAACCUUGUUGCCCGCCAAAGAGAAGGAGGGCUUGAAGGCCCUGUUAAGGGAAUACUCCCAAGUCUUCGCUUGAUCGGUGGAUGACAUGCCCGGGAUUCCGACAGAUCUGGCAGUCCACCAUCUCAAUGUGGAUCAUCACUUCAAACCAGUGAAGCAGAAGAAGAGGAGAUUCGCCCCCGAAAGGAAUGAGGUGAUCAGGGCGGAGGUCGGCAAAUUGCUGGAGUCCAAGAUCAUUAUGGAGGUCUACUACCCGACCUGGCUGGCCAAUCCGUCCUGGUGAAAAAGGAGGACCAGACCUGGAGGAUGUGCGUUGACUUCACGAACCUCAACAAGGUCUGCCCGAAGGACUGCUUCCCCCUGCCAAGGAUCGACAGGUUAGUGGACUCUACUGUGGAUUUUGAUGUCUUGUGUUUUCUCGAUACUUUUAAGGGGUACCACCAGAUCGAGAUGGCGGAGGAGGAUAGGGAGAAGACCUCCUUCAUCAUAGAGGAAGGAACUUAUUGCUACCGGACCAUGCCAUUCGGGCUGAAGAACGCUGGAGCUACCUACCAGCGCCUGGUAAACAAGCUAUUCCAAAAUCAGAUCGGGCGGAGUAUGGAGGUGUACGUGGAUGACAUGAUCGUUAAAAGCCGAACUGAUCAGCAGCUCGUCCCCAACCUGAGGGAAAUCCUGGAUAUCCUUCGAGAGAGCAGGAUGCGGUUGAACCCGAAGAAGUGCACCUUCGGGUCAGGUCCGGAAGGUUUUUGAGGUUCUUGGUGUCCCGAGAAGGGAUCCGGGCAAACCCGAACAAGCUCCAAGCUAUAAUGGACAUGGCCCCUCCGAGGAAUGUGAAGGAGGUUCAGCGGCUCACCGGGAGGAUGGCCGCAUUGAGCAGGUUCCUCUCGCGUUCCGCGGUUCGGGGCUACCCUUCUUCCGCGUCUUGAAAGCGCCGAAAGAUUUUCACUGGACUGAGGAAUGCCAGAAAGCUUUCGCCGACCUGAAGGCUUAUUUGGCUGAGCUGCCCACUCUGACCGUCCCAGAGCUGGGGGAGACCCUAUUCCUGUACCUGUCCGCCUGCAACGAGACCGUCAGUGCGGUCUUGGUACGGGAAGACGGGCUCAAAGACCGGUGUACUACGUCAACCGAGCUUUACAAGGGCCAGAGACGCGAUACACGCUGGCCGAGAAGUUGGUUCUUGCCUUGGUGCAUGCUGCUCGCAAUCUCCGCCCUUACUUCCAGACUCACAGCAUUGUAGUCCUGACUGACCAGCCCUUGCGUCAGAUACUCACCAAGUCCGAGGUCUCGGCAGAAUGACCAAGUGGGCCAUCGAGCUGGCUGAGCACGACCUUAGUUAUCAGUCUCGUACAGCGAUCAAGGCUCAAGCCUUGGCGGACUUCCUUGCCGAGGGGGCUAGCUUGACCCUGACCGACCUAAUCCCCACACCCACGGACACCCCGACGGAGGAGCCGUGGGUGCUGUUCGUGGACGGCGCCUCGAGCAAGGAGAGGAGCGGAGCUGGCCUGUUCCUCACCUCGUCCACCGGGGAAGAGCUGACCUACGCCCUUAGGUUCGACUUCCCGACAUCCAACAACGAAGCGGAAUAUGAGGCCCUGUUGACAGGGUUGCGGAUAGCCCACCAAAUGGGCAUCACCGCGAUCCGGAUUCGGAGCGACUCUCAGCUCGUCGUCCUCCGGAUCCGUGGGGAGUAUGAGGCCAAGGACGAUGUAAUGAAAAAGUACCUGGUUAAGGUACGGGAGGCAGUAGCCCUGUUCGGGACUUUUGAAAUCGAGCGGGUGCCAAGGUCCCAGAACAAGCGCGCGGAUGCCCUGUCAAAGCUGGCAUCCUCCUCGUUUGCCCACCUGAGCAAGGAGGUCUUGGUAGACGUGGUGAAGCAGAAAAGUAUCGACCAGGUCCAGGUCCUGGCGAUAGACGGCUCGGCCACCUGGAUGGCUCCCCUCAUUGACUUCCUCAGCUCGGGUGCCCUCCCUGAGAACAAAACCGAGACUCGCCGAAUCCAGUUCCGAGCUGCCAAAUACGCCUACGCCGGGGGAACCCUCUACAAGAGGUCGUACUUGUCCCCCUGGCUAAAGUGCGUGACUCCCGAGGAAGGUGACUACGUUCUGCGCGAAAUUCAUGAAGGUAUAUGUGCGGCACAUGUGGGGUCCCGGGUGUUGGCCAAAAAGUGCCUCAUCUUGGGCUACUACUGGCCCUCCGUCUUCCGAGAUGCCGCAAACUUGGUACAGAAAUGCCGAGCUUGCCAGGUGCACGCCUCGCUGCGCCAUCAGCCAACUCGGGAGAUGAUCCCCAUCCAUAGUCCUUGGCCCUUCGCUCAAUGGGGGAUAGAUCUCCUGGGUCCCUUCCCCCGAGCCCCGGGGAGGUAUGAGCACCUCGUGGUGGCCAUAGACUACUUCACAAAGUGGGUGGAAGCGGAGCCCCUGGUCUCUAUCUCCGGGAGGGCAAUUCAGAAGUUCUUCUGGAGGAACAUAGUUUGUCGCUUUGGGAUUCCGCACGUCCUGAUAUCUGACAACGGGCGCCAAUUCGCAGAGAACCCAUUCAAGAGCUGGUGCGCUGAGAUCGGGAUCGACCAGCACUUUACGUCAGUCGGCCAUCCCCAGGCCAACGGCCAGGUGCAGAAUGCCAACCGAACCAUCCUCCAAGGACUGAAAACCAGGCUGGAGCUGGCCCAAUCCAACUGGCUGGAAGAGCUCCCUAGUGUCCUCUGGGCUUACCGCACCACGCCCAGGACGGCCACCCACGAGACCCCGUUCUCCCUCACUUACGGGGUAGAAGCAGUGGUCCCCGCAGAGAUCGGCCUCCCCUCGCUCAGAACACAGAACUUCGUGGCGACAUCCAAUGACGAAGAGCUGCGGUGCAACUUAGACAUGCUCGAGGUUAAGCGUGAAGAAGCGGCAGUUCGAAUGGCUAGGUACAAAAGCCAGCUCGUCCGCUAUCAUAACGCCAAAGUGAGGACUAUACGGUACCAACCGGGUGACCUCGUUCUAAGGAAGAACUCGAUUAGCCGAGCUCACGGAUCCAACAAGCUCGACCCAAACUGGGAGGGCCCAUACCAGGUCCUUGAGGUGAGCCGAGCUGGCUACUGCAAGCUCGCUGACAUGAAUGGAUCUGAGGUACCCCGUACUUGGCACUUCUCCAAUCUACGACUGUUUGUAGCGUAGGGUAGACCAGGGUGUUCAAGUGUCUGUUCUCUGGAAUCUGAAUUUUUAUUUUUGUCAUUCAAUAAAAGUUCGACUUUAAAAUUUACAUUUCCCUUGUUUCUGUCUACUUUCAAAGUUUUUCAAGUUUGCACCUUGCACUAGCACACUUAGCGUUCCUCGCUAAGUGUCCUAGUGGGGGGCUAAGGGUAGUGAAGGGGAUCAAGGUGAAAAGAGAUCAAGGUGAAAUGUUUGGCCCAGGAGGUCGGCACAGAGGUGAAAAGUUCGGCCCAGGAGGUGCACGGCCUGAAAAAACUUAACUGGGAAGGGUUCUGAAAACUCCGUGCUCGGCCCAGGAGGUCGGCGGGAAGGAAUUCGAAACCUGAUACUCGACCCGAGAGGUCGGCAUGGGUUAAAGUCUCCAAAGCUUCCAAGUUAGUGCUCGACCCUGGAGGUCGGCACGAUCGGGAGCUUGGAUGGAAAGUGAUGCUCGACCCGAGAUGUCGGCAUGGGUUGAAGUCUCCAAACCUUCCUGUGCUCGAUCCAGGAGGUCGGCUCGAUCGAGAGCUCGGAUGACAGGUGAUGCUCGACCCCGAGAGGUCGGCACGACAGAGUUGGAGCAAGCAAGAAAUGCGAAAUAAGUCUUCUCGAGUUUUAUAUGCAUUCAAAACCUAUCUAUUACAAAGCUUACAAAAUCUCUGAGCGGCCUAUCUAUUACAAAGCUUCCGAGUUACCUAUCUGCUACAAAAUGUGCUGAGCCAUGAGGAGAAUACAGCUCGAACCCCCUUCUUCUUGCUGGUAGUUCGUCUGGAGCAGGAGCUGAAGGUACACCUUAAACAUGCUGAGAGGCGUAUGGUGAAGGCUUUCCAGACGGGGGAACUUUCCGUCUCAGAUGGACCUCCAAAAGCAUUUUCAACUGGAGCAUGGUCACAUCCUUAUAAGAAAACGGAAAGGGUUUCUGGGUGGCCGCCGCCCUAAACCACCGGAUCCUUCCCGGCAGCCUGCGGGAGACUUGCUCUCCUCCAAGGGGACCUCCGCCAGCUCGGCCCAACGUUGGUUCGGCCUACCAACUCCUUCAGGGCAUGCCCCUUGCGGUACCCAUCGAAGAGCCAGUCCAGCCUCUCCUCGGCCGCGGGAUUGUAGUCCUUGCAGUCCGCCAAGUUGAAGCCAGGAGGGUUGAGGCUCUUCACCUUGUCCAGGGCCCGCGUAGCGCCGACCUGGAGGAUGGGCAGGUUAAGGAGGGCGAUGUCCUCCUCAAACUGCUCAGAAGAAAGGAACUCCCGAACAGCCUUCUUCCGCUCCCGGCUGACGGUGCCGGAGAGCUCGAUGGCGUGCUCCUCCUUCAGCUUGGCCACGCCGGUCUUCUCCUGGUCGAUCUCCGACCUGGUGGAGGCGAGCUGGACCUGAGCGGUGUCCAGCUCCUUCUCGGCCUUGUCCAGUUUUGCCUUGAGGGAGCUUGCCUCCUUAAGGGCCUGGGAGAGUUUCUUCUCCGUCUCCAGAUUCUUCUUCCGCAAUUUCUCCAGGUCGGGAGACAGUUCGGAGAAGCGGGUCGCCAGGGCGGCACCAGCGGCGUUGGCCUGAAGGGGAAAGAGGACAGGUCAGCACGUCACACUACUUAACCGAGACACGGAGGCAAAACUAUCCCACGGGCUAGACUUACUUGAGUUUGGGCGGUGUAAUACGCGCCCAAGAGCUCGGAAGGGUCGGCCGGCUCCAUCCACCUCCUGUCGUGGGGGAGGACCGAGCCCACCAUCAGCUCGCGAGCCACCUAUGGAAACUGGGCUCGGUCGUUGAUGGAGAGCUCUCAGGACGGGCAGAAGUGGCGGGGGUCAUGCAUCGUGGGGGCUUGGCCCGGUUUCAAGGGAGCAACGUGGCGGAAGUGCCACAAGUUCGGAGGAGUUGACUCCUGGGCAUGCUCCUCGGCGGAGCCCACGCCCAGGUGGACUGGCCCCCCGAGGCCAGCGGGCGGAGGGGCCUGAGCUGGAACCAGCGUGAGUUUCUUCCCGGGCUGGGAGGGCUCGUCCCUUCUACCCCUCUUCUGCCGACCGCCUUCUUCUUGCUGGUGGCCUGCUUGGAGGGGGACGGCUGCGGCGCCUCUUUCUGGGGGCUGAGCCGCCCCCCGGGGUGGGAGCCCCCCUUGGGCCCCCUGGGUAGUCCCGGGCUGGGGGCGGAGGUGACCUCCUCAAUAGGUGCGCCCAGCAACUUGGAGAGGUUCCUCACUGCAACGAACACAACCAGAUAAGCAAAAGGCAGGGCAGUUUAGAAAACCACAAUAUACUAUAAACGCAACAGGGGCAAAGCCAGCGUUACAGGUGUCGAGUUUGGGCUCGGGGUUACCACUUCCCCAGAGGAUCCGGACAACGUCCCUAUCAGCCCGGCUGCGGAGAUCUGCUUAGUGGAGAACCUGGUGGCAUCGAGCUUCACCUUGGAGCCCAACAGCUGGCUGAGGGUAUCGUAGUCCAGGUCCUCCGGGUAGGAAUCGGCCUUGACCCCCCAACCUUCCACACAUUGGGGGAAAAUGUGUGGAUUUGACGAAGAAGAAAUCCUCCUUUCAAUCCUUCACGGAGGAGGGGAGUCCGUGGAACAACUCCUGGGCACCUUUCCCUCCCUUGGUUUGGGAACCCCGGCGGGAGAAGUAGUACCAUCCAGGGAGGGCGGUCUUAAGGAUGAAGGCGGCUCGGAAGAGGGAGAGAGAGUAAGGGAUAUCGCAGAAAAGGCAGUAGAUCAGGAAUCCAGUGAUGAUCCUGAUAGAGGUGGGGUGAAGUUGGGUGAUUAUGAGUCUCCAGUAGUUCAAAAUCUCGGUAAGAGCUGAAGGAAUGGGGAGACGGAGCCCUGCGAAGAGCUGCUCCCUAUAGAUGGCUACGAAACCGGGGGGAGGUCUGCAGGCUCGGUCGUCGGGCCCGGCCGCCCUUGGCUCGUAUGCCGGAGGAAUGGAGUAAGACUUGGCCAGCUCGGCCACGGCCUUGGGGGAUAGGGUAGCCUCUUGCAGGUCUGCAUACCCAUAGGAGAACUCGGGAUCAUCCCCUGCUCAGAAGCAGGGGUCCCCUCAGAGGGAUCCCUAUCCUCCCCAGCUCCACCCUGGGCUCCGCCGGGGGAGUCAUGUGGAGACCUGGGGGGAGAGGCGGAGGUAGCCUGCCGUUCGAUGAGGGCAUCAAGCUCGGCUGCCUCCUCAACGGCUCGGGCUGAAGGAGAGUGGGUAGAAGGAGAACUCAUAAUGACUAUGGGGUCAAGCAGGUCAGGGUUAGAAGCGGAGGAAGAGGAAGGAGGAGGAGGGGAAGGCGACGGCGAGGAUGAGGACGAAGAUGAGGAAGAAAUGAAGAUUCUAGUGGCUCUGCGACGGGCCGGAGACGGGGUUGCGGUGGAAGUAACGUCGGAGUGACCCGACAUAAAAGUCAGGAGAUGGCAGAAGGAAGAAGGAACACUGAAGGAAAGGAAAAGGAAAAAGGAAUCACAAAGGGACUUACUGAUGACGGUCAAGGCAGAGAGAGGAUGGAGGACUCGCCGGAGUCUGGGCGCGGGACACCGGAGGUUGCUGAAAAAUGGAAAUACGAAUGCGCAAGGAGAGUGGUAAUGCAAAAUGCGCAAGGGGAGGAGAAAAUGGCAAAUGGAGUCGGUUGAAAUCCGAUUACCCCUAUUUAUAAGGGGAGAAAUGGGGGGAAGACGGUUGCGUGGAUUUGAACCGACUCCCAUGUGAACGCCUUUAAUGCGGGUACGAAAACCGAAGAGGCGUGACAACUGAAAGGACGCGGGCGCAGCGUCCCUAUGACAGCACUGUACCAGAGGUGACCUUGGCAGGGUAGUGCGCGGCCUUGGCCUCCCACGUGGAAGAGGUAGAUUAGGUCUGCCUGACAGCCUUACCUAAUCUAGGGGGCUAGUGCAGAGGCCCCGUCCUGGGCCGGGACACGUGGUAGCCCAGGUGCUGUCGAACUGGGCCUGAGCCCCAGGCCCUGGCAGCCGUCCAGGGCUGCAUUGCUAGGGCUCCUGGAGGGGCUGAGAAUCCAUCCCGAAGAGGUCAGAGACAAUCCCCCCAAGUGCGGGAUAGGGGCUAUUCUGGGCAGGUCCCGAAACGUACGGAGGUCGGACUUCCGCACAGGUAUAAAUGGUAGAACACAUCAACUGUACAAGGUACGCUCACUAUUGGCAAAUUGCUCCCGGCUGUUUGUACUUCCCGUGAAUUCUUCUCACCGGAAAACUAACUUGGUCGUCGGAGCGCCCUCGGGGACCAACCUUGGGCCCCCCGUUGUUAGCUCAUUCUUAUCUGUUUUGCAGGCUUGGAGCCAGCUCUUCCAUCAGCAUCCCGAGCUCAUCAGUUCAGCUCGGUCCGGGGAAGCUCAGCGCUUCUUCAAAGUACAUAAUAAAUCAUUGUUAAUCAAUUGGCCGUGUACAUAACUUCAAUUCAAGUAAAGUUCAUUGCAAAAGGCAAUUGAAACAAUAUAGUUUUGGCAAAAGCCAUCUUUUACUAUCUCCCUAUAAGAGGCUUCCAGGCAAGUUGCUUGCAACAUAGUACAAGUGAUUAGCCGCAUAUUAAGUAGAUAUAAGCAAUGAGAGAAACCGUCAAUUUUCCCAUCCACUUUCCCACAAAUAAGCACAUAAAUAUUUGUCUUAUAUCUGACUGCUGUUUCUAAGUGAAGAGUACACAAUUAGCAAUCAAGGUUUACAAUAGGUAAUCAAUACUCUUGACCAAUAUUAGUCUAGCAUCACUUACAGCAAAAGGUUAGUGUAUACGGGCCACAUAGAACAGUACAUUUUCAUCUAGAACAACACAUUUUCAGAAUUGAUUUGGAAGAGCAAAUUAUAAUUGGCCACGACAAAAAACCAAAGGAAGAAAAGAAUCAAAAUUAAAGAAGAAAGACAUUUUCAUGUAUGAAAACAGAGCCAAUAGAUGACAUCAGCUUUCAUCUAUUUAUCUACAGAAUUUGAUCAACAUAGUAAACCACCAGGAUGCUUUACAUCGAAGUAGACAGUGUUGGAAAAUUUUCACAUCAAGUUUAACAAAGGAAAUUUGAAUCAAGAACAAUCUGGACAUAUAGUCUGGUCAUAUGUUUAUGGACAUCCAUCACAUUUCAAGGCCUUCAUUCAUCAGACAUAUCCCAAAUGGUAUUUUUCUUACUGAGUUUUGAGCUGAUGUGUCAUCAACCAUUGCAGUCUUCUUCCUACUAAAAUGAGUCAUGUCAUUUAGCUCGAUCGGUCCAAUUAACCUUCCCUCUUUUGCUUCCAAUAGCACAGCAAUAGUUAAUGAACCAAACUUGCAAUAUAAAAGACCAGCUAGUAUAUUUAAUUUCCCGUUCAGCUUUAUGCCGUAGAAAAGAUUUUGUUCCAGCUGUUUGAGCAGUUUUUUGUUUUGAUCUAUUUAUCUUAUUUUGCUCACUUAUCACCUACACUUGUGAUUUCAAACCUUCAUCAAAAUAACAAAGACAUAUCGAGAUUGAAGUAUGUUAAAUGAUCGAAUAUGUGCCAGUACCUUAAAUUUUGGACUACAAAAGUAGUCGCACAAGUACAGCCAAUCAGAUUCUUCAACAUAUUCAGGACAAUUAGGAUAUGGAAGCUUACAAAUAGGAUCCUUAUCUUAAAAAGCAAACCUAAUAAAUUCAUUGACUCCAUCUAAAUAUUUAGGAUCUAGGUAAUUCUUAAUUGACAUCCAGCUCCUAUCCAUAUUUAUGCAGCCCUUUAUCCUAACAUCAAGAAUAAGAACAUAUAAUAUUUUAUUGAAGACAGAGCACUAUGUAUGGAAACUUAAAUUUGCCAAAUACCAACAAUGAAAACCCAAUCAAAUAAAACAAAUUUUCACUAAAGUCCAUGUCAGGUACAAAUAACAACAAUUCAUUAAAAACAAGAUAGAUUAUGUACCAUUACAAAAGAUGCAAAAGAAAGCUCCAAUUAAUUUAAGCCAUUCCUAAAAUUAUACAUCUCAAACUAUACAACAUCAACUCCUAAGUCUGAAAAAAAUAACCGAAGCAGAUUUCUAGUCAUGAACACCUCUCCAUAUGACACAUACCCAGCCUACUCAAUCAUAUUUAAUUUGAGGAGGAAAAAAACUGGGUCAAAUCAAGCACAUAACAUCCCAUCUGUUCCUGUUCUGCGUACCCAUACAAAAGCCCCAAUUAGCUUGUUAGAUAAACUAAACCUACCCCAAAAACUAGUGGCAAAACACAUCUAAUUUAAUGUGUUCUAAGUCUGUUGGAUAGGUUUGUCUAAUGAGGGAAAGAAGCAGAAAGUGUGAUCAACAUUUUACACUACCAACGACAACAACCAGAAAUUUCGAACCGCUAGUGAAUUUUUGUUCAAUUCUCCCCCUACCAAGUCCAGCCGUAGCUGGGUUUUGUACAAAAAAUAGUUGGCAAAUAGCAAGUCCUUCCCAAGUGGGCCAAGAAGUAGAGGAUACAAUUAAUUUAGGGGAUUCAUGAUAACUAGGCAAAAAUUUUUCCCUAAGUUAAAAUUUAGGGCAAUAAAAUUUCAGGGGAUGAAAAGAUUAAUCAUGUAAAUAACCAUAAAAUUACACCCUCAAUGCAGAUUCAACAAGAAUGUGAGUAGAAAUUUUCAGAAAAUAAAAAAAAACAAGUGUAGGGCCAAAAUAUUUGCAAAUUAUCUUCGAGACAAGGAAGAGAGGGAACACGCUGAAAACUCACAGAGAUCUAAUCGGCAUCAACCAAACCGAAUACCUGAAUGGCACUAGAGUGGGUGGUGCUAGGCUACGUUGCUGGAGCUGAAGCAAUCAUGCUUCAGCACAAUGGCAUCAAAAAGGCAGUUAUUAAUCUACGAAACAAUUAUUAAAUUGUAAAAAUUGAAAGGCACAAGAAAGACAUAAUCUGAAAUAAUCAAAACUAUUGGAAAAAUAUUGGAGUCCAAAUCGAAGAGAUCGACAGCUAGAAUCAUGUGAUCAAGAGGAGCCACUACCACUUAAGAGCACUGAAUUCUUUAUCAAUCUAAGAAUCAAAAUCCAAUCUAAGAAACAAUGGUGUAAUAUAAUAUGAAAUUACUAAACACCUGAAAUCGAGCAGAAAUACAAUUUGUCAGGCCUAGAAUCCAUAUAUAUCAGGGGCCUCUCCAGAACUAAACAAGUAAAUCCAAUCUAAGAAACAAUUAUUAAAUUUCAAAGAUUGAACUGUACAAUAAAGACAUAAUCUAAAAGAAUCAAAAUCCAAUCUAAGAAACAAUGGUGUAAUAAAAUAUGAAAUUACAAAACACACGAAAUCGAGUAGAAAUACAACUUGUUAGGCCUCGAAUCCAGAUCAGGGGCUCUCCAGAGCUAAACAUGUAAAUCCAAUCUAAGAAACAAUUAUUAAAUUGCCAAGACUGAAAUGCACAAGAAAGACAUAAUCUGAAAGAAUAAAAAAAUUAUAUUUGAAUAAGAUUGGAAUCCGAAUCAAAGAGAUCGAUAACCAGAAUUGUGUGAUGAUGAGGUGCGGCCACAACACAAGAAAAACUCUAUUGUUCAUCAAUUAGGAAACACUCAAUUCUUUUAUUCACUCAUUAACCACCACACGAUUAUAUUUUCUAUAAAACUUUCCAAAAAUUACAAUCUAAACCGGCUCAUAGUCUCACAAAAUAUGUAGUUCAAAACUCAAUUUUCUUUAUUCAAACCCAAUUUCUGAGCAGGUCUAGUCAAUGUCUGUUCAACUCAAUUGAUUAACUCGGACGGAUUGCCCACCGGAUCCUCGGUUCAAUGUUUGGAAUCUGUUGGUCCCGUAUGGUUUAAAAACGGUGUUAUAUGUUGAUAGAUAAUUGGGAGACAAGGUGGAUAAGGAAAACUCUCGUGAAACCAAUGCGUUCUGAUUUUCAACUACAUAUCUUUAUGGGAUAAGACUCAGAGAGCUGGUUUUUUUUUUUUUUUUUUUUUUUGUCGAUACGAUAGCUUUUUACACUAUUGGGGAGGGGGAGGAUCUGAAAAGGUCCAAGGAUAAUUUGAAGAGGAUUGAAUCACCACCAGACCAAACGAAUGCACUAUAUACCUACCUGGAUUUUUUUUUAAAAUAAUGCCACAUUUAAUUGAGGCACCCCAUCAAGUUUUAAUACUUUGAUGGUGGUCACCAAUGCAAAGGCUGGUGGUUGACUCAGAGAGCUGGCGUCUGCACAUUUCUGGACCAAUCUUUCAUGGGAACAGUAAGGACGGUCCCAGAUGUAGAAUAAAGGGGUAAUUUCAGAAACCUCUGCUAAGGUUUCUGAUAGUCUCGCUAUCCUUCCCUAAGAUUUUCAAAAUAUCAAAAACCUCCCCUAAAACUAAUUAGCUAGUAACAAAUCAGCCCAAUUCAAAUACAAAAACAAUCUAAAAUUAGUGUUAGGAGAGAGAAAACAAUUUAAUUCCAUAACUACCCUCAAGUUUUGCAUUAGAGAGUUAAUUUACUAAGAACAAUAUACAUUUCUUUUAACUUUAUCAAUUGCUGAUCCAUGAAUUUUAAUGUUGAGAUUUUGCUUAAUAGUCGAACCAUUUGCUUAUGGAUGCUGGUUGAAUAUUUUAUAUUCUUAGAUUAGUUAGUCAUAAAUUGAAAAAGUUCUUGAUCUUGAAAGCUUACUGGAGAGAUAUUUCUUGAAAAUUGCCACUAAUACUUAACAUAUGUUUUUAUUUGUAUCUUGGCAAUAGAUGAUUCGAAUAGUAGCCAUUGUUUGAAUUUGAUUGCUUGAUUUGUGUUCUCAUGCUUGAGAACAAGCAUUGUUUAGGUGUAGAGGAAAUUGAUAGGUCAUAAUUUGUUACUAAAUUUAUAAUUAUUUUUCCCUUGAUUUUACCAAAUAUUAUUUUAAUUGAUAGAUUCUACUUAUAUUUGGUUAACGGUGCCAAUUGUAGGAAAAUGAGCAAAAUAUGAUAAAAGGGGUAAUUUUCCAAGAAUUACUGUCAAGUCUAGAGAAGUUCGGGAUUCAAAGUCGGAAAGUCGGGAUUGAUAUUGGGCAGUUUCCCAAUCCAAGUCAAAUUCCAAAACUUGACAGCUACUGAAGUUUCCUAUUUCUUUGCAUUCCACGUCAAUCUCGAGCAAUUGGGAGAGUUUUUAGGAAAUUGAAUUGUAAUAGGAAACUCUUUAGGAAUUUGAUUGGUAUUAGGAAACCAAUCAAUUAAGCAAUUCGCCAGGGAGAAUUCAGCAUAUAGCUCUUGCUUAGGAACAAAGCAUAGUUAUUCUUGUUUUCUUGACCGAUUGACAAGAAGACAAUUGGAAAGCUUCUAACAGAUUUUUGCAUGGCUUGUUCUCCAUUAAUGGAGAACUAAUUUUAUAUUUCUAGUCAAGGGGACAACUAAAGAUUUGGUUCAACAAUAACUGUGAGAUCUAAAUUAUUUUAAUUGCUUCUUUCAUUCAUUGAUAUUUAUAUGUUUCUUGCUUUUAGUGGCUAUGACUAUUGUGUAUGGUUGAAUAGUUGUGCAAUAUUUAAUUAUUCACGUAGUCUAUUUGCUAAUUGGGAGUAGUUGAAUCCGUAAUUGUUUAAUUACUCCAUCCCGAUAGCAACUAGCAUGAUUGGUUUCAUGUUAGGGAAACGUAUGAUAUAACUUAAACGAACUCUCGUAACGUGUUUGUUGGUUAGAGUUGGGCUUUUCCGAUUCUUAUUGCAAUCGAGAAAUUAAAUCAUAUAGUCGUACUUAGGGUUAUUUCUUGGUUAGGAAAAUAGUUAAUGGUUAUACCUUGACUAUCGAAAAAGUAAGGAAAGGCUGGUUGUUAUCGCAUGCAUGAUAACUAUAACCAAUCUAUUAAUGAGUAAUUGAAUUAUCUUUGUAUCGAUGAUCAGUUGAAUGAAUCGUGUCUGAAAAGUUAUACCUUUGAUUAGAGUCGUAUUGGUUAUUGAUUAAUUCAUGUUUAUUUCUAUUAGUUGUUUCAUUAGUUAGUUAAUUAGUUAUAUUAUAUCCUCCAAAACCCCCCAUACUUCGGACCCUGGAAGAAACGAAUUAUCCCCAAUCCCUGUAGGUUCGACCCUACUUGCCCAAUAUACAAAUUAGAGAUUUUUCGUGAAUAAAUUCUGGUAUAUCGAAUUUAGCAAAUUCUUUGGAACCAGGGUGAAUCUAGUAACCAUUGCAUAUCUAGAGUCCCUGCUCCAGUACCAGAAUUGACACGAAGUUGCUUCUGUUGGCGAGUAGGAUUAUUAAUAUUAUUAUUGCACAGGCUCGAUACCUGUCAAUACUCACCUAACAAACCUCCACCCGGGGAAAUUUUUUCAAAAAAAAAUCUACAUUAGGGUAUACAUUAGCAGAAAAUGAAAAAAAAAAAAACUUUAGACUGCAAUCUAGUAACAUGUGUCCCAGGUGCACAAAGAAAUUGAAACAUAUAGAGCUUUGAUUGUCAAAAGUAGCACUAGUACUCCUCGGAGUUUAAUUCAAAUACAGAUGAUCAAAUGUGAGUGACGCCUUGCGCAUAGCGGCAAUAGAAAACUAUGAAAGGAUAUGCCACGGUGUGUCAGCCAACCGUCUUUAGAGUUGAAAUUCUUGCAGGAGCUUCUGUGAUUGUAUGGUUUUGUAAUCUAGCAGCAUCAGAUUUUGUGAGGCGAUGCGUUGAUGAAACUUGGGUAUUGGUAUUCAAUCCCAAGAUCUUUCAUGUAAAAUGACUCGGAUGCGGCAAAAGCCUUGGAUUCUCUGCUCCGGUCAACUUGAAAUUGGACUUAGUCCCAGCACUUUAGGAAGUUGGUUAUUAGCACAUUAAAAUUUUUAUACUAAUUGUAGUAAGUAAUAUUUGGAGGGACCAUAAGUUCAAGUUGAAAAGAGGCAUGGUGAAAAUCUUUCCAAAUACAUACCCUACUACUUAUACAAAUAAAAGAGAGAACAAAAAUAUAUAAGCCAUUAAUACAUACUAAAAGUUUUUACAGCAAUUACAUGGUGAAUUCAUUAAAUUAGGCAUUUGGUUGACUUUGACAUGUGUGUCAAGUCAAAACAUUGUCAAAAAUUGCAACUUAUUGUAUACUGAUUUACUCAGCAAAAAUAAAUUUAGUUAUUUAUUGAAAGGAAAAAACUUUUAAAAUUUUGUUUUUCUUAAUAGAUACAUCGAAUGCCAUUGUUAAUCUCCACGUACUUUGAGGCACCAUUAUUGCCAACCUUGCGUCUAAGCAUUUAUCCAUACAAAAAUAGGUGAUUUUAAAAGCUAAAGACAUUUUUCAACCUUUAAAUGUAUUUUAAUAUGCAUAAACAACACGCUUAACCGCUUAAGUAUUACGGUAUUCUCUUGUGUUAUCCUGAAAUUUUAGAUUUGUACAUGUAUUUAUAAUUUUCAAAGUCACAUUGUCUAUGAUGCUACCACGAUUCUCUUCCCUAUUUAAUUUACUAUCCUUUUGCAACAAGAUUGAUACUUGAGACCCUAGUUAAGAAGUACAUGGGGCAUUUCAUCAGGCAAACUCCUUAUCAACUACUUACUCACUCUGACAUAGUUUUAUCUUCAAAAAAGAAAUUUUGGUUGAAUACUAAUACAGAAGAUUAGUGCCAAUUAACAAAUAUUAACUUAUGAAUGGUAAAUAAAUAAGAAGAGUUGUCACUCUACUUUGCACUCCAAAAUUUGUAUCACUUUUCCGCUUUGUAUGCUAAAUUUUAAUUUUGAAUACUUUACAUCCUAAAUUCUUAAUUUUGGACACUCGUAGCUUAAUCUCUCAAGUUUAUUCCAUUUAAAUACAAUCAAUGAUAACUUUAGUAAAAUUAACGGUAUCAACAGCUCAAUAAAUCAAUGACAAUAUACUGAAAGUGGUCAAAAGAUGCUAAAAUAUAGUAGCAAAAGUAAAAUAAUACACUAUUAUUAAUUUGCAUCAACUUUUAUCUUGUCAAUUUUACUAACAAUAUUAGUAAUUAUACCAUAUAAAUCAAUAACAAUCUAUCGAAAGUUGUCAUAUUAAACAAUUCUCAACUCAUAUAUCCUUUUUUAUUUUGUUUUUCUUUCCCUUUGUAGAACUGGAAGCCAUUGGGAAUUUUGAAAAUGACGCAAUUAAAAGCAUUCCCUUGUGUCCAAUGAUGGAGCCAAGGGGGACAGAGGGGGGCCCAUGGCCCCCCUAAGUUUUGAAAAUUUUAAUUCAUAAUAUGUAAAUAUAUGUGUAAAAUAAAAUUGACCCCUCCUAAAUUUUUUCAAUUUUAGUUUAUAUUAUGAGAGUUGAGAUAUAUAUAUAUAUAUAUAUAUAUAUAUAUAUAUAUAUAUAUAUGAAUUAGUCAUCUUUGAAUUAAUUUUUUUCUUCAGAAAAAGUUAUUUAAUUUUUAUUGUACUAAUUAUUUAACUUUCAAAAAUUAAACAUAUAAUUUGAUGUUCCAUAGUAAAUUGACCCAAUGUAAUGUAUUAGAAUAAAAAGACCCAAUUCAUAAUUUUUAAUGGCCUAAAAAGACCCAAUUCAUAAUUGUUAAAAGCAAGAACUAGUACGUCUAAGAAUAGAACUUCAAUAUUUUGAGUUCGACAUUCCAAAUCAUCAUGAAUUGCAAGAAUUAUCUAGUAUUCAUGAGUUAUGUCAAGACUUGGUGAAGACAAGAAAAUCAGUGAUAUAUCUUCUUAUUGACAGAUUUAUUAGAUUUGUUAUUACUCUUCCUAUAUCAACUACAACUACAGAGCGGACAUUUUCAAUUAUGAAAAUAAUCAAGACAAAGCUCCGAAACAUGAUGCAAGAUAAUUUCUUGAAUGAUUGUCUAACAGGAAGUUGCUGAAAAAUUUAGCAAUGAUUCAAUCAUAGAUGAAUUUAGUUCUAUGAAAGAGCAUAGAGCUCAAUUUACUUCUAAAAAAAGAUAUUGAAAUUUCAAAUUAUGUUAACAUAACUUUUAUCUUUUUUCAAUUGAAAAUAGUUACAUUUAUAUUACAUGGUUAUAUAUAUAUAUAUAUAUAUAUAUUAUAUAUAUAUAUAUAUAUAUAUAUAUAUAUAUAUAUAUAUAUAUAUUGCAUAGAUGACAUAUUGGAGAGCAUCUUCUCAUAAUGUGCAAAUUGGAUGGUUUGUGAUGUUAUAAGAUAUUUAAUCAAAAGUUAUCUUUUUUGUUAUGACUAUACCGCAUAUUUAUGAAUAGACAUACCUUUAUAAUUAAAUUUAAUAUUUGAUAUUUUUAGAUGUCAAAUAUUUGAAUAGAAGAAAAUUAUUUUGAACAUAAUAUAUUAAAAUAAUUUUAUUAGGAAAAAAUUUUGGCCCUCAAAAAAAAAAAAUCCUGGCUCUGUCACUGCUUGUGUCCCGGCAUACAUCUAACAGUAGCUAAAUCAGAACGGCCCGUAGAAAAAGCUGUCCAAGACAUAUUCUCACCGUGGCUAGCUAUUUCAGAACUCGAAGAAGAAGGUGCCGAAAAAUAUGUCACAAUUGUAAAUCAAAACACGAAGAAAAAGGUGUCCAAGACGUUCCAAAAGGCUGCCUCUCCUAAUCUUCUGGUGGGUAUAAUGCUGACCGUGGUUGCCAGUUUGUCUUCAAAAUGGUACAUUUUUGGUACUCUAGACAAUAAAUAAAUAAAUAAAUAAAAACUUUACCUGCAUUUGGUAUUAAGUAAUUUUUCACUUUAAUUUUCCUUAAUUGUUGUUAGCUGUCAUACAUUGGUAAUUCAAUUUUAAAGUCAAAAAAUUUAAUUGAUUUGCAAUGAUAAUAUGGAACCAAAUUGGACAAAACUCCAAAUAUAAGGGACAACGAUAGUUUUCUUGAUGUGCACAUGCAAUUCAUGUGAUCAGUCAUCGGUUAGCUCUCACGAAUUACCGUUUUUAAGUUAACAUUUAUCAUUUUUCAUGAAGAUAAGGAGAAAAUUAGUUGAUUGUAUAGAUUAGGUUCUACAUUGGUGAUGAUAAACUUUGCCACUGGAUAAUGCCUAAUUGGCCGUAACAAAUGAAGUUUCGGUACUUGAGGUGACGCACUAGUGAAACCAUGCAUUCCAGGGAUAAGAAUUAAACUUGGAAAUCUGAAAGAUAACUAAAGAAUAAAUAUUAGAAUCAAUAAUAUAAAAAAAAAAGUUUCCAAAUCAAAUCAAAAUUAUUGAAAAUUGACCAAAGCUCAAAUCCAAAUCAAAUAAAUCCUUACACGUUAAACCCACGAGAAACCUGUUAUCAAGAGGUGCAAUUACCACUUGAUAAAACUCCAAUGUAGCUAUCACCUCGUGGAUCACACAUAUAUUGGGUCCUCUUAAUUAUUUUCAGUUGGUACGAAAUCAUUCAGAUAUGAUUUCCGUGACAAAUUCUGAGUGUAACGCAAUAUUCACCUCAACCAGUUGAGACAUUGUCUGAUAACCAUGAAAUUUGACUCUCCAAUUCUUGGGUUUUGCCUCUCUCUUUAUAAGGUGUAGAAUGUGGGUUUUCUUUCGAAUGAACCUGGUUCUAAAGAAUGCUAACUGGCUGACAAUUGCGGAAGUUUUUGUGCAUAUCUCUACCAUGAAGCCAAUCAAAAUGUGAAUGGACUAGACAUAAAGGGCAGUAGUUUAAAAUUUGUAGUGAAAUUAACUUAAUUACCUCAAUGGGAUUGAACUAAAAAAUGCAAUCUUCUAUUCAGACAAAAUUCAUAAGUUCUAAGUUCAUUAAGAAAGAUCAAUGCCUGUCAUAUUAAUGCAAAAUUAUUGAUAACAACAAGAAGGAUACUUUUAGAGGUGAUAUAGUCUAGAGUCCAUGCAUCUAACCCACUCUCUUGACAUAGAUUGGAGUUCAGUGAGCGUUAAACUCAAGUCCAUUGGCCAAAAAAAAAAAAAAAAAAAAAAGACUCAAGUCUAUUCAAAAAACCAAACAUUGGACUCCAAACCAGUGAUGUCGAAUUGAUUAUCCAUGGACGCUAAAACCGCCAGAAACAAGUCAUCAAGAGGUGAAACUACCACAUACGACAAUACCCAAUUAUUUAGCAAAUCAAGGAUAAGGAUUAGGACUGUCAAUGGGGCUGAGCCAGCCCGAGCUCGGCUCGUUCGGCCCGACAGAAAGCCCGAUGAGCCCUAUCAUUUAGUGAGUCGGUCUGAGUUUGAGCCUAAAAAUUAGGCCCGAAUUAAAUGUGAGCCGAGUUUGGGCCUUAUUAGGCUCAAACCCGAUAUAGGCCCGACCCUUUAAUUACCUAUAUAUAUAAUAUUUAUAUUUUGAUAUUAUGUAUAAUUAUAUAUCCAAAUAUAUUUUUACUAAAUACUAAAUAUAUAUAUAAAUUACAAAACACAAAAAUACAUCUAAAGACUCUUUCGUGAGCUUUCUUGAGAGCCAAUAUUAGUAAUGCAUAACUAAAUCUCUAAUUUUUCUUAUUGGUUGAGUAAAUUUUUGUAUUGGCAUAUUAUUGGUUGAUUUUUUUUUGGUCUACAAACACAAAAAUCAUCAAGCAUGUUCGGAUUUAAAUCACAAGAUUAUAAAAAAAAAGUUUCAACUUUUAAAGAUGCAUUGGCUUAUGAUCGCAUGUUUUAUUACUAUUUUUCAUGCAUUUUAAACGGAUUAAAUAUAAAUAUUGUUGAAAAAUUUUUUGGUUUAUAUACUUUUUAAGAACUAUUAUUUGUUCAUGUUUAGUUUUAAUAUUAUAGUCUUGUAUAUGUUAAAUUAGUUUUACAACUUAAUAGUUAUAGUAAUUAUAUUAAGAAAAUUAAGGAGUAAUAAGUGAGCAUGGGCUAAACCCGAUUAAGGCUCACAACCCAAAUAUUAUAUGAGCUAAGUAUGAGUUUCACAUUUACGAACCCGAAACUCAUAACCCGAAUCCCAAAAAUGUUUCAAAUUAAAUGAGUUGAACUUGAACUCAUCAAAGCCCGGCUCAUUAGGCCCGAUUGACAGGCCUAAUAAGGAUCAGACAAGUAUCAGGGUAUUAAUAGUCCUCUAUAUUAUUUAUUUGCAGCUGGUACGAAGUCAAUUAAUCAGAGAUACCCACCAAAUGACACAACUUAAGACUUGAAGGAAAAAUAUGAUUGCUGAAGAAUCGUUAUCAGAAUCAAAUCAUUGCACCUUAAAUACAACGUUUUUGGAUUCGUUAGGUUUGCAUCGAGGUGGAGAAGAUCUCAAUUACAUACAAGCAAUUAACAGCAGAAGAAACAUAGCUUUAAUAUCUGAUUCUAGUAAUGGUUUCUGGCAAAGAAUACGUUGUCCUUCACGAGUAAUGUUUCUAGAAACAAUCUUUAUAUAUUUUGUGUUUAAAAUAACUUGAAGAAUACGGCAAAAGUAAGCUUUGGUUUGUGGACUGAUGAGUAAACACUAUGAAAUGAUGAGUAAACAUCAACACUAUAUGUCUGGAAAGAGAGGAAUUACAUUAUUUUUAGCAACAAGGUUACUAAAAUUGGGGGUUAUUAUAACUUUAUCCCUUUAAACUAUAGUGCUAAUAUCAAUUUACCUUUUUAACAUUAUUUUGCAGGCAUUUGACCUCGCAGUUAUUCUCCUUUUUCAUUCUAAAAGGACCAAGAAAAAUGUAAAAGGGUUCCCUUUUUUUUUCAUUCUCAACUAUUAAGAAAAAAAAAAAGAAAUUGAAUAGAGGUUGACAGAAAACUCAAUUUCAGAAAAAAGGAAAAUAAAGAAGAAUCCAAUAUUAUAAUUAAUUUAAAAUAAGUUAGAGUGGGCAGUAGGGGUGAAGAGUAAGUAGUAAUUUUAAAAUAAUAAGCACAUUGGAUUCUUUAUUAUUUUUAUUUUCUUUUUUAAAAUUGAGUUAUCUCUCUAUUUUCAUAUUUUAAGUAUUGAUAAGUACACAAGGAAAAAAAGAAGAAGACAUUUUUUUUUUACUUUUUUCCCCUUGUUAUUAAAGAGGGUGGAAAAAAGGGAGAAGACACUUUUUUAUUUUUUUUCUUGGUAUUAAAGGGGAAAAGGGGGAAAAAACCAUUCCAAUUUUUUUUUAUUUUUAAUCAUACAGGAGAGAGAUGUAUUUCUUCUAAAAUAUUAGGUAAAUUAUAUAUAAUUUCCUGUGUUUUCAUCUAUUGCCACAUGAUCCCCAAAACAUUUUAGGGUUUUAUGUGGCUGAUGUAAGGGAAAAAAUUCAUAUUAAUACCUUAAAUUUCCCUUAAGGAGUUUUUAUAUUUAAAUCAAUUAUUCAAUGAAUAUAUUUUUGUUUUUCUUCUAGUCUUAAAGAGUCUUGCCUCAGGCCUAAAUCAUUUCCACUAUAUUCCUUUGGCCAAAUUUACAAUCGUAUAUUUGUGUUUGUAGUCGUUGAUUGAACUUUGGUCUUAGGAAAAAUGAUAACAAAUGGAAAGAGUGAGAUACAAGUCAAUUAAAAAACAUCAUUAACACUAGAAUUUGUGAGACAUGGAGACUUGGAUUAUAAAAAGGAUAAGAAAACUUGAAUAGGUGAAAAAAGGUGGAUUAAAACUAUAUGAAAGAAGUAGCAUAACAGUGAUAUAGUAUUUGGUGAUGGGAAGAUUCUUGGAGAUGUGUUUUUUAAGUUUGAUAGGCAUUUUAUUACUUUUGGGAAGAUUAUUAUAAUCAUUUUGAGUCCUUAAAAAAAGCAUGGACGUAUAAUAUUUGAAUAUAGAGGUGGGCAACAUGAGAUUAUCAGAAAUCUUAGAAGAAGUUUUUGAAAUUAUCCUUUGCUGUAAUACUAUUCUUUUUUUUUCCUACCUUGUGAUUAUUGAUUUCCACAUUCACACUCGAAAUGCUAAGGCAAAAAGCAAAAUUCAAGGAUGAAAAAUGAAAGAAAAAGAGACAAGGUUAUAAACAUGGGGAAAGACUCUAGAUUUGAUUAAUGCUAACAUAUUAUAAAAUGAUUAUAGCAUUUCUUUUUCAUUUUUUAUGAGUGACACUUUUUUAAAAAAAUUAGUAGGGGAAUGAUGGGAUUUAAAAAGCGAAAAAAGAACAGGGAGAUCAAAAUUCAGGAUCUCUAAUUCCUGGGAGUAACAUGAUAAUAUUAUUUCUAAAAACCCAAUAUCAAUCCUAUUGGUGUAAUAUAAAGGAAUUUGGAUGAUUGAAGUGUUUAAAAUAUAAAAUACUUCUUAAUUAUAAUAUCUUAUUCAUUAGUCGAAUGUGGAAUCUUAUGUUUGUUGCCCCUUUCUUUUUUGUUUUGGAUUUGGGUUUUUGGCGUUGAACUUUGAGUAUGAAUUGAGUAAGAUUAUAGCAUGAGAAGGUUCAUCAUGUUCAUUUAAUUAAGGUCUUCCUGCAUUUAAAAUGGGAGCUUACAUGACAAAAAAAAGAUUGAAAUGGUAAUAAUUUACAAAAGAGCAUCAUAGUGGGAACAUUUUUCCUAAAAAAGGUCAUUUCAAAACUAAAUUCCGAGAAUCCAUGGUUUCAUGUGGGUUUUCUUUUCAUGGACGUGAUUAACAUCAUGUCUCUUAUCAUAUCCAUGAGGAUUAUUAACAUCCAAGUCCUAGAGCCUGAUUGCAUUAGUACUAUCCUUGGCCUUGGGUAUAAUAUCACAAGUUCCUCCCUGUAAAGGUUGCAAUGCGUUUUAAGAGAGUGAGAAUUAAGUAUAUCACGGGAAAAAAAAAAAUGAAUGGCAAAGUAACUUACCAGAACAACAAACAGAUGGAGGAGGAUAAUCCAACAAGCAAGUCCUUUGGAAUCCAUCAAUUGGUAGGUUUUAUAUCCCUUGCAACUCCUCCUUUGAAGGAUUAGAAAACAGCAGAAGCAAAUGCCAAAUAUUACAUAUCGAUGAAAAGUGUGCUUGAUUAGAAGGUUCUUUUUCAAAUAGUCGAUUAAAAUAUGACCCCUUGAAAGAUAGUGUUUCUUAUUGAGGUUGAAAAAUGAACCAAAUUACUUGAUACUCAAAUCAAAUUUUGCUAAAUAAAAGUUUGUUUGAACUUAGUUUGCCAACUAAUCAAAUCAAAAUUUAAGAAGUAUUAUUAUGUGUUAGAUUAACUAUCAAAUUUGGCAUUAACUUGGCUUGAUUAACAUAAAAUUAGAAUUUACAAGUAAAAAAUUCAAGUUACUCAAGUUCGAUUCAUGCUCAAUUCUAUAAAAAAAGCUCAUUUGAGUUUGGCUUAAUUAAUAAACAAGUCAAGUUUGAAGACCUUCCUCUUAAAAAAAUUUUAAAAAAAUCAAGUUUGAGUACUGUUUCAAGUUUAUUAAAUAAUCUAACAAGUUUGAAUACUAGAACAUUGAAUCUAGGAGAUCUAGACAAAAUCACUAAAUUUAUUUUAGACCAUAACUGUAGAUUAUUUAGAAAAAAAGGACCAAAAUGUAGACCUACCCACGUGAUGCAAACCAACCAGCCACGUGAUCCAUGCUGUAACCUUGCUAGCUUCACUUACCUAUCGCCUUGUAUAAAUAGCCGUAUAGCCCCCAAGAGUCUUUUCACCACCAAAGUUACAUUUUGAGUCUGUUCAUAGGCAAGGCAUGGCUUCAUCUAUCACUCUGAUCGCAGUCUUUUCAAUUGCCCUGGUAAGGUUUCUCAACCAUCAAUACUGUACUUGAAGUAGUAGUUCAUAUGAGAUAAUUGCUAGACUGUAUAGGAAUACUGAUGAAACCCGUGAAUUAAAGCUACCUGAGAAAACACAUUCUUCUUCCUUUUUGCACAUUUAUCUGCAGCUCUAACCAUCGCCACUGAAGGAAUGGAAGCUCUUCAGAUGGCUCUGUAGUUCUAUUCUCAUAAAAGCUUGACUUCCAAACAUUACCAAUGCUGGUACCAUACUUAAACGUCAAUGUAACUUGAGUAACGGCAUAUGACACUAUUUACCCUUUUUUAGUUAGAGGAUUCAUCCGGGAAAGAUUGAAAGUCAAAUCAAGAACCUUAAAAUCAACAUAAGGAAUAUUCCUGUUGCCAGUUGAGCUCGUCUUUGGAAAUUAACUAUCCUUCCCUACAAGGGGUCAUCUUUUACGGUGCUACCAUCAACAUACCUAUAUUGACGUUAGUUUCUUUUAUGUUAAUAUUUGCACAAAUGUGCAAUUUGCAUGCAUCACGGAAGCAAGGAAGAAUCCUACGGACUUUUUGCAAUCUGCUGUCAUUAAUGAGCAUACUGAGGACAAUCACCAUGCAGAGUCGUCCCUUUCCAAUCAGAAGAAGACAAGUAAUGGUAACACAUUGAAGGAUUUUGAGUCGAAGCCCGGCUCCUUUCUCUGGGGGGUAUCAAGGCAACGAGGCUGAGUCUAAGUCUAAGGAGGAGAAGCCUUUUAUGAAAGGCUUUGAGUCGAAGCCCGGCUCCUUUCUCUGGGGGUAUCAAGGCAACGACGCUGAGUCUAAGUCUGAGGAGGAGAAGCCUUUUAUGAAAGGCUUUGAGUCAAAGCCCGGCUCCUUUCUCUGGGGGUAUCAAGGCAACAAUGCUGAGUCUAAGUCUAAGGAGGAGAACCCUCUUAUGAAAGACUUUGAGUCGAAGCCCGGCUCCUUUCUCUGGGGUAUCAAGGCAACGACGCUGAGUCUAAGUCUGAGGAGAAGAAGCCUCUUAUGAAAGACUUUGAGUUGAAACCCGGCUCCUUUCUCUGGGGGUAUCAAGGCAACGACGCUGAGUCUAAGUCUAAGGAGGAGAAGCCUCUUAUAAAAGACUUUGAAUCGAAGCCCGGCUCCUUUCUCUGGGGUAUCAAGGCAACGACGCUGAGUCUAAGUCUGAGGAGAAGAAGCCUCUUAUGAAAGACUUUGAGUUGAAACCCGGCUCCUUUCUCUGGGGGUAUCAAGGCAACGACGCUGAGUCUAAGUCUAAGGAGGAGAAGCCUCUUAUAAAAGACUUUGAAUCGAAGCCCGGCUCCUUUCUCUGGGGGUAUCAAGGCCCUCUUAUGAAAGACUUUGAGUCAAAGCCGGCUCCUUUCUCUGGGGUAUCAAGGCAACGAUGUUGAGUCAAAGUCUAAGGAGAAGAAGCCUCUUAUGAAAGACUUUGAGUCGAAGCCAGGCUCCUUUCUCUGGGGAUAUCAAGGCCCUCUUAUGAAAGACUUUGAGUCAAAGCCCGGCUCCUUUCUCUGGGGUAUCAAGGCAACGACGCUGAGUUUAAGUCUAAGGAGGAGAAGCCUCUUAUGAAAGACUUUGAGUCGAAGCCCGGCUCCUUUCUCUGGGGGUAUCAAGGCAACCACGCUGAGUACAAGGAGGAGAAACCACUCGUGAAAGAUAAUUAAUGUCCAGGGAAGCCGCAACUUUACCUCUGAAUGGACCACGGACAUAUAUGUCUUCUAGCUGGUCUGAUUUUCUGCAUUUUCUUUAUUGGCAUGAACAUGUGUGAUAUGUAAUAAAUGCAGUUCUUCUUUCAACCAAGCGUUCUGUAUAAUUAAUUAAAUGAAAGUCAGUAGCGUUGAGUGCAUUUUCUGUUUCUUUGUUUGUUGUUUCUUUUUGCCAUUUACCAUAGACAGGAAGCGCACAAAAAAGAGCACUAUUCAAGCAUGACAAGAAUCAUAGAGUGAGCGAACCAACUAUACCUUGAUAAUCUAAAAAGAGUUCUGCAAACUCGUACUCUUGUACGAAACCAGGACCAUAUAUAUAUAUAUAGAUAUAUCGAUUCAAUUUUCUAAUGAUGUGUGUGGUACGAACGCACAUUAGAAGUACAGAAAAUUCUAGUGUAAAUUUUCACAAAAGAAGAGAAAGAAUGGAGAACUCUUGAAGCGUGAUUGAUCGCUAUUCUUAAGAAUUUAAUUAUCCAUACUACACUAAGUAUUUGCUGUAGAGAUAAAGGUAAUUUAACUUUAAGAUACAACAAGAGAAGAAGAAGUUGAUAGCAAUAUCAAGUUUCUCAAACUAAGAAAUGAUCAAAUAAUUCUAGCUAGUUUUGACAAUAAAAGGCUUGUUUUUUUACAAGUAACCUGUUUUCCACUCGUCUUUAAGUAUCCUUCGAUACGUGGCACUUAAUCCCAAUUAUUUGACUUUAAACUUCGUUCUGUCAUGUGGAUUCUAUGUGUUAGUAUAUACAAGACUAAUCUUAAACAUUACUUGAAAAUCAUAUUAUAUGUAACUGAGUACCGCAUAACUUGCAAUUAUCCACUUACGCUCUCAAUAUUAUUGGGAAAUUACAUGGAUUUUCGUUUCGGUAACUCUAAUUAUAUAGUCUCACGAUCCAUCUUAACUGAAGGGGCCAUUAUGAAUUAGAUGAACAUGAAGUUGUAUUUCGAUUCUCAAGCUAUUCCGUUCCUCUUUCUUCAUUGUAAGGAUUAGAGUCUCUUUUGGAGGGAAAAAAAAACACUCUAAUUAUACAGGAUUAAAGCAAAUAGCAAUGGUCUAUAAAAGGAUAAAAAGUAAGCAGGCUGGGGCAUAUUUAUUAAAACAUGAAAAUAAUAUGAAAUUUUAUAAUACACAUGAUACGAAAAAUAAACUGUACGUAAAUAAUGCAAAUAUAUUCGAAAGUACAAAGCUGAAAAUACAGCUUCAUUUACCAUGUGCAUAAUAGCUGUGUGCACAUUCCAGUGAAGAUUUUUUUAUUUUUAGUAUAAGUGAGAAAUUUCGAGUUCUAAAUCUUUCACUUACACUCUCUUGUCCUAUAUCAUCCAAUCCAUCCCUUCCCAUAUUUUUAUGAAGAUGAGUACAUAAUGUGAGUUUUUAUUUUUGAGGUGAAUAACUUGUUCACAAAAAAGUUUUCUCGAUUUAGGUAAAGUUUAAACUUUACGUUGUCUAAACAACGCAAGUAGAUGCCACUAGGACAGAAGUCAUUAUGAUGACUUCAUCCAAGGUAACAAAAAAAAGGCGUACAAUUGCACUUAAAAUUUGUGAAUUUAUAGUACUAUUUCAUGGUUUAUCGCCUCAAAGUUAACAAUAAAUAAUGUUUUGAACCCCAUUUAAACAACUUAUGAGUGUAAUUCAAAUUUAUUGCUCUAUUAUGUGUGUACAAUGUAUCAAAACAAAGAGUAGCAAAUUGUGUUUUAUUGCACUUUUUGUUUAGCUAGCUUCAUGCAAAUUAACCUUCGUAGAUUAUAGGUAAAGAAUUGGUUUGCCAUUCAAUGUAUCCAAGAAAUAUGUGUUAGUACAUAAUGUUUAUUUUAAUGGAUGUACUGGUGUAAAACAAAAUUACAAAUUAUUAAGUUUUAAACUUUACAAGUACUUAAAGGACAAUAAUUUUUUAUUAAAUUAAAAUUUUCCGUUCUGUGAUUUGGUAGUUUAUCUUAUAACCCCUCUAUAGUUUAAAAAUCUGUAAUCAACCUCCUCAUAAUCUGGUUAACAUAUCAUCAUUAAUUUUCUAAAGUUUAAGCAAAUUAAUAUAUUGAAAAAUUUAUCCUUUCACUAAUUCUUUGAGGUAGUUACAAAAGUAUUACAAUUAUUAUACACCUUAAACUAUGUAUUUGUUUUCAAGUAAACACAAAAGAUGCAGCAAACCAUUUUUAGCCAAGUUAAUAAAAUUGCAAAUGUAACAAUAUAAAGCACCUUAUGAAAAAUUACUCUAUAUGAUUAAGAAAAUAAUUUAUAUUUAUUAGAAUGGAAAAAGUUGCCAGAAGAGGGAGAGACCAUAAGAAAAAUAGUUUAGAGUGAACUGCAUCAAUCAUGCCUUCCAUCAGGGAAAAAAGGGUUAAAUACCAAAAACCCCCUGGAGUUUGCCUAAUGUUUACUUUACCUGCCUAUGGUUUGGCAACCUACAAUUUGACUUCCUGUAGUUUCAACUAAAGUAAAAGUCUGACAGAAAACAUCUAAACUAACGUCUGAAAGGAAAAUGUCAAAAUUGCCCCUCUAUAAGGGUUUUGGGUUAAGCACCAAAAAUCCCCCUGUGGUUUGUCAAAUGUACACUUUACCUCCCUAUGAUUUUAAAACAUACAAUUUAACUCCCUGUCGUAUCACCUAAAGUGAAAAUCUAACAAAAAUUCCGUUAAAUACACUUUAGUUGAAACGACAGGGAGUCAAAUUGUAGGUUUCCAAAUUAUAGGGAGGUAAAGUAUACAUUAGGCAAACCACAGAGGGGUUUUUGGUAUUUAACCCAAAAAAAAUGAUAGAUGUGCGUGUAUAUAGGUGACGGGACUUUUAUAUCAAUGCAAGUUUAAAUCCGAUUUUAUACUCGUUGACUACAAAUAUACAGGCCGAAAUCGUAAUGUAAGGUGUGUAUCGGGUCAAUCCCACGAGGAGCAAAUUAAAUAAGUACUAGACCCUUAUUUUUCUCUAUUAUUUAGACUUACAAUAAAUUUGAGUAAAAAAUUUAUAAUGCUAUUGUCUACAACUCUGGUUUAAUCAAUGUUAAAUGCAAAUGGAGAAAUUUCACUAAAGAUUGAAUCUUGGGAUGUAGAUUCCACUUAUAGCAUAAACAACACAAAUGAAUAGAUUUACCUUUUGUUAUUUUUCUUGUUUAACCAGGGAUUCAUUUCCAAUAUUACCAAAUCUCAUUCUCAUGAUGAAAUGACCUAGAGCAAUAUAGUUUUCCCUAUUUUCAUGGUGAAAUACUAGUUCUACUCUGUUUUCCUUCAUGAAAUGCUAGAAAAUGCACUUAAGAGUACAUCUAUUUUCAUGAACAUACAACUCAAGCUCUACUCAUGUUUUUCCAUUGUUACUAUCAAUUUUCAUUGACUAAUAACAACUAUGAACAUGCUAUUGGUGAUCAAACAACAACAAGUAAUUACAACUGCACAAAUAGACAAGUUAAUACAAGAUAUAACAAGUAUAAAUCACAUUCAAUUCAUAUUAUUUAGCCAUAAGUUUUAUCUACUCCCUAGAUAAAGAAAAUUAACUACUCAUGAAUGAGAUAAAAAUCAAACUCACAAGUUUAUUAAUGCAAAACAUCACAAAGUACAAUUACAAGAAAGAUAAAAGAAAGCUUAGCCAAUUAAUGGUGAAGCCCUCAAAUUUCUGCUAUGUUCUUGUACAAGAUGAUUACAAGAUGAGUCUCCAAUUGCUUCCUCAAGAACUCUUCACUAAAGAGAAACUUGUUGCAAGAAGAAAAACUAGUUACGUAUGGUCAUCUCUAGCUUCUCCAUUCUAUCUCUGCAUAAAAGGUGGUAGAAAGACAUUUUUUUUUCUCCUUCAUGACUUCAACCACUUAGAUUUUGUAAAGGAAGUCAAAAGAUAUGUUGUUUUGACUAGUCAAUAACUCAUUUGGUCUUCUCUUUUGUUGCAGAAGCAUGUGCCACCGAAUUUUCUUUCCCAAGAUAGCUGGAACGUUGUGUGAAAAGUGAGAAAAAACAGCUGCGCCACUUGCUGAAGAGAAAGGCGGAUCCGAGCCUCGGAUCAGAAGGGUGAAGAUCGAUCCGAGACUUUCUCUGAUGGAUCCGAGCUCAGAUUGUAUGACCUCGGAUACACUGCUCCAGAAGUACAGACGAGAGCUCGGAUCGCCCUUUACUCACACGGAUCGCGAGGUCGGAUCCGUGCUGAUGAAUUUCCAGUUUUUUACUUCUUCUCUUUUCUCUUCAUGUUUGUUCCUAAUUUCUCUUGUACUUUAUCCUCGGACAAUUCUUACAAUUCCUUCAUCUCGUGCAUGAAUUCUAUAUAUCAAUGUCCUUCAUAAUUUCACAAAAAUUAACACAUUAAUCCACUUACUAAUCAAAUUUUAAACACUUAAACAAUAUUUAAUCAAUCAUCACCAAAAGAGUUCAAAUAUGGCUUUAAUCUUCUCAAAAGUUAUAUGCACUUGUACAAAAUAUACGUUAAAUAUUCACUUAUUAAAUUCCCCCACACUUGAAUCAUUGCUUGUUCUCAAGCAAUUUCACACAUAACUUACCAAAUGAUUCAAGAGAUAAAACAAUAUACGUACUCUUGUCAAAUUUAAUUUCUCAAAACCUAGAAAUCAAUCAUUAUGCCAUUUCUCAGAUUAUACUAAAUACUCAUAAUAUCAAGUUAAAGAAAGAUAAUUAUGCAUUAAUUUUAACAACUUCAAAUCAAUCUCUCAUUCUAUCCUAAUUCCACAAAUAAGUAAAUUGCAUAGGCAAUUCUAUGGCCUUCCUGAUCCCAUGACCAUCAAAACUUAACAAUUGAGAGGGAUUUAUUCACACUUCAUUAUUUUUAAAUAGUGAAAUCACCUUUUUAUGCGAAAAUCGACACUUUUAGGUGAAGAUUCCCGGUUACUCAACAUUUCACUUAUUCAAAUUGCUAAGCAUACUCUUAAUUCCAAUACCUUUUUACGCGAAUGUUAAUAUUUGUAAAUGCCAACCCCCGAUUACUUAGUAUGUGAAUCAUUAGAGUAGAAAAAUAAUAUCAAUAUAUAUAUAUUUUUAAAUAUUUUUCUUUUCCCUCUAAGCAUAAUUAAAAGAAGAAUCUAGCCUUGUCUUGACUAUAUCAAUCACUGAUAGGGUGUUAAUUGUUAGCAAUUUUAUUGUUAAUUUUCCCUUUUAUCCUUGCCAAAUAAUGUUUUAAUUAUUAAUAUUUACUUAUAUUUGGUUUGUGGACUUAAUUUCAGGAAUGGAACAGAAAACUACCAAAUAUGAGGGUCUUUCUGGAGAUAAUUGAGAUUUCAAGCAAGCCGCAGUGCCGAAAAGAACUGGACUCCCGUUCCUUUACUUUUGUUGACUAAGAAGACUACAACCAGAGACUGCGGCAGAGAGAACUUCAAGGCUUGGGCCUUUGACUUCAGCAGGGACCACGGAGGAAAGGACAAGGGCUUUAGUCAUUUGGCUCUUAAGAGCAACGUAGAGAGCCAGGAAACUAAGAAGUAAUUGGGAGGCUUGUGGCUAAGUGGUGGGGACCGCACAGGGGCUCAAAACAAGGAGGUGAAUUCGGCAGGCUUGUGCUAAUUCGUUGGGACCACGAAACAAGAAGUAGUUUUUGUUUUAGAAUAGGAGAGCUUCGUUUUGUUUUUGCUUCUAGCUAGUUCCUUCGUAUUCAUUACUUUAUAUAUAGCUUUGCCGUUUUCUUCUAGGGAGGAUGGAGACAUAGUUUGUUUUCAAUAAUUACUUCUGCACUUUUGCAUGGGAUUUCCUCCAUGAAGAUGAAUUAAAUCCCUUCGUCUAGUCAAGGAACAACGGAGGAUUUGGUUCUACUAAAUUUGUGAGAUCGAAUUAGUUUAUAUUUAUUUCCAUUAUUCACUGGUAUUUGUCUAUCUUCUGCUUUAUGUUCAUAUGGUUGUUUUACUAUUCGAUUAUCCAGGGCCCGGAUUCUAGAUUAAUUAAAUAACCUGAAACCAAUUAGGGUAGUUAAAUCCGUAAUUGUUUAAUUAUUCUAAACUGGUGGCAACUGGCAUGAUUGGGUUUGUGUCAGGGAGAUAGGCAGGCUAACUUAAAGAGACCCUCGUAGCGUGUUGAUUGGUUAGAAUUAGGCUCUUCUAAUUAUUCAUGCAAUUAGGGAAUUGAACUUCUAUGGUCGUACCUAGGGUUAUUUCCUGAUUAGAGAAAUAGUCAACGGUCGUACCUUGGCUAUCGACAAAUUGAGGAAGAGUUGGUUGUUUAUCGCGUGUAUGACAACUAUAACUAAUUUAUCAGAUAGUAACUAGAAUAAUCCUUGCAUCUGUGAUCGAAUUAAGUGAACCAUCUCCGAAGUUGUCUCUUGGCUAGAGUUCGUCCAUUAUUAUUUUUAUUGUGAUAAUUAGUUAUUUGAGUUGUAGCUAUUUUAUUUUAUUUUAAUUUAUUCCAAGUAAUUUAGUUACUCUCAUUUUCAAAAACCCCCUCAUACUUCGGACUCUAAAAGAAAUAAAUUAUCCCCAAUCCCUGUGGAUUCGACCCUGCUUAUCACUAUCUACAGAAAUUAUAUUUUAUUUAAGCAGGUAUUUAUUAUUGCACAGGUUUGACACCCUGUCAAUUUUUGGCGCCGUUGCCGGAGACUGGUGCCAGAUUAAUUUGUUUCUUUUUGAGUUCAUCUUGUUUUUAUUUAUUUUUCUCCUAUUUUUUUUAUAUAGUUUAUGGCUUCUAACACUCCGUAUUUUGGUGAUAGACUGGAUUUUGUUUCCAGGAAAGGCAAUGAGGCUUCUUUUUUUGCUAAGUUUGCAUAUUCAGAGGCACUAAACUCUAUUAGAGAAAGGAUGGCUGCUGCAACCUGUAAAAUUUGUUAUGCCAGGGAUCAUUCAACCGGUAUGUGCCCCGAAUAUCAAGAUAAUCUGAGUGUCUCACUCAAUAAUUAUGGAGAUUUUUCAUCCUGGUCUCAAACGUGGUAUAACCCUAAUCCAAACGGGUAUGAUCAAGGAUGGUGGGAUAACUCCAGUUAUAAUUAUACAACAGGGCCAAUGAAUUUUCAGCAGUAUGAGUCUCAAGAAUCGUCAUCUAUGUCAGGUAUGUCUCUUGAAGAAAUAGUUGAAUCAAUAGCUACUAAUACAUACCAAUUCCAACAGGAGACACAAAUGAGGAAUGAGAUGAUGACGGAUGCAAUGAGUAAUCUGGCAGAUCAACUAUGUCUAUUGACAUCCAGAAUAAAUCGAUUGGCUUCUCAAAUGGAAGAAUUGCCCUCGAAAACCAUUGUUGAUUUUGAAGAAAAUGAGAGUGCAAUUUGCUUGACUAGUGAUGAGGAGAUGCAAGAGUGUCAAAAUGAGAGAUCUACAGAUGCAGUUGAAAAAGGAGCCGAAAAUGAAGAAAUGGAACCCCAACCGCAACCCAUUCAAGUGAAAGAAUCCAGUGAAGAAUCAUCAAAUGUGAUGACACCACCUCCAUUCCCUAACCCACAUUUUCUUAACUCUUACUCUAUGAUUUCUGUUAAUGAGAUUGAUUUUGUUAUACCGGAAGUUCUUGAGUCUCAUGGCAGGAAUGAGUUAAGAGUAGCUAUGGUCAAAUAUCUUGAACCGUUGAAUGCUCUUGAUGGAGGAGUGGAUGAAGAAUUGCGAUCAAUGCUUGAUUAUUUGGCGCCAUCAACUAGUCCAUGGAAAAUCGUAACUCGUGUACUCAAAGAUUACUCCAUCUAUGAGGGUUACCAUGAUCACAUUGAAGAUGAAGUAUUGAACCGAGCCACAAGAUUUUAUCCUCCGUGAACAAGCAUAGCAUGUCUAGCCAAAGACAUUAAAGAAAGGCGCUUUUUGGGAGGCAACCCAAUUGUUGAUUUUGUUAUUUUUGUGUUCAAUUUCUUAAAUAUGUCGUUUCUCACUUGGGUACUAAUCACCUUGAUGUUUCCUCACUAUGACCAGAAUAGGUAAUUUUGGCGUGCCCACGCAAGGAGGGCACGCGUUAAGCGUCUAAAUUCAAGUCUCAUGGUCAGUGGACGUUAUACAAUCUUGGCGUGCCCACGCGGUGUUUGACGACCCAAAAACAAAGGAAAUAAUUUUUCACUUUAAAAAAAAUAAAAAAUAAAAAUAAUUUUUUUAAAAAAUAAAAGUAAUUUCCUUUUUCAUUUUCAGUUUUGGUAUUCAAAAAUCGAAUUUUCCAAUCUCAAUUCAAUUUAAAAAUAUAUAUAUUUCUUUUUCUUUCUUUCUUCUUCUUUUUUUCUUUCUUUCUUCCUUCUUCCCGCUACUUUCCCUUUCCCCCUGUCCUUUUCUACUUCAGCCGCCGCCUCCAUGCUCCACCACCGCCCUCACGCCAUCAGAUCGCGGCCUCACCUCACGGUCCACCGCCAGCUCGUGGCCAAGCCGCGCCUCUCCUCCACUUUCACCUUCCAGGAGCGCCGCCAGGAGCUGCCACGAGUUUGCUCGUCCGCCACCAGCUCGCGGCCGAGGCUUGCCGCGCCUCUCCCCGCCACAACUCUUCUCCAGCUUUGACCACCACGCACACGCAGCUCCUCCUCUUCACGGCCAUCGCGCACUACUGUGCGUCGCCCAAGCCCCAUGCUACUGCGCCCUCGCGCGCAGCCUCCUCGCGCGCCGCGCACAGCAGCUCCACCUGGCGCGAUCUUCUCUCCCUCCCAUCCUCAGCUCACGCCGCCGCCAGAUUUCCUCUCUCCACCACCACACGAGAGCUCUUCCUGCUUCACUCCUGAACAAUCGCGCCGCCACAGCCCUCGGCAAGACCCUCCAGCGCGCGAACUAACCAGCUAGCAACUCCCUGCUCUUCUUCCAGCGCCGCCACAGCUGCCGACAGAGACCAAGGGUGCCGCCCAUCCAGCGCUCGACUGUCUACCCUUCCCCCGUGGCCUCGCCGCUGCUGCCUGAAGCUCCAACAGCCUCCACCAGCUCAUAAGCUCACAAGCUCCAGUGCCGCGAGCUCCGCUCUAGAGCACGCCGCGCACCCCCAAGCUCCACUCACGCACGCCAACAGCUCCGCCCCACGCGAGCUUUUCUGUCCAGCCACGCCAUCACCACCUGUCAAAAUUGACAGGUGGAGGUAUUGUAAUUUCUUCCCCGAUUAACAUAGAUUUCUGGAAUUUGUGUUUGGAUUUUUGGUUGGAUAGAAGAAGGUAUUAAUUUGGGCAAUUGCUAGGGUCAAUUUUGGACAGAAUUGGGUUGAAUUGCUGCCAUAGUGGGGAAAUUUUUUGCUAUUCAUUGCAUUGUUGGCUGGUUGAUUAAUUUUUCCCUGGGACUCACCAGUGGUACUGGUUGAGAUCUUUUGCCUAUCGUUGUUGCGGCUAUUUGAAGCUACUUGCUUAUUUUAAAGUUUAAGUUCUCGUGGUUGAGUUGCUGUCGUUGAUUUAAUACUUUCCUGUCUGAGCACCAGUGGUACUGGUUGCAGUGUUGCUUAAAAUUAUUAAUUCUCAAUUUCUAUUUGGUUACUGCUGGAAUUGCUAGUUCCGUGGCUCAAGUGCUACUUUUGAGCGUUUGACGUGGGUAAUUGACUGUCCAAUUGGUGACAUUUGUUGAGUUUCACUUGCUCGAAUUGGUUGAAUUCACUGCUUUGUUGGGGUCAUUUUUGGUAUCACUUAAGUCCUAUUUUGCUAAUUUCUGUAUUGAGUCCAUUGACGUGAUAUGUUGGAAUAUUUUGGCUGUGACGAAGUUACUUUGCUUGGAAUUUCUGUGUGCCGUUAGUAGGAUAACUGUUGGGUUUGUCUAUUGACUCUCGCGGCACCUGUGUCCCUUGUUUGGUUAUUGCCAUUGGUUGAUUUUCAUUUACUUGUUGGGAACAAUUUGCUAUUGUUGGGAGAAAUUGACCGGUGGGACAUUUGUCGAGUACUUGGGUAGACGCAUUUGCAUUUAAUUAUCCGGUUGCGGGAUAAUAUUUUACUCACUUGAUUGUUGCCUUACCCUUAGGUGUGACUUCUGCUUUACUGGUUUAAUACAUUUGCUGGGACACCGUUUCUAUUGUUGGUCAGAUUGUUAAGUGAGACACAUUUUGUGGAUAUUGACUUGCUUAUUGUCCUUAUUGGGGCUGUAGUUGUUAUUGAAUUGUCUAGGACCCUCGACCCACAUCAUUGUUGGAGUGUUUAUGUACCAUACGGGUCUUGCACCUCAAUUUCCACCUCAAUCGCUGCUGUGACCCCGUCCCUAUUUUGAUGAUUUCAGGAAGUACCGUUGCCCCUCUCCUUCCUUCUGCUUUUACAUUAUCACAUUGAGGGCAAUGUGUGAAUUAGGUGUGGGGGGAUCGUUGUGGUGCUAGUAUUUUUUGUUGUUAGUUCUAGGGGCUUUUCCUUUAUUUUUAGUUAGUUUUUGCCUAUUUUCAUUUAUUUCUUUUCUUUUUCUUUCUAGUGAUCAGUUUCAUAUGAAUACCAAGUUUUUGAUGCUGGAUUGUUCUCUAAUUCUGUUAUUGCCAAGUUUAUUAAUAAAAAGAUAUCAAGUUUGAUGUGGUUGAGUUCAAGAACAUCUCUCUGGUGGAAUAUCAGUAAUGACUUGACUUUUCUAAUUUUUUAGUUAACUUUUCUAGGCAUAGGGAAUGCUUGUUGGCAUUUUCAUGUGAAUUGGUCCAGUUAUUAAUUUUAACUCUCCAUGUUUGGAAAUUUGAGGCUGGCUGCUGUUAUUUUUUAUUAUUUUUUAGUUAUUGUGCUAUAUGAUUGCGGAAUAAGAUGACUGUACUCGCUAUGGUUACUACUGAGUAACCGGGGAUCUUCACCUAAAGUGUCGAUUCUCGCGUCAAAUGUAGUAGUUGCUAUGAGUGCGUGGUCCUGUAGCGAUUGGAGCUGAGUAACGAUCCUCCAUCUGUCAAAUGUUGGAGUUCGCGUCAAAAGGUUCUAAGGGCUAUAGACUAAGUCUUUGUUACUCAAAAAAAAAAAAAAAGGAAAAAAACAAAAACAAAAACAAAAGAAAAAAAAUAAAAUAAAGAUUGUUUAGUAUGUGAAUAAGUCAGCUUGCCGGUUUGUGAUCUUAAUGUCGAGAUUUUGGUUAAUAGUUGGACCAUUUGCUGAUAAAUGUGAGCAACCAUCCUUUUUCUUAAAUUAGUUUGCUUUAAAUUGGAGGAGUUGCUUUAAAUAUGGAUUUAAUCUUCUCAAAACAUACCAAAAGUUUAUGCCAAACUUGUACAAAAUAUACGUUAAAUAUUCACUUAUUAAAUUCCCCCACACUUGAAUCAUUGCUUGUUCUCAAGCAAUUUCACACAUAACUUACCAUAAUGAUUCAAGAGAUAAAACAAUAUACGUACUCUUGUCAAAUUUAAUUUCUCAAAAACCUAGAAAUCAAUCAUUAUGCCAUUUCUCAGAUUAUACUAAAUACUCAUAAUAUCAAGUUAAAGAAAGUAAUUAUGCAUUAAUUUUAACAACUUCAAAUCAAUCUCUCAUUCUAUCCUAAUUCCACAAAUAAGUAAAUUGCAUAGGCAAUUCUAUGGCCUUCCUGAUCCCAUGACCAUCAAAACUUAACAAUUGAGAGGGAUUUUUCACACUUCAUUAUUUUUAAAUAGUGAAAUCACCUUUUUAUGCGAAAAUCGACACUUUUAGGUGAAGAUUCCCGGUUACUCAACAUUUCACUUAUUCAAAUUGCUAAGCAUACUCUUAAUUCCAAUACCUUUUUACGCGAAUGUUAAUAUUUGUAAAUGCCAACCCCGAUUACUUAGUAUGUGAAUCAUUAGAGUAGAAAAAUAAUAUCAAUAUAUAUAUAUUUUUAAAUAUUUUUCUUUUCCCUCUAAGCAUAAUUAAAAGAAGAAUCUAGCCUUGUCUUGACUAUAUCAAUCACUGAUAGGGUGUUAAUUGUUAGCUUUUUAUUGUUAAUUUUCCCUUUUAUCCUUGCCAAAUAAUGUUUUAAUUAUUAAUAUUUACUUAUAUUUGGUUUGUGGACUUAAUUUCAGAAUGGAACAGAAAACUACCAAAUAUGAGGGUCUUUCUGGAGAUAAUUGAGAUUUCAAGCAAGCCGCAGUGCCGAAAAGAACUGGACUCCCGUUCCUUUACUUUUGUUGACUAAGAAGACUACAACCAGAGACUGCGGCAGAGAGAACUUCAAGGCUUGGGCCUUUGACUUCAGCAGGGACCACGGAGGAAAGGACAAGGGCUUUAGUCAUUUGGCCCUUAAGAGCAACGUAGAGAGCCAGGAAACUAAGAAGUAAUUGGGAGGCUUAUGGCUAAGUGGUGGGGACCGCACAAGGGCUCAAAACAAGGAGGUGAAUUCGGCAGGCUUGUGCUAAUUCGUAGGGACCACGAAACAAGAAGUAGUUUUUGUUUUAGAAUAGGAGAGCUUCGUUUUGUUUUUGCUUCUAGCUAGUUCCUUCGUAUUCAUUACUUUAUAUAUAGCUUUGCCGUUUUCUUCUAGGGAGGAUGGAGACAUAGUUUGUUUUCAAUAAUUACUUCUGCACUUUUGCAUGGGAUUUCCUCCAUGAAGAUGAAUUAAAUCCCUUCGUCUAGUCAAGGAACAACGGAGGACUUGGUUCUACUAAAUUUGUGAGAUUGAAUUAGUUUUUAUUUGUUUCCAUUAUUCACUGGUAUUUGUCUAUCUUCUGCUUUAUGUUCAUAUGGUUGUUUUAUUAUUCGAUUAUCCAGGGCCCGAAUUCUAGAUUAAUUCAAUAACCUGAAACCAAUUAGGGUAGUUAAAUCCGUAAUUGUUUAAUUAUUCUAAACUGGUGGCAACUGGCAUGAUUGGGUUUGUGUCAGGGAGAUAGGCAGGCUAACUUAAAGAGACCCUCGUAGCGUGUUGAUUGGUUAGAAUUAGGCUCUUCUAAUUAUUCAUGCAAUUAGGGAAUUGAACUUCUAUGGUCGUACCUAAGGUUAUUUCCUGAUUAGAGAAAUAGUCAACGGUCGUACCUUGGCUAUCGACAAAUUGAGGAAGAGUUGGUUGUUUAUCGCGUGUAUGACAACUAUAACUAAUUUAUCAGAUAGUAACUGAAAUAAUCCUUGCAUCUGUGAUCGAAUUAAGUGAACCAUCUCCGAAGUUGUCUCUUGGCUAGAGUUCGUCCAUUAUUAUUUUUAUUGUAAUAAUUAGUUAUUUGAGUUGUAGCUAUUUUAUUUUAUUUUAAUUUAUUCCAAGUAAUUUAGUUACUCUCAUUUUCAAAAACCCCCAUACUUCGGACUCUAAAAGAAAUAAAUUAUCUCCAGUCCCUAUGGAUUCGACCAUGCUUAUCACUAUCUACAGAAAUUAUAUUUUAUUUAAGCAGGUAUUUAUUAUUGCACAGGUUUGACACCUGUCAAUUUUAGGCCCAAUGAAUGAUGGCCCAAUUGCGGUCUAACUGAGCUGUUGAAUCCAACGGCUAUUGGAUCCAUUGGGCCGCGUAAUUUCUAGUGGGCCUCUCCUCAGGCCCAGGUCAAUUUAAUCGAACAUGUUCUCAAUUUCUUGAUCCAGUGGGCCGUUUAAAGUGUAAUUGGCCUGUGCAAUAAUAAUAAUAAUAAUAACCUAAAUACCACUAAAAAGCUGUCAAUAAUUAAUCCUAGUUACUGGAGCAGGGACUCUAGGUGUGCAAUGGGUUACUUGAUUCACCCUGUUUUCGAAGAGUUUGCUGAAUCGAUAUACCAGAAUUAAUUAGUUGGCAAAAAUUACUGAAUAGUAGACAGUGGCAAGUAGGGUCGUUCCUCAGGGAUUGGGGAUAUUUAUCUCUCUUAAAUUCCAAUUAGUAUGGGGGAUUUCACCAGAAUGAAACUAACAAUAAUUAGACAAUUCAAAAUAAAAAUGAAUACUUAACUAGCACAAAUUGAGCAGGAAUUAAAUUAAGAAUAAAUAAAUUCUAGCCACGGAUGCAACUACUCAGGCACAGUCCAUUUUCCGAUCAUUGAUACAAGAGAGGUUCACUCAAUUUAUUAAUAGGCUAGUUAUAGCCAUCGAUGAACUCUAAUGAUCAAUUUUUCCUUAAUUUAUAGAUGACCAAGGUACGACCAUUAAUCACCCCUAACCAGAAAAGUACUCCUAGGUACGACCGUAGGAAUUAAUUUUUCAAUUGCAUUAAUAACCAAAAAAACCUAACCCUAAUCAAUAACACGCUACGAGGGUUAUUUAAAUUAGAUUGCACGUUCCCCUAAUGUGUAAACACACCAGUUGUCAUUAAUAUUAAUCAAUCAAACAAUUACGGAUUAAUCGACUAAAUUGGCACGAGAUUAGUAAAUCACAUUGAACAUCGGGCCCUUGACAUCCAAUUAAUAAAAUAAUCCCAUGAAAAUUCAAGCAGACAAUGUGCAAAUAUUAGUAAAUAAAGGAACACGUGAAAACUAAUUAGAUCUCACAGAUUUUCGGGACUGCGCCGUCGAGUUGACCUUUGACUAGAUGGAAGACUUAGCCACGCCGUAUAAUUAAAUCACCACACGAAUUAAUAAAUUGCAAAGGCAUUGCGUUUUCUAUUAGGAAGCAAGGAAUAAAAGGUGUUUUUCCCGUUGGGGAAUAUUGUCGAACACUUGGCGUGUGUCAGAGGCCAGUCAGGAGAAAGAAAGAAAAACUAAAGACUAGGCUAAAAACUAAAACUAAAAGGUGGUGUCUUCCUUCCCUAUGUUAUCCCUAUUUAAGAAACAAAAGAAAGAUAGACUAAAGCUAUCUAGGUGGUCCCCACACAUGUGGACAAAUCCUCCAAAGUACUUCUUCUUCCAAGUCUCUCUACUUUGCUUUCUUUGAAGAGUCCAAAUGACUAAAUGCCUUCCACUAACUUGUGGUCCCCACCAAUUCAAGGGCCCAAGAACUGAAGCCCUUAGAAGUCUCCAAUUUUUCAUAAAGUCCCUCCUUUUUGAUAGUUUUCUGCUUCAUUCCUGAAAUUAAGUCCAGAUACCAAAUAUGAGUAAAUAUUAGCAAUUAACACAAUAUUUAUCAGGGAUAAAACGGGAAAUUAAUAAUAAAAUUACUAACAAAUUAUACCCUAUCAAUUCCCCCACACUUGAAUCAUGCUUGCCCUCAAGCAUAGGGACAACUCAACUCAAAAUUGGCUAACUUUCACAUUAUCGUCACCAGCUGUGCUUAUACCCAAAAUCAAGAUUUAGUGGCUAAGUGUCAAGACAUCUCUCCCGGUUAGCUCCUAAGUUCAUAGACCUGUCCAGUUCAUGGCUAACUUGCCUAUGAAAUCCAAAUAUUAACUAGCAACAGUCAGUAAUUAAGUCAACUGGCAACCAAAAUCUCAACAGUGCGAACCAAGGAUCGGCAGGCCAACAUGAUCAUAAACUCAAAUUUUUCACAUCUGAUUUUUCUUCUUCUUCUUUUUUUCUUUUCUUCGUUUUUCUGAUUGAUUUUUUUUUCCUUGAUUUUUUCCCCUUUUUUUUUUAAAAUUGCAUGAAUAAUGCUGAGUCCCAAGCUAUUCAAGUCUUUUGACGUGAACUCUGACAUUUUUAGAUGAAAGAGCCCAGUUACUCAACUUUUCACACGCCAGGACUACUUACUCAUAGAUAUCGCCACUUUUUGACGCGAGAGCCGACACUUGUGGUGAAAGCUCCCGGUUACUAGGUGGCGACACUAGCGGAGUAUAGCCAUAUGUUAUUCACCAAUAAGCACCAAAAUACCAAGUAAUUACAGAUCAUAGCCUGCGUCAUGUCCUACAUAUGGAGAACUAAGGUAAACAGGAGACCAAUCUACCCAACAAUGCCAGCAAAAUAUUCACAUCGCCUAGACAAGUCAGCCAUAAAUUGCACCAAGUCUUAAACUCAAAAUAUUCACCAAGACAGCAUGCUCUUACUUGCCACCGAAACUCAAGUCAUAGUAUAAACCACAACUAACAAGAAGAAAGUGAGCUGCCAACAUAUUCACCAAGAUAAAGCAAGGGAAAACACCCAAAAGGGAUAAAGGAGCAACACCUAAACAGAAAAUACUUAAACUAAAAACAUAGGAAAAACACCCCAGAAACGGAAAUGAGAAAUAUCUAGCACUCAAACAAAGACCCCCCCACACCUAAAUGACACAUUGCCCUCAAUGUGAUAAACCAGCAACAAAAGUAAAGAGAAGGGCAACGGUACUUCCCAGAGUCGUCAGAACAUGGGAGGGUUAGGCGGAAAUUGAGGAGGGAACCCGGCUUGCUGCAUAAAUGCCGCUAGAUUCUGCGCCAUAUUGUGAAUGUUAACGUCCAUGUGUUCGCUUCUCAAGCCGUUCGACUGUGUUUCGGAGAUGGUGCCAUUCCUCGGCCGUAGGGGCGGAAGAAGAAUUACUGAAUCCGAUAUACCAGAAUUAAUUAGUUGGCAAAAAUUACUGAAUAGUAGACAGUGGCAAGUAGGGUCGUCUCCUCAGGGACUGGGGAUAUUUAUCUCUUUUAGAGUCCGAAGUAUUGGGGGUUUUUGAAAAUGAGAGUAACUAAAUUAUGUGGAAUAAAUUAAAAUAAAAUAAAAUAGUUACAACUCAAAUAACUAAUUAUCACAAUAAAAAUAAUAAUGGACGAACUCUAGCCAAGAGACUUGGAGAUGGUUCACUUAAUUCGAUCACAGAUGCAAGGAUUAUUCCAGUUACUAUCUGAUAAAUUAGUUAUAGUUGUCAUACACGCGAUAAACAACCAACUCUUCCUCAAUUUGUCGAUAGCCAAGGUACGGCCGUUGACUAUUUCUCUAAUCAGGAAAUAACCCUAGGUACGACCAUAGAAGUUCAAUUCCCUAAUUGUAUGAAUAAUUAGAAGAGCCUAAUUCUAACCAAUCAACACGCUACGAGGGUCUCUUUAAGUUAGCCUGCCUAUCUCCCUAACACAAACCCAAUCAUGCCAGUUGCCACCAGUUUAGAAUAAUUAAACAAUUACGGAUUUAACUACCCUAAUUGGCACGAGAUUAAUAAAUCACAUUGAACAUCGGGCCCUUGACAUCCAAUUAAUAAAAUAAUCCAUGAAAAUUCAAGCAGACAACGUGCAAAUAUUAAUAAAUAAAGGAACACGCGAAAACUAAUUAGAUCUCACAGAUUUUCGGGACUGCGCCGUCGAGUUGACCCUUGACUAGAUGGAAGACUUAGCCACGCCGCAUAAUUAAAUCACCACACGAAUUAAUAAAUUGCAAAGACAUUGCGUUUUCUAUUAGGAAGCAAGGAAUAAAAUGUGUUUUUCCCGUUGGGGAAUAUUGUCGAACACCUGGCGUGUGUCAGAGGCCAGUCAGGAGAAAGAAAGAAAAACUAAAGACUAGGCUAAAAACUAAAACUAAAAGGUGGUGUUGUCGCGCCCCGUUUUUCGCGACGGAAAAGAAAAAUAAAGUGUGAGAUUUAUAAAAGAUAUGAUUUUAUUUUUAAACAAGUUAAAAGGGACCUAGAAUGGGACUUAAAAAGAAUGCGACAAUUUGGGUCCAAAAUUUAGUCUAAAAGGGUUUUUAAGAAAAAAACAGGAGUCGCCACUUGGUAUGGAGUUUUGGUGUACCAAGUCACCCAAAAAAAUAAAGUAAAACAAAAUAAAACCCUUUUUGACAACUCCAGGUCUUUGAAAACAAGAGAAAAUGGAUUCGGGAGUCACGGUUGAAGAAAGGGAAGGCAAAGAUUCGAUUAACUCAAAUCUAAGGCACCCUUUCAACCUAGUCUAAGCUAGUUGCGAGGUUUAGUCAAAAUUUUCCUAAUCUAACCCUUAAUUUAUCACAUUUGGAUGUUUUCUAUAUAAAUGCAAAUCUAAAAAAUAUCGCAAGGGACAACAUGUUCAUUCAAGGGUUUAAUUGAACCAAUCGCAUUAAUUGCGAAGGUCAAAAUAAAUCCUCGAAGGUGUCACAAGGAUGCAAAUGAUGAAAAAGAAAAGAAAAUAAAAGAAAAGAAAUUAAAUUAUAUACACAUAUAUAAGUGAUCAAAGAAAAAGGGAAUGCAACAUAAAGGGUACGGGAGGCAAAAAAAAAUUCGUGACAUAAUUUUCUUAUACAUGGAUUAAUAGGGUAUUUAAACUAGAAAGUUAUAAUCACCCAUUUCCCAUGUUUGAAAAAUAAUUAUCCUAACAUGAACAAGCAAAUGAACUAGCUUAAAUGGGAUGCAAUUCUAAAUGACAUGAUUAGCACCUAUAGCGGGUAGGGGAUAAUAAAAUAGGGAAUAUCAUGCAAAUGAGAAAAGAUCCUAAAAAUGAAAAUAUGCAUGAAAAUGUGGUGAAUAGCAUACAAUGAUGAAUCUAGCGCAAGAUGACCUAAAGGGUCUAGCGUUGGACUAGCCCAUUUCUAAAAAUCCUUGCUAGCGUUGGACUAGCAAGUAAGCGGAGGGAGAAACCACAACUAGCGUUGGACUAGUGUGGUGACGUCAUGCAUUAACAAUUCAUAGCGAAACAAAUAAAACAUAAAUUAAAACAAAUAAACACAUAAGAGCACGUAGCACAUAACACGUAAACAUAAUAUCUAGAUGCCAAAAUCCUAAGAAAAGCGGACAAAACACAUAACACAUAAGCCACAUAAACACGCAACCUAUCUAUUACAUCGGGGGCGCCUAACUACAAUCUAGAAGGGAAAAAUAUAAUAAAACAAAUCUAAUUAUCCUAUCUAUUACAUUUUUGAGGUAUUUAAAUGCCUCUUGAAUCAUUAUAAAAAUUAACUAAAACAUAUAUAAGAAAAUUUGAAUGAAUAUCUAAAUCAAGUAAAUAAAGCAUAUAAAAAUAUAUAAACACAUAGGAACAAAUAGGAGCACAUAAGAGCACGUAAUUGACAUUGAAAUAAUAAAAUAGGGGUACCUCCCGUUUGAAGUGGUGACUAAAUGGAGUCAAAUUGUCCUAUUUAUACUCACAAUGAACAAAAGAAUCAUGGCACCACUUUAAUUGAAAAUAAUAAUAAUGUUAAAAUACUAAAUUCACAUUAACAUGUCAAACGCAAAGAAAUUUAAGAACAUCUAAAAAUUGCAAGUUGAAUAUGUUCAAAAAUAACAUAAUUAGUUAUUAAAGAAAAGAAACAAUCAUAAUAAAGAGAGUCAAAAUUCAUCAGGGACUGAAUUGCAAAAAUUGAAAAAAAAACUUUUGGGGACAAAAAUUAUAUUUUUCAAAGUUUAGGGGGUCAAAAUUAAAUGAAAGAUAAAAUUCAGGGACCAAAGUGAAAUUAAUUUAAGGACCAAAGUGAAAGAAUUUUAAAAUGUUCUGGGCCACAAUAAAACUACUCCAAAGAUCAAGGGCCAAAGUGCAAAUCGUAACCAGAUCUGGGCAAGAUAAAGGGCAUCGGGCCACUCUUUUUAUUUUAUUUGGGCCAAACCUACCUAAGCCCAACUGAAAACCCAAGCUAAAACACACAGGCCAGCCCGUCUUUUUAUCCCUCAAGCCCAGCCAAAAAUUCAUGGGCUCCAACCUCCGAGCCCAACUGAAACCCAAAAGAAAAAUAAACCAAAGCCCAUCCUCAAAACCUAACAAAAAUAACCAUAAGCCCACCUAAAAAAAUAAAACACUAGCCCAAACCCCUUUUUUCUUUCUCUUUUCUUUCUUUCCUUUCUUUUCUUUCUUCCCCGAUCGUUUCUUUCUCUGCUUCUUCGGCCAGCUGAAGCUUCUUCAGCUGGCGGCCAUGGCGGUCGCCAGUGGCGCCGCCGCCACCGGACCGCCGUCGCCGGUGGUCGCCGGCGACCUCUCCGGUCACCGAAUUUCCCCAAAAUACACUCCCUCACUCGAUUUUUCGCGUAGAUUCCAUUUUCGGAGUUAGUUUUUACAAAAGAUGAUCUGAAAGUGUCCAAAAUGUAAAAUAAACAGCCCAGUUUUUAUAUUUUUAAAACCUCAAAUCUUCACCAAAAAUCACAAAAAUCAUGCCAAAACACUCCUUAUAGCUUCUGUAUGAUAACUAAAAUCUUAGUUAACAAGAACACAACAACAAAAAACUACAUUUAAGGCAAAACAGUCCCUAAAAUUCUUUUUUUUUUUUUACUUUGGCAUUUUAUCAAACAUUAAUAAUGCAUACACCAACCGUACUUCCUUUCUCCCUAAUCUGGUUAUACCAUUUCCCUAACAACAUAAUGAUAGCAAAUCCAACAAGAGAGAGAAACAAACUAAUGUCUAGACAUGCUUAUGGUACGGGACAUAAAGAAUUUGGGUAACCAAAGAAAAUUUCAGCACCAACUUUGAAUUUAAACAAGGAAUAGCAAGGAAAAGAAAAAGAAAAAGCGAGAGCCUUACCUUGCCUGGCAGUGGAGGAAUUACACAGCGGUAGUGGCAAUGGCGAUUUUUGAUGAUCGUAUGGUCUUCCACUUGUUCCCUUAACUCCUCCUUUCUAUUUUCUUUUUCUUUUCUCCUUGUAUCCGAGAGAGAGCAAUGGGAAUUGUUGUUGGUGUGGGGAGUGUAUGUGAAAUUUUUGGAAGGGGAGAGUCGAGAGUGGGUUGGGGAGUAGUUUUUUUUUGUUUGUGGCUUCUCUUCUGUGAUAGGGAGAGCCGAGUGAAGAGUUUUUUUUUUUCUUCUUGUUCUACCUCUGAGAGAGGCCAGAGAGUCGAUAUUUGGAGAGAAAAAGAUGAGCUUGUGUGUGUGUUUGGUCAAAAUGAUUAUAUUUUACCAAAUGACAAGAAAGUUGAGUGUAGGAAUGGGUUAAGUGUAUUUUGUGGGGAAAAUGAUGAAAAUGUGUAAGUUUAGUAAUAAUUUGAUUUUGACUUCAUUUUUUUAUUUUUUUUAUUUUUAUUUUAUUUUUAUUUUUUUUAUUUAUUUAUUUUUUUUAGUUUUAUUUUUGUUGUUGUUUUGUCUUCUUUUUUUUUAAACAAACCUGCAAAAUUGAGAAAAAUGCACAUUAAAAUGCUAAAAAAUAAAUAAUUCAUUAAAUAGAAAAUUUUGAGAAAAUAUUAAAAAUCGACAGAAAUUUGGUGUCUACACUUAGCCACUUGAAGGUGAAGCUCUCCAAUUCCUGCUAUGCUCUUGCACAAUAUGAUUACAAGUAAAAACUCCAAAUACUUCUCCAAGAACUCCUAUCUAGAGAGAAACUAGAUACCAGAAAGAAAACUAGCUACGUAUGGUAAUCCCUCUUCUCCCCAGUCUUUCUGCAUAAAAAUGUGGUAGAAAUUUCAUUCCUCUCACUUCAUAAUUUCUUCCACUCAGAUUUUGUAAAAAGAGGUCAAAGAUAUGAUGUCUCCUUUUGUCCACAUUCAUUUGGUCUUCUCUUUUGUUGCAGAAGCAUGUGCCACCGAUUUCUGUCCCUCAAAAUAGCUGGAAAGUUGUGAAAAAGGUAAAGAAAAACGGCUAUGGCACUUGCUGAGGAGAGAGACAGAUCCGAGCCUCGGAUCCGAGGAGUGAAAAUUGGAUCCGAGCUCGGAUAUUAGGAUCCGAGGGCUUCCAUGAUGGAUCCGAGGUCGGAUCAUCCUGACCUCGGAUACACUCCGCCAGAAGUACAGACUAGGGGUCGGAUCCCUCUUGUACACACAGAUCCGUGCUCGGAUCUGUGUUGAACAAUUUUCCAGUUUUUCACUUCUUCCCUUUUUCUACAUUUUUGCUCCCAAUUUCUUGUGUACUUUGUCUUCUGAAUGACCCUGACAUUUCUUUCAACUUGUGCAUGAAUUUCAUACAUCAAUUACCUUCACAAUUUCACAAAAUUAACGCAUUAAUCCACUAAUUUAUCAAUUUCUGAACUCUUAAACAAUAUUUAAGCAAUUAUCACCAAAAGAGUUCAAAUAUGGCUUUAAUCUUCUCAAAACAUACCAAAAAUUCAUGCCAAAUUCGUACAAAAUGUACGUUAAAUAUUCACUUAUCAAAUUCCCCCACACUUGAAUCAUUGCUUGUCCUCAAGCAAUUUUACACAAAACUUAUUUCAAAUAUUCAAUAGAGAUAGAGAAAACAAUAUGCGUACUAUUGUCAAAUUUAAUUCCUCAAAAACCUAGAAAUCAAUCAUUAUGCCAUUUCUCAGAUUACACUAAAUACUCAUAAUAUUCAAUUAAAUAAAAAUAACUAUGCCUUAAUUUCAAUAAAUUCAAAUCAAUUCUCUCAUUCUAUCCUAAUUUCACAAAUAAGUAAAUCACAUUAGUCAAUUUUAUGGCCUUCCUCAUCCCAAAACUUAUCAAUUUAGAGGGAUUUAUUCACAUUUCAUCUUAUUUAAAUAGUGAAAACGUCUUUUUACGCGAAAAUCAACACUUUUAGGUGAAAAUUCCCGGUUACUCAACAUUUCACUUAUUUAAAUUGCUAAGCAUACUCUUAAUUCCAAUACCUUUUUACGCGAAUGUCGACAUUUGUAAAUGCCAACCCCCGGUUACUCAGUAUGUGAAUCAUUGGAGUAGAAUAAUAAUAUUAUUCUUUUUUUUUAAUAAUUUCUUUUUCCCUCUAAGUAUAAUUAAAGGAAGAAUUUGGCCUUGUUUUUGAUUAUAUCAAUCACUUACUUAGAAAAUUAAGUAACAAUGAUAAAUAUCAUUAAUUUUGCAAAAUUCUAAGCAUAAUUUUUCUUAUUUAACCAAAUAUACUUUCUAAAAUGUAAAUAUCCUAAUUGCAUAAUAAUUCGUUCCAAGCCAAUUAAGAACUAAAUUUUUCCAAAAUACACAUAGCAUUUUAUCCAAUGGAAGAAUUAGACACUUAAAAUUUUAACAUUUUGGCCAUUUAAUUGGAAGAAUUGCAAUGAAAUAUUGGAAAAUGUUUUAGAAAAAUUUCGACAGAGUUUCCCCAUAAAAAUGGAUGAAACUCCCUGCCAAAUAUCAUUAAUUUUCACAAAAAUUAUCCUCAUGACUAUCUCCACAUAUAAUUCCAACAUUUUUAAGGCAUAAACAACUAAAAUCAUGCAUUUCAAAACACAAUCACCCAUAAGAUAUGCAAUGCCUCCCCCACACUUAAAAUCUACAAUGUCCUCAUUGUAGAGGAGGGUAAAAGAACUGAAACUUCCCUCAUAUAGGUGGUGAUGCAAUUUGAAACCCUUACUCAUCACGAUCAUCCAAUUUCUGUUCAAAAUGAGACAACAAAGGUACCAAACACCAUAAGUAGCACAAGAUGAUUCAAAUUAAAGAAAAAUAAAAACUACAACAUUUAUCUUAACAAAAGAAGAGAAAAAUAAAGAAAUAAAAGGUCGAAUCCGCUAAAAAAAACAUCAUGGCUGCUGGGAACGAGGAUCUACUGCCUCCUCGGCUCCAUGAGGACCCUGUGAGGUACCAAUAUGGCCCUCCUCCUGAUGAGGUGUCGGAGUAGGGGACCGUCGGAUAUGGAAAUGAUCCUCGAUCGCACGAAGACGGCGAUCAUGUCGGUCGAGGCGCUCAAUCAUCAUCCGCUCCGUCUGGUCAAUGCGCUCGACGACUCGCGUCUCCAUACAGCAAAUAGCAUUGAGAAGCUCUUGCCACUUGGAGCGCGUUUGAGGAGGUGGUCGUGGAACCGGAGGAGGAAGAGUCUGCUGUGCCUCCGUCUCUUGAGUUUCCGCUUGAGGUUCAGUGUGAGGCAGAGGUUGAGUGGAAGUCGAUGCUUCUCCUGUGUCCCGGACCAAAGCAGCUCCAAAUUCCGUAGAAAUACCCAAGGAUUUGAGUAUUGAAACAUUUACCUCCUCGGCCGACCUAGUUAUCACCGAUCUCUCGGUUCCAAGAGGAACUUUGAACUUCUCAAAAAUGAGGGAUAGCAGUCGGGGGAAUCCAAAACAAGUCUCGCCGGCCCUCAUGCGAGCUGUGGUCCGCAUAUAACUGAUGAUAAUGCUGGGUAGAGGAAUACCAGUCAACUGUCUACCCACUCCAUGUAUCAUCUUAUCCAGAAAAUAGAGAUCGCUAUUUCGGAUCUCCCGUUUACCACUCUUUUUCGGCACCACAUUGAAGGCAAAAAGAUAGAAGAUCAGGUGGUAACGAUGCUCAAAGGAGUCGGCAUAUACCGUGAGUUUUUUUGAACUUCCUCGCUCACGGUACUGACCCUUUAGACGUCCCACGGCUUCUCCCACUUGCCAAGGGUCUCGAGCUUUGAAUUCCUUGGUCAGUUUGACAUCUUCGCCUUCGUCUUUGAGUUGGACGAAGUGUCUCAAUGUAUCUCGAUUGAGAGUCACUCUUUUACCUCGAACCCACGAGACGAUGAGGUUGCCACUGUGGCUCUGCUUGUUCUCCACAUUGGCAUAGAACUCCCUGACCAGGUUGGGGUAGUAGUGCUUGGGCAACUGAAGGAUGUUCUCCCAUCCAAGCCUCUUGAAUGCUGUCGAAAUGUGGUAGUGCGCAUCCACCUCUGGUGCCAAGUGUUUCUCAAUUAUGAUCUCCUUGUCCAGUCCGGCUUCAUACCACUCUUGAUUUUCGAGCGAUGUGAAUCGUGUGGUAUCGUAGUCUGGCGGUGGCUCGUCACGGCUAGUGGAUGCGGUCUUCCGGCGAGACCGAGGUGGCGACUCAGGUGAAGGAGAUUCCUCCUCAGGCGACUCCUCAUGCAAAGAAGGUGUAUGUUCUUCACUUGACGAUGGUGUAGGAGUACGAAUACGAGCCCUCCUUGUACGAGCCAUAGUACCUAUAAACAAGAUGAGUAUUUAUUAGAAACGAUAGAAACUCACUCAUACAUGUUAAAUAGGAAUUUAAGAAAAUUUCGGCAGAGUUUCCCCUGAAAAAGGGCUAAACUCCCUGCCAAAAUGUACCCAAAUUUAAACAAAUAAACUUCCUAACACUUAUCAAAUCCAAUUCCCACAUUUAGAAAGGAUAUUAGCAGUAAAGAAAUCAUUUCAUGCAUAUUAAGUGCAAACAAUUUUAAAUUAUAUUCAUUUGCAAGAAUGAACACUCAAACACUUGAAAAUAUCUUCAAUCCAAUUCAUAACACUCGUUAACACUUAAGUUAACUACACAUGAGUCCCAAUUCAUCCAAAUACAAUUAUUUCAAGUAACAGUGGUUCAAUGUGCUUAACUUGAUCGGGAACACACACUUUUACCUAAUGGGCUAUUGCUCUAGUGAUAGCAUAUCAUUUUCAAUUGGUAUAACAGUGAUUUAUACCUCUCUGAACAAGUUCAGAUAUUCAAUGAAAGCUAAAUUCACAAGUUUAAAUCACUAAAAUGUUCAAGCCCAAAAAUUGAGAAGGAAAUCUCAAAACUAUCACUAAAUCCACAAUUCUCUCACAAAUAAACAUGAAAAUAAUUAUAACAACUGAUUUGAGCACAAUGUAGCACAAUUAUAUCAAGAAUUUUCAACAAUUAAGCUAUUUAGCAAAAUAUAUUGAAAAACUAAAAAUAUGCAAAAAUGAGAGAUAUACAAUGUCACAUAAAUUCGAAAUUUGUUACCUCAAAUAGAUGGAGUGAUGAUGGAGGAUGAUAAUGAUGCAAAAAUGGAGAACAACCAAGCCCAAAUUCGACCUCAAAAUGCAAGAUUUCAAUUCGGCCCUAUUUUGCGUCUUGAAGAUCAAAACCCCUCAAUUUGAUGUUUUUGAUUCCAAAUUGUUAAGGGUUAAUGCUCAGAAGAGGUUAGUGAAGGUUUUUGUUGUGAAAAAUUGGGAAUGUUAUGGAUGAAAUGGAAGAUUGGAGGAAAAGGAAUAGGGUUUCGAAGAGAGAGAAAAGAGAAAUCUGGAAAUUGAGGAAGCCUCGUUUCCCUUCUUAUCGCGAAAGGAUCCGAGGUCGGAUCAAUUCUGGAAGGCCUCGGAUCCGACAGGGCUCGGAUCAGUCCCAACAGAAACACAGACGAGCCCUCGAAUUUAUCUGGGUUGGAAUGGAUCCGAGGUCGGAUCAGUUGAUCCGUGGUCGGAUCUGUCUGGGCUUUUCAGGAUCCGAGCUCGGAUCUGUAUUUCUCUGCACUAAUUGCAGAAACUGCAAUUUUUUCAAACUUUUUCUCCCUUUUUCGGCUAAUUCCAAAUUACACAUUGGACAUACCUUUUCUCAAUUCCAACCUCCCACGCACAUGUAAUAUACCAUAAACAUAAUAUCCAACCUCUCAAAACACAACAAACACAUCUACAUUGAAAAUCGAGGGGUGGGGUUCUUUGAUCAUUUUUACAUUUUUACACUAAAAUGGCAUUUUUGAGCAUUAAAUGUAUAUCAAAUGAGUCCAUAAGCCUUUAUAACCAUGAUAUCACCAAAACUCAUUUGAAAUGCACAAUGUAUGUAUAUGCAUGGGAAUUUUAAGCACUUAAAACACAAUUUGAUAAGAAAAACUCCCUUUUACACAUAUUCUUCAAGUGCACCUCCGAGAUGGAUGAUAAAACUCCCGUACCUCCUACAAACAAGUGAAAUACAUCUAAUUAGUCAAUUAAAUCACACCAAAAUGUAAGAAACACCUAAAAACACACAAAUACACUAUUAUCAUUGGGUUACCUCCCAACAAGCGCUUUUGUUUAUAGUCGUUGGCUCGACAAUCCUAUAACUUCUUUAAUUCUCCUUUGCAUUUCCUAAGGAGUAAAUUACCCCUUUAGGAACUUUUUCUCCUGGCAAAUAGGGCUUCAAUCUUUGUCCAUUUACUUUAAAUGGAGAACCAUUUUCUCCUUUUAUUUCCACUGCUCCAUGCGGAAAUACUUGAGUUACUUCAAAUGGUCCCGACCAUCUUGACUUCAAUUUUCCUGGAAAUAACCUCAAGCGUGAGUUGAACAAAAGUACAUUUUGCCCUACUUGAAAUUUUUUAGGAAUAAUAUGCUUGUCAUGCCAAUAUUUGAUCUUUUCUUUAUAAAUUUUGGCAUUUUCAUAAGCAUGUAGUCGGUGUUCCUCCAAUUCACUUAGCUCAAGUAAUCGCUUUUCUCCUGCAAAAUUAAAAUCCAUGUUAAUAGAUUUAAUUGCCCAAUAAGCUUUGUGCUCAAUCUCUACAUGUAGGUGACAAGCUUUCCCAUAGACUAAACGAUACGGCGACAUCCCUAGGGGUGUCUUAAAUGCCGUUCGAUAAGCCCAUAGUGUAUCAUCUAGCUUUGUAGCCCAAUCCUUGCGUGAUUUAUUCACAGUUUUCUCUAAAAUGAGCUUUAUCUCUCUAUUAGCCAGCUCUGCUUGUCCAUUGGCUUGAGGAUGAUAUGGAAGUGAUGUCUUGUGCCUACAACCAUAUUUAAACAAUAAGGAAUCCAAUUGUUUGUUACAAAAAUGUUUCCCUUCAUCACUUACUAUGGCCUUGGGUAUACCAAAUCUACUGAAAAUAUUCUUUUUAAGGAAUCUAAGUACAAUCUUAGAGUCAUUAGUAGAUGAAGCGAUUGCUUCUACCCAUUUAGAAACAUAAUCCACUGCUACUAAGAUGUACUUAUUAUUAAAAGAACUAGGAAAUGGUCCCAUAAAAUCAAUACCCCAUACAUCAAAUAACUCAACUUCCAAGAAUGUAGUCAGGGGCAUUUCAUUUUUUCGAGAUAUAUUUCCAGUUCUUUGGCAUGCAUCACAAUUUUUAACAUAUUCCCUAGCAUCUCGGUACAUAGUUGGCCAAUAAAAUCCUGAUUGCCAUACCUUUGCCACAGUCUUUGAAGUACUGAAAUGACCAGCUGUUUCAAGGUUAUGACAAUGAUAUAAAACAUUAUGUACCUCAUCUUCAGGAAUACAUCUACGUAUCAUACCAUCGGCACAAUGUCUGUAUAGCAAUGGUUCCUCCCAAAAGUAACUUUUGACGUCAUGUAAGAAUUUCUUCUUUUGAUGAUAAUUGAACUCCUUUUGAAUCUCUCCACUGACCAAGUAGUUAGCAAAAUCUGCAUACCAUGGAGAAUUUCUAAGUGUUAGGACAAACUCAUCCGGAAAAUUCUCUUGAAUUGGAACCUGAUCUUUGAUUGGGAUAUAUUCCAAACGUGAUAAAUGAUCUGCAACUAGAUUCUCCGAUCCCUUUUUGUCUUUUAUCUCCACAUCAAAUUCCUGCAAUAAAAGAAUCCACCGAAUUAGUCUAGGUUUUGCAUCCUUCUUAUGCAGCAAAUAUUUAAGAGCUGAAUGGUCCGUAUAUAUAAUAACUUUAGAUCCUACUAAAUAGGAUCUAAAUUUGUCCAAAGCAAAUAUCACUGCCAAUAGCUCUUUUUCUGUUGUUGCAUAAUUGAGUUGUGCCUCAUUUAGCAACUUGCUAGCAUAGUAAAUGACGUGCAAUCGUCCUUCCUUCUUUUGUCCCAAAACUGCUCCAACCGCAUAAUCACUUGCAUCACACAUCAAUUCAAAUGGUAGUGACCAAUCGGGUGAAGUUAUAAUUGGGGCCGAAAUCAAUUCCUUUUUCAACCUUUCAAAUGCAACCAAACAAUUGUCAUUAAAUUGAAAAGGAGUAUCUUUGCAUAAUAAAUCACAUAAUGGCUUUACUAUUUUAGAAAAAUCUUUAAUAAAACGUCUAUAAAAGCCAGCAUGUCCUAAAAAACUCCUUAUCCCCUUGACAUUGCUUGGGGGUGGCAAUUUUUCGAUAACUUCUAUUUUGGCUUUAUCCACCUCAAUUCCCUUGGAGGAAAUCUUGUGCCCUAAGACAAUUCCUUCUUUUACCAUAAAAUGGCAUUUCUCCCAAUUCAGUACAAGAUUUAUUUCCUCGCAUCUCUGCAAAAUCAAUUCCAAAUUAUGAAGACAAUGGUCAAAAGAUGAACCGUACACAGAAAAAUCAUCCAUAAAUAUCUCCAUAAUUUUCUCAAUAUAAUCAGAAAAAAUAGCCAUCAUGCAUCGUUGAAAAGUUGCAGGAGCAUUGCAUAAACCAAAUGGCAUCCUUCUAAAGGCAAAAGUGCCAUAAGGACAUGUAAAUGUGGUCUUCUCUUGAUCCUCUGGAGCUAUAGCUAUUUGAUUAUAUCCUGAAAAACCAUCAAGAAAAUAGUAAAAUUCAUAUCCGGCUAUUCGCUCCAAUAAUUGAUCAAGAAAUGGCAGGGAAAAAUGAUCUUUUCUUGUUACCGUAUUCAACUUACGAUAAUCAAUACACACUCUCCACCCUACCACAAGUCUAGAUGGAAUUAAUUCAUCAUUUUUACCUAUGAUUGUAGUUAUUCCACCUUUCUUUGGUACCACAUGAAUUGGACUAAUCCAAACACUAUCUGAGAUAGGAAAGACUAUACCUGCAUCAAGCCACUUAAGAAUUUCAUUUCUUACCACCUCUUUCAUGUUUGGAUUGAGUCUUCUUUGUGUUUCUACCACUGGUUUGUAAUUGUCCUCCAAUAAAAUGCGAUGCAUGCAUAUUGAAGGACUUAUACCUUUAAUGUCAGCAAUUGUCCAUCCCAUUGCCUUCUUAUGCUUUCUUAAAACUCUUAGCAACUUUGUACACUGCUCAUCAUCAAGGUCAGCACUAACAAUUACACGUAAAGUACUAUUUUCUCCAAGAAAUUCAUACCUUAGAUGAGUUGGAAGUGGCUUAAGCUCUAACCUUGGAGGUUCAAUUUCUGAAGGUUGUGAAAACCCUUUUCCUUGGCCAAGAUUUUCAUACAAAUUACCCCUUUUAUAAGGUGCUUGAAAAUCCAAGUACUUGGCCAAUUCUUCAAUUUCUUCAAAAACAUCUUCUUGCUUACCUAAACUCAUUAAACAAUACUCAAGAGGAUCUAAAUCAAGGUUGACUUGACUCAUCUCUUGGGUUAGUUUAUCAAUUGUGCCAAUAGAAUAAGCAUGAUCAGUAAAAGAAGGGUAUUUUUCCAUUUCAUUCAAAUUAAAUUCUACUUCUUCUUCACCUACUUGAAACUUAAGCUUGCCAUUUUUUACAUCAAUAAUAGUACCUGCAGUAGCUAAAAAUGGUCUACCUAGAAUAAUUGGCAUAGAUAUAUCUUCUUCCAUAUCUAAUACCACAAAAUCCACUGGAAUGAUAAAUUUUUGAACUUUUAUCAAUACAUUCUCCAACACUCCCAAUGGAUAUCGAAUAGACCGAUCCGCUAGUUGCAAAGUAAUAUUUGUGCGUUUAAGUUCAUGCAAACCCAAUUGUCUAGCCACUGUUAAAGGUAUUAAUGAUACACUAGCACCAAAAUCACACAAUGCUUUAGAAAAAUCAACAUUACCUAUGGUGCAAGGUAUAGAAAAACUCCCUGGAUCCUUCAACUUUGGUGGUAGCUUAUUUUGAAUAAUUGCACUACAUUCCUCCGUUAGUGCUAUUGUUUCGCAGUCUUCCAACUUUCUUUUUCUAGUCAUGAUUUCCUUGAGAAAUUUCGCAUAAGACGGAAUCUGCAAAAUAGCAUCGGCAAAAGGAAUGUUAAUGUGCAAUUGUUUGAAAAGUUUAACAAAAUUUUCAAAAUCUUUAUCAAACUUAUUUUGCUUUAAUCUUUGUGGAAAUGGAACCGCAGGGGGUAUUGGAAUGGUAGCGGAAGAUGAUGGUCGAUUUUUUCUUGAUUCCUCCCGGCUACUUUCCUCCACUAUCGCCUCUUGGUUCCUAUGCUUUUCUUCUUGUUUUUCAUUCUCAUCUUUCUUAACUUCCACCACUGGAGGAUCUUUUAAUUGCUUACCACUACGAAGAGUAAUGGCUUUGACAUGCUUCUUAGGAUUUACCUCCGUUUUGCUAGGUAAUUCUCCUUGAUUACGAUUAUUCAAAGAACUAGCAAUUUGACCAAUUUGGACCUCUACAUUCCUGUACAUUGUAGUGAGUUGGUCCAAUCUUCCUUCUACUCGCUCAAAUCUGUCUGAAGUAACUUUUGCGAGCUUUUCCACUGCCAUCUCCCAACCAGGUUUAGUUUCAACUUGUUGUUGCCUUGAUUGAAAUCCCGGUGGAUUGGCUGGCCUUGGUUGAUUUCCUUGAUCCUUCCAUCCAAAGUUUGGAUGAUUUCUCCACCCCGGAUUGUAAGUAUUCGAGUAGGGGUUAUUUUGAGCAUUACGAUUGUAAUUAUUAACGAAUUGUACCUGCUCAGAAUCAACACACUCAUUAGUAUCAUGUUCACCUCCACAUAUAGAACAACAUGCUACAUGUGCAUUAGAUGAACUUGGACCAACUCCACUUUGUCUACUUAGCAACUUCAUCACAUUAUUCAUUUGAGGACUCAGCAUAUUGAGAGUGUCCAUUUCUAUCAUACCUGCGUGACGUCUUGUAUUACCUCUCUCAUUGGCCCAUUGGUAGUUGUUUGCAGCCAUUUCUUCUAUCAAAUUCUGAGCUUCUUGGGGUUAUUUACCCAUUAAAGCUCCACCUGCAGCUGCAUCGAUCAUAGUUUUAGUAGAAAAAACUAAACCAUUAUAGAAGGUUUGUAUGAUUAACCACUCCGGCAGUCCAUGAUGUGGACAUUUCCGAAGCAAAUCUCUAAACCUUUCCCAUGCUUCAUAUAAUGAUUCACUUUCUAAUUGGCUAAAACUAGUGAUAUCCAUUCUAAGUUUAGCAGUCUUACCUGGUGGAAAAUACUUAUUUAAGAAUGCUCUUGAUAACUCAUCCCAUCCAGUGAAAGUAUUAGGAGCAUGAGAGUGUAACCAAAGUUUGGCCUUAUCUCUCAAUGAAAAUGGGAACAAUCUUAGCCUUAUAGCAUCAUCACUAACUCCAUUCAUUUUAAUUGUAUCACAAAUUUCCAAGAAUGUAGCUAAGUGUGUAUUAGGGUCUUCUACUGCAUUACCUCCAAAUUGAGAUUGUUGAACCAUUUGGAUAAGUGCUGGUUUAAUCUCAAAAUUGUUAGCAUUUACCGUAGGCCUUGCUAUACUCGUUUGAGAUCCUUGUGUUCCCGGUAGAGCAAAAUCUCGUAGAACUCGCCUAUGUGCUUCGUUUUCUGCCAUGUCUUCUUCAAAUGGAAGCUCUAUUAAGAUAUCUUCUAUUGGCUGCCAAACCUCUUGUUUCUCUUGAUGUGAUGUACUCCUCCUUUGUCUGUGUAAUGUUCUUUCAAUUUCAGGAUCGAAAUGUGCAACUUCUCGAUUUGAUCGGUGCAUACACUACAGACAAAAACAAGAGAAAUUUUGCAGUUUAAAUUCAACAACUUGAAAUAAUAAAAAAAAAUGAAAAUAUCUAAAGUAAUAGAGAUGAUUAGGCCCUAAUAUUGCCGCUCCCCGGCAACGGCGCCAAAAACUUGACGGGAUAUUUGUAUCUAUACAAGUUUAAUUCCGAUUUUACACCCGUUGGACUGCAAGUAUACAGGUCGCAAUUGUAGUACAAGAUGUGUAUCGGGUCGAUCCCACGAGGAGCAAUUUAAACAAUUACUAAGCCCUUGUUCUCUCUAUUAUUUAGACUUACAAUUAAUUUGAGCAGAAAAAGUCUAAUGCUGUAAUCUACAAAUCUGAUAUACAAAUCUAGUUUAACAAAUACUGAAUACAAAUAGAGAAAUUUUACUUAAAGAAGAUUCUAGGGAUGUAGAUUCCACUUAUGGCAUAAACUACACAAAUGAAUGGAUUUACUCCUGGCUAUUAUUCUUGCUUAACCAGAGAUUUAUUUCCAAGAAUACCAAGUCUCAUUUUCAUGAUGAAAUGGCUUAGAGCAAUAUAGAUUUCCCUAUUUUCAUGGUGAAAUAUUCUACUACUCCGUUUUAUUUCAUGAAAUGCUCAAUAAAUCCACCUAAGUGUAUCUCUAUUUUCAUGAACAUACAACGCAAGCUCUACUCAUGUGUUUCAAUUGUUAUUACCAAUUCUCAUUGAAUAAUAACACUAUAAACAUGCUAUUGGUGAUCAAUCAACAACACGUAAUCACAGCUACACAAGUAGACAAGUUACUACAAGAUAUAACAAGUGUAAAUCACAUUCCAUUCAUAUUAUUUAACCAUAAGCUUCAUCUACUCCCUAGAUUAAGGGGUUUAGCUACUCAUGAAUGAUUUAACAAUCAAACUCACAAGUUUAUUAAUGCCAAACAUCAUGAAGUACAAGUACAAGAAAGAUAAAAGAAAGCUUAGCCACUUGAAGGUGAAACUCUCCAAUUCCUGCUAUGCUCUUACACAAUAUGAUUACAAGUAAAAACUCCAAGUACUUCUCCAAGAACUCCUAUCUAGAGAGAAACUAGAUACCAGAAAGAAAACUAGCUACGUAUGGUAAUCCCUCUUCUCCCCAGUCUUUCUGCAUAAAAAUGUGGUAGAAAUUCCAUUCCUCUCACUUCAUAAUUUCUUCCACUCAGAUUUUGUAAAAAGAGGUCAAAGAUAUGAUGUCUCCUUUUGUCCACAUUCAUUUGGUCUUCUCUUUUGUUGCAGAAGCAUGUGCCACCGAUUUCUGUCCCUCAAAAUAGCUGGAAAGUUGUGAAAAAGGUAAAGAAAAAUGGCUAUGGCACUUGCUGAGGAGAGAGACAGAUCCGAGUCUCGGAUCCGAGGAGUGAAAAUUGGAUCCGAGCUCGGAUAUUAGGAUCCGAGGGCUUCCAUGAUGGAUCCGAGGUCGGAUCGUCCUGACCUCGGAUACACUCCGCCAGAAGUACAGACUAGGGGUCGGAUCCCUCUUGUACACACAGAUCCGUGCUCGGAUCUGUGAUGAACAAUUUUCCAGUUUUUCACUUCUUCCCUUUUUCUACAUUUUUGCUCCCAAUUUCUUGUGUACUUUGUCUUCUGAAUGACCCUGACAUUUCUUUCAACUUGUGCAUGAAUUUCAUACAUCAAUUACCUUCACAAUUUCACAAAAUUAACGCAUUAAUCCACUCAUUUAUCAAUUUCUGAACUCUUAAACAAUAUUUAAGCAAUUAUCACCAAAAGAGUUCAAAUAUGGCUUUAAUCUUCUCAAAACAUAUCAAAAAUUCAUGCCAAAUUCGUACAAAAUGUACGUUAAAUAUUCACUUAUCAAAUUCCCCCACACUUGAAUCAUUGCUUGUCCUCAAGCAAUUUUACACAAAACUUAUUUCAAAUAUUCAAUAGAGAUAGAGAAAACAAUAUGCGUACUAUUGUCAAAUUUAAUUCCUCAAAAACCUAGAAAUCAAUCAUUAUGCCAUUUCUCAGAUUACACUAAAUACUCAUAAUAUUCAAUUAAAUAAAAAUAACUAUGCCUUAAUUUCAACAAAUUCAAAUCAAUUCUCUCAUUCUAUCCUAAUUUCACAAAUAAGUAAAUCACAUUAGUCAAUUUUAUGGCCUUCCUCAUUCCAAAACUUAUCAAUUUAGAGGGAUUUAUUCACAUUUCAUCUUAUUUAAAUAGUGAAAACGUCUUUUUACGCGAAAAUCAACACUUUUAGGUGAAAAUUCCCGGUUACUCAACAUUUCACUUAUUUAAAUUGCUAAGCAUACUCUUAAUUCCAAUACCUUUUUACGCGAAUGUCGACAUUUGUAAAUGCCAACCCCCGGUUACUCAGUAUGUGAAUCAUUGGAGUAGAAUAAUAAUAUUAUUCUUUUUUUUUGAAUAAUUUCUUUUUCCCUCUAAGUAUAAUUAAAGGAAGAAUUUGGCCUUGUCUUUGACUAUAUCAAUCACUUACUUAUAAAAUUAAGUAACAAUGAUAAAUAUCAUUAAUUUUGCAAAAUUCUAAGCAUAAUUUUUCUUAUUUAACCAAAUAUACUUUCUAAAAUGUAAAUAUCCUAAUUGCAUAAUAAUUCGUUCCAAGCCAAUUAAGAACUAAACUUUUCCAAAAUACACAUAGCAUUUUAUCCAAUGGAAGAAUUAGACACUUAAAAUUUUAACAUUUUGGCCAUUUAAUUGGAAGAAUUGCAAUGAAAUAUUGGAAAAUGUUUUAGAAAAAUUUCGACAGAGUUUCCCCAUAAAAAUGGAUGAAACUCCCUGCCAAAUAUCAUUAAUUUUCACAAAAAUUAUCCUCAUGACUAUCUCCACAUAUAAUUCCAACAUUUUUAAGCCAUAAACAACUAAAAUCAUGCAUUUCAAAACACAAUCACCCAUAAGAUAUGCAAUGCCUCCCCCACACUUAAAAUCUACAAUGUCCUCAUUGUAGAGGAAGGUAAAAGAACUGAAACUUCCCUCAUAUAGGUGGUGAUGCAAUUUGAAGCCCUUACUCAUCACGAUCAUCCAAUUUCUGUUCAAAAUGAGACAACAAAGGUACCAAACACCAUAAGUAGCACAAGAUGAUUCAAAUUAAAGAAAAAUAAAAACUACAACAUUUAUCUUAACAAAAGAAGAGAAAAAUAAAGAAAUAAAAGGUCGAAUCCGCUAAAAAAAACAUCAUGGCUGCUGGGAACGAGGAUCUACUGCCUCCUCGACUCCAUGAGGACCCUGUGAGGUACCAAUAUGGCCCUCCUCCUGAUGAGGUGUCGGAGUAGGGGACCGUCGGAUAUGGAAAUGAUCCUCGAUCGCACGAAGACGGCGAUCAUGUCGGUCGAGGCGCUCAAUCAUCAUCCGCUCCGUCUGGUCAAUGCGCUCGACGACUCGCGUCUCCAUACAGCAAAUAGCAUUGAGAAGCUCUUGCCACUUGGAGCGCGUUUGAGGAGGUGGUCGUGGAACCGGAGGAGGAAGAGUCUGCUGUGCCUCCGUCUCUUGAGUUUCCGCUUGAGGUUCAGUGUGAGGCGGAGGUUGAGUGGAAGUCGAUGCUUCUCCUGUGUCCCGGACCAAAGCAGCUCCAAAUUCCGUAGAAAUACCCAAGGAUUUGAGUAUUGAAACAUUUACCUCCUCGGCCGACCUAGUUAUCACCGAUCUCUCGGUUCCAAGAGGAACCUUGAGCUUCUCAAAAAUGAGGGAUAGCAGUCGAGGGAGUCCAAAACAAGUCUCGCCGGCGCUCAUGCGAGCUGUGGUCCGCAUAUAACUGAUGAUAAUGCUGGGUAGAGGAAUACCAGUCAACUGUCUACCCACUCCAUGUAUCAUCUUAUCCAGAAAAUAGAGAUCGCUAUUUCGGAUCUCUCGUUUACCACUCUUUUUCGGCACCACAUUAAAGGCAAAAAGAUAGAAGAUCAGGUGGUAACGAUGCUCAAAGGAGUCGGCAUAUACCGUGAGUUUUUUCGAACUUCCUCGCUCACGGUACUGACCCUUUAGACGUCCCACGGCUUCUCCCACUUGCCAAGGGUCUCGAGCUUUGAAUUCUUUGGUCAGUUUGACAUCUUCGCCUUCGUCUUUGAGUUGGACGAAGUGUCUCAAUGUAUCUCGAUUGAGAGUCACUCUUUUACCUCGAACCCACGAGACGAUGAGGUUGCCACUGUGGCUCUGCUUGUUCUCCACAUUGGCAUAGAACUCCCUGACCAGGUUGGGGUAGUAGUGCUUGGGCAACUGAAGGAUGUUCUCCCAUCCAAGCCUCUUGAAUGCUGUCGAAAUGUGGUAGUGCGCAUCCACCUCUGGUGCCAAGUGUUUCUCAAUUAUGAUCUCCUUGUCCAGUCCGGCUUCAUACCACUCUUGAUUUUCGAGCGAUGUGAAUCGUGUGGUAUCGUAGUCUGGCGGUGGCUCGUCACGGCUAGUGGAUGCGGUCUUCCGGCGAGACCGAGUUGGCGACUCAGGUGAAGGAGAUUCCUCCUCAGGCGACUCCUCAUGCAAAGAAGGUGUAUGUUCUUCACUUGACGAUGGUGUAGGAGUACGAAUACGAGCCCUCCUUGUACGAGCCAUAGUACCUAUAAACAAGAUGAGUAUUUAUUAGAAACGAUAGAAACUCACUCAUACAUGUUAAAUAGGAAUUUAAGAAAAUUUCGGCAGAGUUUCCCCUGAAAAAGGGCUAAACUCCCUGCCAAAAUGUACCCAAAUUUAAACAAAUAAACUUCCUAACACUUCUCAAAUCCAAUUCCCACAUUUAGAAAGGAUAUUAGCAGUAAAGAAAUCAUUUCAUGCAUAUUAAGUGCAAACAAUUUUAAAUUAUAUUCAUUUGCAAGAAUGAACACUCAAACACUUGAGAAUAUUUUCAAUCCAAUUCAUAACACUCGUUAACACUUAAGUUAACUACACAUGAGUCCCAAUUCAUCCAAAUACAAUUAUUUCAAGUAACAGUGGUUCAAUGUGCUUAACUUGAUCGGGAACACACACUUUUACCUAAUGGGCUAUUGCUCUAGUGAUAGCAUAUCAUUUUCAAUUGGUAUAACAGUGAUUUAUACAUCUCUGAACAAGUUCAGAUAUUCAAUGAAAGCUAAAUUCACAAGUUUAAAUCACUAAAAUGUUCAAGCCCAAAAAUUGAGAAGGAAAUCUCAAAACUAUCACUAAAUUCACAAUUCUCUCACAAAUAAACAUGAAAAUAAUUAUAACAACUGAUUUGAGCACAAUGUAGCACAAUUAUAUCAAGAAUUUUCAACAAUUAAGCUAUUUAGCAAAAUAUAUUGAAAAACUAAAAAUAUGCAAAAAUGAGAGAUAUACAAUGUCACAUAAAUUCGAAAUUUGUUACCUCAAAUAGAUGGAGUGAUGAUGGAGGAUGAUAAUGAUGCAAAAAUGGAGAACAACCAAGCCCAAAUUCGACCUCAAAAUGCAAGAUUUCAAUUCGGCCCUAUUUUGCGUCUUGAAGAUCAAAACCCCUCAAUUUGAUGUUUUUGAUUCCAAAUUGUUAAGGGUUAAUGCUCAGAAGAAGUUAGUGAAGGUUUUUGUUGUGAAAAAUUGGAAAUGUUAUGGAUGAAAUGGAAGAUUGGAGGAAAGGGAAUAGGGUUUCGAAGAGAGAGAAAAGAGAAAUCUGGAAAUUGAGGAACCGAGGCCUCGUUUCCCUUCUUAUCGCUAAAGGAUCCGAGGUCGGAUCAAUUCUGGAAGGCCUCGGAUCCGACAGGGCUCGGAUCAGUCCCAACAGAAACACAGACGAGCCCUCGGAUUUAUCUGGGUUGGAAUGGAUCCGAGGUCGGAUCAGUUGAUCCGUGGUCGGAUCUGUCUGGGCUUUUCAGGAUCCGAGCUCGGAUCUGUAUUUCUCUGCACUAAUUGCAGAAACUGCAAUUUUUUCAAACUUUUUCUCCCUUUUUCGGCCAAUUCCAAAUUACACAUUGGACAUACCUUUUCUCAAUUCCAACCUCCCACGCACAUGUAAUAUACCAUAAACAUAAUAUCCAACCUCUCAAAACACAACAAACACAUCUACAUUGAAAAUCGAGGGGUGGGGUUCUUUGAUCAUUUUUGCAUUUUUACACUAAAAUGGCAUUUUUGAGCAUUAAAUGUACAUCAAAUGAGUCCAUAAGCCUUUAUAACCAUGAUAUCACCAAAACUCAUUUGAAAUGCACAAUGUAUGUAUAUGCAUGGGAAUUUUAAGCACUUAAAACAUAAUUUGGUAAGAAAAACUCCCUUUUACACAUAUUCUUCAAGUGCACCUCCGAGAUGGAUGAUAAAACUCCCGUACCUCCUACAAACAAGUGAAAUACAUCUAAUUAGUCAAUUAAAUCACACCAAAAUGUAAGAAACACCUAAAAACACACAAAUACACUAUUAUCAUUGGGUUACCUCCCAACAAGCGCUUUUGUUUAUAGUCGUUGGCUCGACAAUCCUAUAAUUUCUUUAAUUCUCCUUUGCAUUUCCUAAGGAGUAAAUUACCCCUUUAGGAACUUUUUCUCCUGGCAAAUAGGGCUUCAAUCUUUGUCCAUUUACUUUAAAUGGAGAACCAUUUUCUCCUUUUAUUUCCACUGCUCCAUGCGGAAAUACUUGAGUUACUUCAAAUGGUCCCGACCAUCUUGACUUCAAUUUUCCUGGAAAUAACCUCAAGCGUGAGUUGAACAAAAGUACAUUUUGCCCUACUUGAAAUUUUUUAGGAAUAAUAUGCUUGUCAUGCCAAUAUUUGAUCUUUUCUUUAUAAAUUUUGGCAUUUUCAUAAGCAUGUAGUCGGUGUUCCUCCAAUUCACUUAGCUCAAGUAAUCGCUUUUCUCCUGCAAAAUUAAAAUCCAUGUUAAUAGAUUUAAUUGCCCAAUAAGCUUUGUGCUCAAUCUCUACAUGUAGGUGACAAGUUUUCCCAUAGACUAAACGAUACGGCGACAUCCCUAGGGGUGUCUUAAAUGCCGUUCGAUAAGCCCAUAGUGUAUCAUCUAGCUUUGUAGACCAAUCCUUGCGUGAUUUAUUCACAGUUUUCUCCAAAAUGAGCUUUAUCUCUCUAUUAGCCAGCUCUGCUUGUCCAUUGGCUUGAGGAUGAUAUGGAAGUGAUGUCUUGUGCCUACAACCAUAUUUAAACAAUAAGGAAUCCAAUUGUUUGUUACAAAAAUGUUUCCCUUCAUCACUUACUAUGGCCUUGGGUAUACCAAAUCUACUGAAAAUAUUCUUUUUAAGCAAUCUAAGUACAAUCUUAGAGUCAUUAGUAGAUGAAGCGAUUGCUUCUACCCAUUUAGAAACAUAAUCCACUGCUACUAAGAUGUACUUAUUAUUAAAAGAACUAGGAAAUGGUCCCAUAAAAUCAAUACCCCAUACAUCAAAUAACUCAACUUCCAAGAAUGUAGUCAGGGGCAUUUCAUUUUUUCGAGAUAUAUUUCCAGUUCUUUGGCAUGCAUCACAAUUUUUAACAUAUUCCCUAGCAUCUCGGUACAUAGUUGGCCAAUAAAAUCCUGAUUGCCAUACCUUUGCCACAGUCUUUGAAGUACUGAAAUGACCACCUGUUUCAAGGUUAUGACAAUGAUAUAAAACAUUAUGUACCUCAUCUUCAGGAAUACAUCUACGUGUCAUACCAUCGGCACAAUGUCUGUAUAGCAAUGGUUCCUCCCAAAAGUAACUUUUGACGUCAUGUAAGAAUUUCUUCUUUUGAUGAUAAUUGAACUCCUUUUGAAUCUCUCCACUGACCAAGUAGUUAGCAAAAUCUGCAUACCAUGGAGAAUUUCUAAGUGCUAGGACAAACUCAUCCGGAAAAUUCUCUUGAAUUGGAACCUGAUCUUUGAUUGGGAUAUAUUCCAAAAGUGAUAAAUGAUCUGCAACUAGAUUCUCCGAUCCCUUUUUGUCUUUUAUCUCCACAUCAAAUUCCUGCAAUAAAAGAAUCCACCGAAUUAGUCUAGGUUUUGCAUCCUUCUUAUGCAGCAAAUAUUUAAGAGCUGAAUGGUCCGUAUAUAUAAUAACUUUAGAUCCUACUAAAUAGGAUCUAAAUUUGUCCAAAGCAAAUAUCACUGCCAAUAGCUCUUUUUCUGUUGUUGCAUAAUUGAGUUGUGCCUCAUUUAGCAACUUGCUAGCAUAGUAAAUGACGUGCAAUCGUCCUUCCUUCUUUUGUCCCAAAACUGCUCCAACCGCAUAAUCACUUGCAUCACACAUCAAUUCAAAUGGUAGUGACCAAUCGGGUGAAGUUAUAAUUGGGGCCGAAAUCAAUUCCUUUUUCAACCUUUCAAAUGCAACCAAACAAUUGUCAUUAAAUUGAAAAGGAGUAUCUUUGCAUAAUAAAUCACAUAAUGGCUUUACUAUUUUAGAAAAAUCUUUAAUAAAACGUCUAUAAAAGCCAGCAUGUCCUAAAAAACUCCUUAUCCCCUUGACAUUGCUUGGGGGUGGCAAUUUUUCGAUAACUUCUAUUUUGGCUUUAUCCACCUCAAUUCCCUUGGAGGAAAUCUUGUGCCCUAAGACAAUUCCUUUUUUUACCAUAAAAUGGCAUUUCUCCCAAUUCAGUACAAGAUUUAUUUCCUCGCAUCUCUGCAAAAUCAAUUCCAAAUUAUGAAGACAAUGGUCAAAAGAUGAACCGUACACAGAAAAAUCAUCCAUAAAUAUCUCCAUAAUUUUCUCAAUAUAAUCAGAAAAAAUAGCCAUCAUGCAUCGUUGAAAAGUUGCAGGAGCAUUGCAUAAACCAAAUGGCAUCCUUCUAAAGGCAAAAGUGCCAUAAGGACAUGUAAAUGUGGUCUUCUCUUGAUCCUCUGGAGCUAUAGCUAUUUGAUUAUAUCCUGAAAAACCAUCAAGAAAACAGUAAAAUUCAUAUCCGGCUAUUCGCUCCAAUAAUUGAUCAAGAAAUGGCAGGAAAAAAUGAUCUUUUCUUGUUACCGUAUUCAACUUACGAUAAUCAAUACACACUCUCCACCCUACCACAAGUCUAGAUGGAAUUAAUUCAUCAUUUUUACCUAUGAUUGUAGUUAUUCCACCUUUCUUUGGUACCACAUGAAUUGGACUAAUCCAAACACUAUCUGAGAUAGGAAAGACUAUACCUGCAUCAAGCCACUUAAGAAUUUCAUUUCUUACCACCUCUUUCAUGUUUGGAUUGAGUUUUCUUUGUGUUUCUACCACUGGUUUGUAAUUGUCCUCCAAUAAAAUGCGAUGCAUGCAUAUUGAAGGACUUAUACCUUUAAUGUCAGCAAUUGUCCAUCCCAUUGCCUUCUUAUGCUUCCUUAAAACUCUUAGCAACUUUGUACACUGCUCAUCAUCAAGGUCAGCACUAACAAUUACACGUAAAGUACUAUUUUCUCCAAGAAAUUCAUACCUUAGAUGAGUUGGAAGUGGCUUAAGCUCUAACCUUGGAGGUUCAAUUUCUGAAGGUUGUGAAAACCCUUUUCCUUGGCCAAGAUUUUCAUACAAAUUACCCCUUUUAUAAGGUGCUUGAAAAUCCAAGUACUUGGCCAAUUCUUCAAUUUCUUCAAAAACAUUUUCUUGCUUACCUAAACUCAUUAAACAAUACUCAAGAGGAUCUAAAUCAAGGUUGACUUGACUCAUCUCUUGGGUUAGUUUAUCAAUUGUGCCAAUAGAAUAAGCAUGAUCAGUAAAAGAAGGGUAUUUUUCCAUUUCAUUCAAAUUAAAUUCUACUUCUUCUUCACCUACUUGAAACUUAAGCUUGCCAUUUUUUACAUCAAUAAUAGUACCUGCAGUAGCUAAAAAUGGUCUACCUAGAAUAAUUGGCAUAGAUAUAUCUUCUUCCAUAUCUAAUACCACAAAAUCCACUGGAAUGAUAAAUUUUUGAACUUUUAUCAAUACAUUCUCCAACACUCCCAAUGGAUAUCGAAUAGACCGAUCCGCUAGUUGCAAAGUAAUAUUUGUGCGUUUAAGUUCAUGCAAACCCAAUUGUCUAGCCACUGUUAAAGGUAUUAAUGAUACACUAGCACCAAAAUCACACAAUGCUUUAGAAAAAUCAACAUUACCUAUGGUGCAAGGUAUAGAAAAACUCCCUGGAUCCUUCAACUUUGGUGGUAGCUUAUUUUGAAUAAUUGCACUACAUUCCUCCGUUAGUGCUAUUGUUUCGCAGUCUUCCAACUUUCUUUUUCUAGUCAUGAUUUCCUUGAGAAAUUUCGCAUAAGACGGAAUCUGCAAAAUAGCAUCGGCAAAAGGAAUGUUAAUGUGCAAUUGUUUGAAAAGUUUAACAAAAUUUUCAAAAUCUUUAUCAAACUUAUUUUGCUUUAAUCUUUGUGGAAAUGGAACCGCAGGGGGUAUUGGAAUGGUAGCGGAAGAUGAUGGUCGAUUUUUUCUUGAUUCCUCCCGGCUACUUUCCUCCACUAUCGCCUCUUGGUUCCUAUGCUUUUCUUCUUGUUUUUCAUUCUCAUCUUUCUUAACUUCCACCACUGGAGGAUCUUUUAAUUGCUUACCACUACGAAGAGUAAUGGCUUUGACAUGCUUCUUAGGAUUUACCUCCGUUUUGCUAGGUAAUUCUCCUUGAUUACGAUUAUUCAAAGAACUAGCAAUUUGACCAAUUUGGACCUCUACAUUCCUGUACAUUGUAGUGAGUUGGUCCAAUCUUCCUUCUACUCGCUCAAAUCUGUCUGAAGUAACUUUUGCGAGCUUUUCCACUGCCAUCUCCCAACCAGGUUUAGUUUCAACUUGUUGUUGCCUUGAUUGAAAUCCCGGUGGAUUGGCUGGCCUUGGUUGAUUUCCUUGAUCCUUCCAUCCAAAGUUUGGAUGAUUUCUCCACCCCGGAUUGUAAGUAUUCGAGUAGGGGUUAUUUUGAGCAUUACGAUUGUAAUUAUUAACGAAUUGUACCUGCUCAGAAUCAACACACUCAUUAGUAUCAUGUUCACCUCCACAUAUAGAACAACAUGCUACAUGUGCAUUAGAUGAACUUGGACCAACUCCACUUUGUCUACUUAGCAACUUCAUCACAUUAUUCAUUUGAGUACUCAGCAUAUUGAGAGUGUCCAUUUCUAUCAUACCUGCGUGACGUCUUGUAUUACCUCUCUCAUUGGCCCAUUGGUAGUUGUUUGCAGCCAUUUCUUCUAUCAAAUUCUGAGCUUCUUGGGGUUAUUUACCCAUUAAAGCUCCACCUGCAGCUGCAUCGAUCAUAGUUUUAGUAGAAAAAACUAAACCAUUAUAGAAGGUUUGUAUGAUUAACCACUCCGGCAGUCCAUGAUGUGGACAUUUCCGAAGCAAAUCUCUAAACCUUUCCCAUGCCUCAUAUAAUGAUUCACUUUCUAAUUGGCAAAAACUAGUGAUAUCCAUUCUAAGUUUAGCAGUCUUACCUGGUGGAAAAUACUUAUUUAAGAAUACUCUUGAUAACUCAUCCCAUCCAGUGAAAGUAUUAGGAGCAUGAGAGUGUAACCAAAGUUUGGCCUUAUCUCUCAAUGAAAAUGGGAACAAUCUUAGCCUUAUAGCAUCAUCACUAACUCCAUUCAUUUUAAUUGUAUCACAAAUUUCCAAGAAUGUAGCUAAGUGUGUAUUAGGGUCUUCUACUGCAUUACCUCCAAAUUGAGAUUGUUGAACCAUUUGGAUAAGUGCUGGUUUAAUCUCAAAAUUGUUAGCAUUUACCGUAGGCCUUACUAUACUCGUUUGAGAUCCUUGUGUUCCCGGUAGAGCAAAAUCUCGUAGAACUCGCCUAUGUGCUUCGUUUUCUGCCAUGUCUUCUUCAAAUGGAAGCUCUAUUAAGAUAUCUUCUAUUGGCUGCCAAACCUCUUGUUUCUCUUGAUGUGAUGUACUCCUCCUUUGUCUGUGUAAUGUUCUUUCAAUUUCAGGAUCGAAAUGUGCAACUUCUCGAUUUGAUCGGUGCAUACACUACAGACAAAAACAAGAGAAAUUUUGCAGUUUAAAUUCAACAACUUGAAAUAAUAAAAAAAAAUGAAAAUAUCUAAAGUAAUAGAGAUGAUUAGGCCCUAAUAUUGCCGCUCCCCGGCAACGGCGCCAAAAACUUGACGGGAUAUUUGUAUCUAUACAAGUUUAAUUCCGAUUUUACACCCGUUGGACUGCAAGUAUACAGGUCGCAAUUGUAGUACAAGAUGUGUAUCGGGUCGAUCCCACGAGAAGCAAUUUAAACAAUUACUAAGCCCUUGUUCUCUCUAUUAUUUAGACUUACAAUUAAUUUGAGCAGAGAAAGUCUAAUGCUGUAAUCUACAAAUCUGAUAUACAAAUCUAGUUUAACAAAUACUGAGUACAAAUAGAGAAAUUUUACUUAAGGAAGAUUCUAGGGAUGUAGAUUCCACUUAUGGCAUAAACUACACAAAUGAAUGGAUUUACUCCUUGCUAUUAUUCUUGCUUAACCAGAGAUUUAUUUCCAAGAAUACCAAGUCUCAUUUUCAUGAUGAAAUGGCUUAGAGCAAUAUAGAUUUCCCUAUUUUCAUGGUGAAAUAUUCUACUACUCCGUUUUAUUUCAUGAAAUGCUCAAUAAUCCACCUAAGUGUAUCUCUAUUUUCAUGAACAUACAACUCAAGCUCUACUCAUGUAUUUCAAUUGUUAUUACCAAUUCUCAUUGAAUAAUAACACUAUAAAUAUGCUAUUGGUGAUCAAUCAACAACACGUAAUCACAGCUACACAAGUAGACAAGUUACUACAAGAUAUAACAAGUGUAAAUCACAUUCCAUUCAUAUUAUUUAACCAUAAGCUUCAUCUACUCCCUAGAUUAAGGGGUUUAGCUACUCAUGAAUGAUUUAAUAAUCAAACUCACAAGUUUAUUAAUGCCAAACAUCAUGAAGUACAAGUACAAGAAAGAUAAAAGAAAGCUUAGCCACUUGAAGGUGAAGCUCUCCAAUUCCUGCUAUGCUCUUGCACAAUAUGAUUACAAGUAAAAACUCCAAGUACUUCUCCAAGAACUCCUAUCUAGAGAGAAACUAGAUACCAGAAAGAAAACUAGUUACGUAUGGUAAUCCCUCUUCUCCCCAAUCUUUCUGCAUAAAAAUGUGGUAGAAAUUCCAUUCCUCUCACUUCAUAAUUUCUUCCACUCAGAUUUUGUAAAAAGAGGUCAAAGAUAUGAUGUCUCCUUUUGUCCACAUUCAUUUGGUCUUCUCUUUUGUUGCAGAAGCAUGUGCCACCGAUUUCUGUCCCUCAAAAUAGCUGGAAAGUUAUGAAAAAGGUAAAGAAAAACGGCUAUGGCACUUGCUGAGGAGAGAGACAGAUCCGAGCCUCGGAUCCGAGGAGUGAAAAUUGGAUCCGAGCUCGGAUAUUAGGAUCUGAGGGCUUCCAUGAUGGAUCCGAGGUCGGAUCGUCCUGACCUCGGAUACACUCCGCCAGAAGUACAGACUAGGGGUCGGAUCCCUCUUGUACACACAGAUCCGUGCUCGGAUCUGUGUUGAACAAUUUUCCAGUUUUUCACUUCUUCCCUUUUUCUACAUUUUUGCUCCCAAUUUCUUGUGUACUUUGUCUUCUGAAUGACCCUGACAUUUCUUUCAACUUGUGCAUGAAUUUCAUACAUCAAUUACCUUCACAAUUUCACAAAAUUAACGCAUUAAUCCACUCAUUUAUUAAUUUCUGAACUCUUAAACAAUAUUUAAGCAAUUAUCACCAAAAGAGUUCAAAUAUGGCUUUAAUCUUCUCAAAACAUACCAAAAAUUCAUGCCAAAUUCGUACAAAAUGUACGUUAAAUAUUCACUUAUCAAGGAACCUCUUUAGGAAUUUGAUUGGUAUUAGGAAACCAAUCAAUUAAGCAAUUUGGCAGGGAGAAUUCAGCAUAUAGCUCUUGCUUAGGAACAAAGCAUAGUUAUUCUUGUUUUCUUGACCGAUUGACAAGAAGACAAUUGGAAAGCUUCGAACAGAUUUUUGCAUGGCUUGUUCUCCAUUAAUGGAGAACUAAUUUCAUAUUUCUAGUCAAGGGGACAAUUGAAGAUUUGGUUCAACAAUAACUGUGAGAUCUAAAUUAUUUUAAUUGCUUCUUUCAUUCAUUGGUAUUUAUAUGUUUUUUGCUUUUAAUGGCUAUGACUACUGUGUAUGAUUGAAUAGUUGCGCAAUAUUUAAUUAUUCACGUAGUCUAUUUGCUAAUUGGGGGUAGUUGAAUCCGUAAUUGUUUGAUUACUCCAUCCCGGUAGCAACUAGCAUGAUUGGUUUCAUGUUAGGAAAACGUAUGAUAUAACUUAAAUGAACCCUCGUAGUGUGUUUGUUGGUUAGAGUUGGGCUUUUCCAAUUCUUAUUGCAAUCGAAAAAUGAAAUCCUAUGAUCGUAUUUAGGGUUAUUUCUUGUUUGGUGAAAUAGUUAAUGAUCAUACCUUAACUAUCGAAAAAGUAAGGAAAGGCUGGUUGUUUAUCGCAUGCAUGACAACUAUAACCAAUCUAUUAAUGAGUAAUUGAAUUAUCUUUGCAUCGAUGAUCAGUUGAAUGAACCGUGUCUGAAAAGUUGCACCUUUGAUUAGAAUCGUAUUGGUUAUUGAUUAAUUCAUGUUUAUUUCUGUUAGUUGUUUCAUUAGUUAGUUAAUUAGUUAUUUUAUAUUCUCCAAAAACCCCCCAUACUUCAGACCCUGGAAGAAACGAAUUAUCCCCAAUCCCUGUGGAUUCGACCCUACUUGCCCAAUAUACAAAUUAGAGAUUUUUCGUGAAUAAAUUCUGGUAUAUCGGAUUUAGCAAACUCUUCGGAACCAGGAUGAAUCUAGUAACCCAUUGCACAUCUAGAGUCCCUGCUCCAGUACCAGAAUUGACACGAAGUUGCUUCCGUUGGCAAUUAGGAUUAUUAAUAUUAUUAUUACACAGACUCGAUACCUGUCAAUACUCACCUAACAAACCUCCACCCGAGGAAAUUUUUUUUUAAAAAAAUCUACAUUAGGGUAUACAUUAGCAGAAAAUGAAAAAAAAAAAAAACUUUAGACUGCAAUCUAGUAACAUGUGUCCCAGGUGCACAAAGAAAUUGAAACAUAUAGAGCUUUGAUUGUCAAAAGUAGCACUAGUACUCCUCGGAGUUUAAUUCAAAUACAGAUGAUCAAAUAUGAGUGACGCCUUGCGCAUAGCGGCAAUAGAAAACUAUGAAAGGAUAUGCCACGGUGUGUCAGCCAACCGUCUUUAGAGUUGAAAUUCUUUCAGGAGCUUCUGUGAUUGUAUGGUUUUGUAAUCUAGCAGCAUCAGAUUUUGUGAGGCGAUGCGUUGAUGAAACUUGGGUAUUGGUAUUCAAUCCCAAGAUCUUUCAUGUAAAAUGACUCGGAUGCGGCAAAAGCCUUGGAUUCUCUGCUCCGGUCAACUUGAAAUUGGACUAGUCCCAGCACUUUAGGAAGUUGGUUAUUAGCACAUUUAAAUUUUUAUACUAAUUGUAGUAAGUAAUAUUUGGAGGGACCAUAAGUUCAGGUUGAAAAGAGGCAUGGUGAAAAUCUUUCCAAAUACAGACCCUACUACUUGUACAAAUAAAAGAGAGAACAAAAAUAUAUAACCCAUUAACACAUACUAAAAGUUUUUACAGCAAUUACAUGGUGAAUUCAUUAAAUUAGGCAUUUGGUUGACUUUGACAUGUGUGUCAAGUCAAAACAUUGUCAAAAAUUGCAACUUAUUGUAUACUGAUUUACUCGGCAAAAAUAAAUUUAGUUAAUUAUUUAUUGAUAGGAAAAAACUUUUAAAAUUUUGUUUUUCUUAAUAGAUACAUCGAAUGCCAUUGUUAAUCUCCACGUACUUUGAGGCACCAUUAUUGCCAACCUUGCGUCUAAGCAUUUAUCCAUACAAAAAUAGGUGAUUUUAAAAGCUAAAGACAUUUUUCAACCUUUAAAUGUAUUUUAAUAUGCAUAAACAACACGCUUAACCGCAUGUAUUUAUAAACUUUGCCACUGGAUAAUGCCUAAUUGGCCGUAACAAAUGAAGUUUCGGUACUUGAGGUGACGCACUAGUGAAACCAUGCAUUCCAGGGAUAAGAAUUAAACUUGGAAAUCUGAAAGAUAACUAAAGAAUAAAUAUUAGAAUCAAUAAUAUAAAAAAAAAAAGUUUCCAAAUCAAAUCAAAAUUAUUGAAAAUUGACCAAAGCUCAAAUCCAAAUCAAAUAAAUCCUUACACGUUAAACCCACGAGAAACCUGUUAUCAAGAGGUGCAAUUACCACUUGAUAAAACUCCAAUGUAGCUAUCACCUCGUGGAUCACACAUAUGUUGGGUCCUCUUAAUUAUUUUCAGUUGGUACGAAAUCAUUCAGAUAUGAUUUCCGUGACAAAUUCUGAGUGUAACGCAAUAUUCACCUCAACCAGUUGAGACAUUGUCUGAUAACCAUGAAAUUUGACUCUCCAAUUCUUGGGUUUUGCCUCUCUCUUUAUAAGGUGUAGAAUGUGGGUUUUCUUUCGAAUGAACCUGGUUCUAAAGAAUGCUAACUGGCUGACAAUUGCGGAAGUUUUUGUGCAUAUCUCUACCAUGAAGCCAAUCAAAAUGUGAAUGGACUAGACAUAAAGGGCAGUAGUUUAAAAUUUGUAGUGAAAUUAACUUAAUUACCUCAAUGGGAUUGAACUAAAAAAUGCAAUCUUCUAUUCAGACAAAAUUCAUAAGUUCUAAGUUCAUUAAGAAAGAUCAAUGCCUGUCAUAUUAAUGCAAAAUUAUUGAUAACAACAAGAAGGAUACUUUUAGAGGUGACAUAGUCUAGAGUCCAUGCAUCUAACCCACUCUCUUGACAUAGAUCGGAGUUCAGUGAGCGUUAAACUCAAGUCCAUUGGCCAAAAAAAAAGAAAAAAAAAAAAAAGACUCAAGUCUAUUCAAAAAACCAAACAUUGGACUCCAAACCAGUGAUGUCGAAUUGAUUAUCCAUGGACGCUAAAACCGCCAGAAACAAGUCAUCAAGAGGUGAAACUACCACAUACGACAAUACCCAAUUAUUUAGCAAAUCAAGGAUAAGGAUUAGGACUGUCAAUGGGGCUGAGCCAGCCCGAGCUCGGCUCGUUCGGCCCGACAGAAAACCCGAUGAGCCCUAUCAUUUAGUGAGUCGGUCUGAGCUUGAGCCUAAAAAUUAGGCCCGAAUUAAAUGUGAGCCGAGCUUGGGCCUUAUUAGGCUCAAACCCGAUAUAGGCCCGACCCUUUAAUUACCUAUAUAUAUAAUAUUUAUAUUUUGAUAUUAUGUAUAAUUAUAUAUCCAAAUAUAUUUUUACUAAAUACUAAAUAUAUAUAUAAAUUACAAAACACAAAAAUACAUCUAAAGACUCUUUCAUGAGCUUUCUUGAGAGCCAAUAUUAGUAAUGCAUAACUAAAUCUCUAAUUUUUCUUAUUGGUUGAGUAAAUUUUUGUAUUGGCAUAUUAUUGGUUGAUUUUUUUUUGGUCUACAAACACAAAAAUCAUCAAGCAUGUUCGGAUUUAAAUCACAAGAUUAUAAAAAAAAAGUUUCAACUUUUAAAGAUGCAUUGGCUUAUGAUCGCAUGUUUUAUUACUAUUUUUCAUGCAUUUUAAAAGGAUUAAAUAUAAAUAUUGUUGAAAAUUUUUUUGGUUUAUAUACUUUUUAAGAACUAUUAUUUGUUCAUGUUUAGUUUUAAUAUUAUAGUCUUGUAUAUGUUAAAUUAGUUUUACAACUUAAUAGUUAUAGUAAUUAUAUUAAGAAAAUUAAGGAGUAAUAAGUGAGCAUGGGCUAAACCCGAUUAAGGCUCACAACCCAAAUAUUAUAUGAGCUAAGUAUGAGUUUCACAUUUACGAACCCGAAACUCAUAGCCCGAAGCCCAAAAAUGUUUCAAAUUAAAUGAGUUAAACUUGAACUCAUCAAAGCCCGGCUCAUUAGGCCCGAUUGACAGGCCUAAUAAGGAUCAGACAAGUAUCAGGGUAUUAAUAGUCCUCUAUAUUAUUUAUUUGCAGCUGGUACGAAGUCAAUUAAUCAGAGAUACCCACCAAAUGACACAACUUAAGACUUGAAGGAAAAAUAUGAUUGCUGAAGAAUCGUUAUCAGAAUCAAAUCAUUGCACCUUAAAUACAACUUUUUUGGAUUCAGUUAGGUUUGCAUCGAGGUGGAGAAGAUCUCAAUUACAUACAAGCAAUUAACAGCAGAAGAAACAUAGCUUUAAUAUCUGAUUCUAGUAAUGGUUUCUGGCAAAGAAUACGUUGUCCUUCACGAGUAAUGUUUCUAGAAACAAUCUUUAUAUUUUUUGUGUUUAAAAUAACUUGAAGAAUACGGCAAAAGUAAACUUUGGUUUGUGGACUGAUGAGUAAACACUAUGAAAUGAUGAGUAAACAUCAACACUAUAUGUCUGGAAAGAGAGGAAUUACAUUAUUUUUAGCAACAAGGUUACUAAAAUUGGGGGUUAUUAUAACUUUAUCCCUUUAAACUAUAGUGCUAAUAUCAAUUUACCUUUUUAACAUUAUUUUGCAGGCAUUUGACCUCGCAGUUAUUCUCCUUUUUCAUUCUAAGAGGACCAAGAAAAAAUGUAAAAGGGUUCCCUUUUCUUUUUCAUUCUCAACUAUUAAGAAAAAAAAAAAGAAAUUGAAUAGAGGUUGACAGAAAACUCAAUUUCAGAAAAAAGGAAAAUAAAGAAGAAUCCAAUAUUAUAAUUAAUUUAAAAUAAGUUAGAGUGGGCGGUAGGGGUGAAGAGUAAGUAGUAAUUUUAAAAUAAUAAGCACAUUGGAUUCUGUAUUAUUUUUAUUUUCUUUUUUAAAAUUGAGUUAUCUCUCUAUUUUCUUAUUUUAAGUAUUGAUAAGUACACGAGGAAAAAAAGAAGAAGACAUUUUUUUGACUUUUUUCCCCUUGUUAUUAAAGAGGGUGGAAAAAAGGGAGAAGACACUUUUUUAUUUUUUUUCUUGGUAUUAAAAGGGUGAAAAAGGGGGAAAAAACCAUUCCAAUUUUUUUAAAAUUUUUAAUCAUACAGGAGAGGGAUGUAUUUCUUCUAAAAUAUUAGGUAAAUUAUAUAUAAUUUCCUGUGUUUUCAUCUAUUGCCACAUGAUUCCCAAAACAUUUUAGGGUUUUAUGCGGCUGAUGUAAGGGAAAAAAUUCAUAUUAAUACCUCAAAUUUCCCUUAAGGAGUUUUUAUAUUUAAAUCAAAUUAUUCAAUGAAUAUAUUUUUGUUUUUCUCCUAGUCUCAAAGAGUCUUGCCUCAGGCCUAAAUCAUUUCCGCUAUAUUCCUUUGGCCAAAUUUACAAUCGUAUAUUUGUGUUUGUAGCCGUUGAUUGAACUUUAGUCUUAGGAAAAAUGAUAACAAAUGGAAAGAGUGAGAUACAAGUCAAUUAAAAAACAUGAUUAACACUAGAAUUUGUGAGACAUGGAGACUUGGAUUAUAAAAAGGAUAAGAAAACUUGAAUAGGUGAAAAAAGGUGCAUUAAAACUAUACGAAAGAAGUAGCAUAACAGUGAUAUAGUAUUUGGUGAUGAGCAGAUUCUUGGUGAUAUGUUUUUUAAGUUUGAUAGGCAUUUUAUUACUUUUGGGAAGAUUAUUAUAAUCAUUUUGAGUCCUUAAGAAAAGCAUGGAAGUAUAAUAUUUGAAUAUAGAGGUGGGCAACGUGAGAUUAUCAGAAAUCUUAGAAGAAGUUUUUGAAAUUAUCCUUUGCUGUAAUACUAUUCUUUUUUUUUUCUACUUUGUGAUUAUUGAUUUCCACAUUCACACUCGAAAUGCUAAGGCAAAAAGCAAAAUUCAAGUAGUGGGUUGGUGGCUCAGCUCAUAUGAUUCUGAAAUACAACGAUUUAUUGGGCACAUUCUACCCAGUAUUGUCUGUUGGCAGAUUUGGAAAGCAAGGAAUAAAGCAAUGUUUGAGGAUAUUCAGAUGAGGCCGCUUGCCAUUUGUCGUGCCAUUUUCUCGGAAAUCCAGACCAUUGUGGGAAUUUAUUUCAAACAAGUGUUCAGAGUACAGUCAUUUCAUCAUUUGUAUGAUUGGUCGUAUUCUUCUCAUACUGAGGUUACAUACAAACUUGUUCGUUGGGAAGCAAAGGAAUCCGAUCGGUUCAUAUUAAAUACGGAUGGCUGUUCUAAGGGCAAUCCAGGGAGUGAGUGGAGGCGGUGGGGUUCUUCGGGAUUCAAAUGGCAUACCUUUGAUUGGCUUUUCGGCAUAUCUUGGGGAAACUACAAGUCUAUGUGCAGAGGUUCGGGCACUCCUUAUUGGGCUUCAAACUUGUGUACAUAGGGGUUUUCAAAAUCUCUAUGUUCAAUCGGAUUCUUUAUUAUUAGUUGGAAUUCUUCAGAAUCGCAUUCAAUGCCCCUGGAAGAUUCGACGAGAGAUUAGGCAGAUUUGGCAGUUGGUGAAAGAUCCUGAUCGUUUUUCGCAUUGCUAUAGGGAAGCUAACAAAGUUGCUGAUGCGCUGUCCAAUGUGGGCGUAUUUCAUCCAGAGCAUCAAGUCAAGCUUUACGAGGCCUUUAAUUCGUUCCCAACUAUGGCUCGUGGGGCCAUUCGACUUGAUAGAUUAGGAAUGCCUUCAAUUCGGAAAAGUAAGCGUAUGAAGGGCUGAGAACAAAGGACAACUGGAGCUAAUAUGCGGUUGCGGUUGCGGUUGAAUGAGACAUGGAGGUUUUGUGUGCUUUAUUACCUUUUCAGUCGAUUGCUGUACUUCGAAUUGGUCUUUCUCAAUGUGUAAAAUUUGCUCCUAUCAAUAAAAUAAACUAAUAUUUAAUUAAAAAAAAAAGCAAAAUUCAAGGAUGAAAAUGAAAAAAAAAAAAAAAGACAAGGUUAUAAACAUAGGGAAAGACUCUAUAUUUGAUUAAUGCUAAAAUAUUAUAAAAUGAUUAUAGAAUUUCUUUUUCAUUUUUUAUGAGUGACAUUUUUAUUAAGAAAAUUUAGUAGGGGAAUGAUGGGAUUUAAAAAGUGAAAAAAGAACAAAGAGAUCAAAAUUCAGGAUCUCUAAUUCUUGGGAGUAACAUGAUAAUAUUAUUUCUAAAAAUCCAAUAUCAAAUCCUAUUGGUGUAAUAUAAAGGAAUUUGGAUGAUUGAAGUGUUUAAAAUAUAAAAUACUUCUAAAUUAUAAUAUCUUAUUCAUUAGUCGAAUGUGGAAUCUUAUGUUUGUUGCCCCUUUCUUUUUUGCUUUGGAUUUGGGUUUUGAACUUUGAGUAUGAAUUGAGUAAGAUUAUAGCAUGAGAAGGUUCAUCAUGUUCAUUUAAUUAAGGUCUUCCUGCAUUUAAAAUGGGAGCUUACAUGACAAAAAAAAAAAGAUUAAAAUGGUAAUAAUUUACAAAAGAGCAUCAUAGUGGGAACAUUUUUCCUAAAAAAGGUCAUUUCAGAACUAAAUUCCGUGAAUCCAUGGUUUCAUGUGGGGUUUCUUUUCAUGGACGUGAUUAACAUCAUGUCUCUUAUCAUUUCGAUGAGGAUUAUUAACAUCCAAGUCCUAGAGCCUGAUUGCAUUAGUACUAUCCUUGGCCUUGGGUAUAAUAUCACAAGUUCCUCCCUGUAAAGGUUGCAAUGCGUUUUAAGAGAGUGAGAAUUAAGUAUAUCACGGGAAAAAAAAAAUUAAUGGCAAAGUAACUUACCAGAACAACCAACAGAUGGAGGAGGAUAAUCCAACAAGCAAGUCCUUUGGAAUCCAUCAAUUGGUAGGUUUUAUAUCCCUUGCAACUCCUCCUUUGAAGGAUUAGGCAACAGCAGAAGCAAAUGCCAAAUAUUACAUAUCGAUGAAAAGUGUGCUUGAUUAGAAGGUUCUUUUUCAAAUAGUCGAUUAAAAUAUGACCCCUUGACAGAUAGUGUUUCUUAUUGAGGUUGAAAAAUGAACCAAAUUAUUUGAUACUCAAAUCAAAUUUGGCUAAAGAAAAGUUUGUUUGAACUUAGUUUGCCAACUAAUCAAUUUAAAAUUUAAGAAGUAUUAUUAUGUGUUAGAUUAACUAUCAAAUUUGGCAUUAACUUGGCUUGAUUAACAUAAAAUUAGAAUUUACAAGUAAAAAAUUCAAGUUACUCAAGUUCGACUCAUGCUCGAUUCUAUAAAAAAACUCAUUUGAGUUUGGCUUAAUUAAUAAACAAGUCAAAUUUGAAGACCUUCCUCUUAAAAAAAUUUUUAAAAAAUCAAGUUUGAGUACAGUUUUAAGUUUAUUAAAUAAUCUAACAAGUUUGAAUACUAGAACAUUGAAUCUAGUAGACCUACACAAAAUCACUAAAUUUAUUUUAGACCAUAACUGUAGAUUGUUUAGAAAAAAAAGGACCAAAAUGUAGACCUACCCACGUGAUGCAAACCAACCAGCCACGUGAUCCAUGCUGUAACCUUGCUAGCUUCACUUAGCUAUCGCCUUGUAUAAAUAGCCGUAUAGCCCCCAAGAGUCUUUUCACCACCAAAGUUACAUUUUGAGGCUUGUCAUAGGCAAGGCAUGGCUUCAUCUAUCACUCUGAUCGCAGUCUUUUCAAUUGCCCUGGUAAGGUUUCUCAACCAUCAAUACUGUACUUGAAGUAGUAGUUCAUACGAGAUAAUUGCUAGACUGUAUAGGAAUACUGAUGAAACCCGUGAAUUAAAGCUACCUGAGAAAACACAUUCUUCUUCCUUUUUGCACAUUCAUCUGCAGCUCUAACCAUCGCCACUGAAGGAAUGGAAGCUCUUCAGAUGGCUCUGUAGUUCUAUUCUGAUAAAAUCUUGACUUCCAAACAUUACCAAUGCUGGUACCAUACUUAAACGUCAAUGUAACUUGAGUAAUGGCAUAUGACACUAUUUACCAUUUUUUAGUUGGAGGAUUCAUCCGGGAAAGCUUGAAGGUCAAAUCAAUACCUUAAAAUCAACAAAUGAAUAUUCCUGUUGCCAGUUGAGCUCGUAUUUGGACAUAACUAUCCUUCCCUACAAGGGGUCAUCUUUUACAGUGCUACCAUCAACGUACCUAUAUGGCUAUAUUGACGUUAGUUUCUUUUAUGGUGAUAUUUGCACUAAUGUGCAGUUUGGAUGCAUCACGGAAGCAAGGAAGAAUCCUACGGACUUUUUGCAAUCUGCUGUCAUUAAUGAGCAUACUGAGGACAAUCACCAUGCAGAGCCGUCCCCUUCCAAUCAGAAGAAGACAACUAAUGGUAACACAUUGAAAGACUUUGAGUCGAAGCGUGGCUCCCAUCUCUUCUAUCAUGGCGACGACGCUUCUCCUCUGGUGAAAGACUUUGAGUCGAAGCUUGGCUCCCUUCUCUUAUAUCAUUAUGGCGCCGAGGAGAAACCUCUGAGGAAAGACUCAUUAUUUGGCGCUCCUCUGAGGAAAGACUUUGAGUCGAAGCUUGGCUCCCUUCUCUUAUAUCAUUAUGGCGCCGAGGAGAAACCUCUGAGGAAAGACUUUGAGUCGAAGCUUGGCUCCCUUCUCUUAUAUCAUUAUGGCGCCGAGGAGAAAACGCUGAUGAAAGACUUUGAGUCGAAACGUGGCUCCCAUCUCUUCUAUCAUGGCGACGACGCUAAGCCAAUGAAAGAUAAUUAAUGUCCAGGGAAGCCGCAACUUUACCUCUGUACGGACUACGGACCUGUGUCUCUUCUAGCUGGUCCGUUUUUAUCCAUUGUCUUCUUUCAACCAAGCGUUCCGUAAUAAAUGUCAGUACAGUUGAGUGCAUUUUCUGUUUCUUUGUUUGUUGUUCUUUUUGCCAUUUACCAUAUACAGGAAGUGCACAAAAAAUGAGCACUAUUCAAGCAUUAUAAGAAUCGUAGAGUGAGCGAACCGCUUUACCUUGAUAAUCUAAAAAGAGUUCUGCAAACUCGUACUCUUGUACGAAACCAGGACCAAAUAUAUAUAUAUAUAUAUAUCGAUUCAAUUUUCUAACUAUGUGUGUGGUACGAAUGCACAUUAGAAGUACAGAAAAUUCUCGAGUAAACUUUCACAAAAGAAGGGAAAGAAUGGAGAACUCUUGAAGCGUGAUUGAUCGCUACUCUUAGGAAUUUAAUUAUCCAUACUACACUAAGUAUUUGCUGUAGAGAUAUGGUAAUUUAACUUUAAGAUACAACAAGAGAAGAAGCAGUUGAUAGCAAAUAUCAAGUUUCUCAAACUAAGAAAUGAUCAAAUAAUUCUAGCUAGUUUUGACAUUAAAAGGCUUGUUUAUUUACAGGUAACCUUGUUUUCUUUUUGUCCCAAUUAUUUGACUUUAAACUUGGUUCUGUGACAUGGAUUCUACGUGUUAGUAUACACAACACUAAUCCUAAACAUUAAGUGAAAAUCAUAUUAUGGGUAACUGAGUACCGCAUAACUUGCAAUUAUCCACUUACGCACUCAAUAUUAUUGGGAAAUUACAUGGAUUUUUGUUUCGGUAACUCUAAUUAUAGUCUCAAGAUCCAUCUUAAUUGAAGGGGCCAUUAUGAAUUAGAUGAACAUGAAAUUGUAUUUCGAUUCUCAAGCUAAUCCCUUCCUCUUUCUCCAUUGUAAGGAUUAGUCUCUCUUUUUUUUUUUUAAGUGCUCUAAUUAUACAGGAUUAAAGCAAGUAGCAAUGGUCUAUAAAAGGAUAAAAAGUAAGCAGGGGCAUAUUUAUUAAAACAUGAAAAUAAUAUGAAAUUUUAUAAUACGCAUGAUAUGAAUAAUGAAUUGUACGUCAAUAAUGCCAAUAUAUUUGAAAAGUACAAAGCUGAAAAUACAGCUUCACUUACUAUGUGCAUAAUAAAUAUUUUAGCGAAGAUUUUUUAUUUUUAGUGUAAGUGAGAAAUUUGAACUCCAAACCUUUCACUUACACUCUUUUUUCAUACCAUCCAAUCCAUCCCUACAUUUUUAUGAAGAUGAGCACAUAAUGUGAGUUUUUAUUUUUUGAGGUGAAUAACUUGUUCACAAAAAAGUUUACUCGAUUUAUGUAAAGUUUAAACUUUGGGCUGUCUAAACAACGCAAGUAGAUGGCACUAGGACACAAUUCAUUAUGAUGACUUCAUCCAAGGUAACGAAAAAAAAGUUGUACAAUUGCACUUAAAAUUUGUGAAAUUUAUAGUACUAUUUCAUGGUUUAUCCUCUCAAAGUUAACAACAAAUAAUGCUUUAAACUCCGUUUAAACAACUUAUGAGUGUAAUUCAAAUUUAUUGCUCCAUUAUGUAUGUACAAUGUAUCAAAACAGAAGAGUAGCAAAUUGUGUUUUAUUGCACUUUCUGUUUAGCUAGCUUCAUGCAAAUUAACCUUCGUAGAUUAUAGGUAAAGAAUUGGUUUGCCAUUCAAUGUAUCCAAGAAAUAUGUGUUAGUACAUAAUGUUUAUUUCAAUGGAUGCACAGGUGUAAAACAAAAUUACAAAUUAUUAAGUUUUAAACUUUACAAGUACUUAAAGCACAAUAAUUUUUAUUAAAUUAAAAUUUUCCCUCCUGUGAUUUGGUAGUUUAUCAUAUAACCCCUCUAUAGUUUAAAAAUCUAACACAACGUCCUCAUAAUCUAGGUUAACAUAUCAUCAUUAAUUUUUCUAUUAAAACUAACAAUCAAUAGUUCAAAGUUUAAGUCAAAUUAAUAUAUUGAAAAAUUUACCCUUUCACUAAUCUAAUUCUUUGAGGUAGUUACAAAACUAUUACAAUUAUUAUACACCUUAAACUAUGUAUUUGUUUUCAAGUAAACACAAAAGAUGCAGCAGACCAUUUUUAGCCAAGUUAAUAAAAUUGCAAAUGUAACAAUAUAAAGCACCCUAUCAAAAGUUACUCUAUAUGAUUAAGAAAAUAAUUUAUAUUUAUUCGAAUGGAAAAAAGUUGCCAGAAGAGGGAGACACCAUAGGAAAAAUAGUUUAGAGUGAACUGCAUCAAUCAUGCCUUCCAUCGGGGGGGAAAAAAUGAUAGAUGUGCGUGUAUAUAGAUACAUACACGCGCAUUUAUGUAUGUGCAUGUACACGGACGUGAGGUUGUUCCUUUGAAAAGUAGCUUCUCCUGCAAUAAUCCAAAUUCUAGGACAGUGGCAGAAAUGGAAAAGUAGUAUAGGCUGCACCGAAAUCUACUAAAAUACAAGCUUGAAAUUCAGAUAGAAAUCGAAAUACAUAAAAAGAUCAGAGCUUUUUUUUUUUUUUUUUUUUUGAGGAGAUAAAACGUUCAAAGCUGAAAGCAGAACCAGUCUUUGAGUCGUAGUGUUAUUUAGAUUCAAGUGAAAGACGGGGCACACGACCAAUACAGCAGCCAAAUAGAGAUGGAAACUUGAGCUCUUGGACUCUAUGGCCGAAUGAUAGAGCCCUAGAUUGGAACCAGUGCAAAGCUUUCUGCCGCACUAACAUGGCAAAUAGGGGAGGUCCCGGAAGGCAAUGUGACCAUGGCUCCAGCGAGGGGUAUCCAUGUGACAAACAACUUCGAUCUUUUCACCAUCCUCUCCGCUUAGCAAAAUCCUAUACACGCCCGAUCGUGGCCUCUUGAGCAUGGUGUUAGGAAAUUAGUUUAAUUUCUUUUAGAUAGAUUUCUUGUUUUGUGUGGAAGUAACUAGUUUUUUAAUUGAUUUUGGUUACUUAAAAUAGUAGUCAAGAAAUUUCCUAUUUUAUUUAGGAUUAGAAAUUAUUUCCUAUUCUGGACAAGUCUAGGAAUUAGAAUUGGUUUCCUGUUGUUAUUUGGGUUUUUGAUCAGAUAAUAUUUUCCAUAAAUAUGUGGAUUAGCAUACUAUACAAGAGACACACAAGGGGCACACAAGAGGCGACAUGUAGCCCAAUACAUGGGUGGAGAGAGAGAGUUCUUGAAAGAUGAGAGAUGGUAUAUAAAGAUUAGAUUUUGGUUUAAGUUGUAUUCUUGUAUAGGAUUUUUUUCUCUCAUAAUAAAGAAUGAGUUUCUCUCCGUGGACGUAGGCUCAAUAGUGGAACCAAACCACAUUAAAUAAAUAUUGUGUCGUUUAUCUUUCAUACUUGUGACUUAUUUAUUAUUAAUUAUUGUAUACUUGAUAUCUUAAUAGUUAUUUGUUCUGCGCUUGAAUCCUAACAAAUAGUAAUAAAAGAUUUAAGGAUAAGCUAUGGUACGACAUGUCAUCUUUGGAGUUAAAAUCAUUUCAGGAACUUACAAGAUUGUGUUGUUUUGCAAUCUAUCUGGAGUUGAUCUCGUGGGCUGUUAUGUCAAAAAGACUCCAAUAUUGCUCUCCGACCCUUGAUUUUUCUGGCAAAUUCACCCAAUGACUCAUAGGAUGUGACACAAGUACUCGUCUCUCUCCGUUGAUUGGCAUCCUCUCACACUCUCAAAGUGUAUUUUCCAUCAUCUGGGCUUUUCGAGAUCCUUGAGGAAUCGAAAAGUGUUCAAGAAUGUAAGGGAGUUGCUCUAGCUGUAGCAACUGACAAAAUUAUCCUUGAUUGCUUAUUCUGUCUACAGGGCUGAAUGCACAUGCAUGUGGCAACAGUAUAGCGCCUGUUAAUGGAGUCUUGGUGCUAUAUAUGGCCCAUUCUUAAGCCAUGUUUUGUUUGAUUGGUUUCUAAAAGCCAGUGAUCAUACUGAGACCGGAUUGCCCCUGACGAAUUUGAAUUAUGGAGGCGAGUCCAUUAUUUGAUCAAGAACCACCCAGAUUUACUAGAUGGCAAGCCAAGAUUUCAAUCUCAUCGAGCUCUUUUGCAUUCAUUGUAUUGCAUGUACAAGACCAUUAGUUUCGUUAUGUUAACAAUAGUUAUAGAUGCACAUGCAUUAACAAAAAAAGUAAUUUUAGUUUAUGUACAUGACUCAGGAAAAAAUAUACCAAUAUAUAGUAAUUCUUGAUAUAUAUAUAUAUAUAUAUAUAUAUAUUGAUUGCUAGUUCUUGUACGUAACUCAGGGGAAAAAAUUUUAGUUCAUGUACAUAAAUCUUGACGUAUGUGUAUACCAAUUUUUUUGAAAGUUAACUCAACCAAGCACAACUGGACCUGCGCCAAUCCCUAAUCAAAAUUUGAUGCACAUGCCAUAAAUUAAAAUAUAAAAAACUUAACAUUGGAGAACUAAAUGCGGCAAAAGAAUAAAUAAUAUAAGACUAUUGUACAACAUCAACAUAUGACACAAGUCUAUUGUACAACAUCGUCAAAUUAAGAAAAUAAACACACUCAGAAUACAUAGAUGUUCUGUACAGUCCCUAAAACUUUUUUUUUUCUUUUUACUAAUUUGAUCCGGCCCACAGAACUCUCGUCUUUACCGUUACUAUUUCAACUUCUAAUUAUCUUUAGGGAAUUAAGAAGGCCUUACUGUAUAAUAGGUCUGAAGAAAAGUUAAUACACUGUUAAAAUAAGUGUAGAAGAGUUCAGCCAGCCAUGUCUUUGCCUUGUUGUUAUAGUGUGCUUGAAUUUUCUCCUUCACAUUAUGAAAAUGGUGACAUUGUGCACCCCGCAAGUGUUUAUGUCUUUAUAAACCUUCAACAAUUCGUCAUCACUGCCCAAAGUUGUGAGCAAUAUCCUUUUUUUCCCUUAGUUCUUUCACAUCCUUGGGGUUGUCGAUCAGCGAUUUCAUGAACUCAAUAUAUGCUGUCACUGCUCGGUCAGUGCUGGUACUUGGGCACAUUUCAUAGGCAAUCAUAUUUAAAAAGAAAACUUUGGUGUCAAUCGAAACAAACCAAAUUGGAACUUCAAGUGUUGCAUAGAAAUAACCUGAUUUGAACUUGAUGCCCUUCGAAGAAUCAGCACUGCUGGUCCUAAAGUGAAUUCCCUUGGCCUUCAACUCCGUGGCUGAACGAAAGCAAUGAACGUAUUUUUUCGUGCUAGAAUCAUUGUCAAUAUUUGAUCUUCUCCACCGCAGAAAACAUGGCAAAUUAUGAAUAUACUCGUGAAGAUUGCUGCAUCUGCGAAAAUUUUUGAAGUGAUUGAGACAGACAGCGUCAUUGCUGGCCCUAGAUUUUGGAGAAAUUGGUUUGUCUUUACAGGAUUCAGAGACAAGAACUGGCCAGAAAGCGUCCAGAAGAUGAUGGGGUAGGUCCUUAUCUCUGCUAGCUAUUCCACUCCCCUUGUAAUUCCCGAACACAGUCCUGUUCAAGAACUCGUUGAGCACCUCUUCACCUUCUUGUUUCCCAUAUCUCAAACACAUCAGAAACUUAAGAAGCUAGAAAGGAAUUUGAUUUUCAAGUAAAACAUGUCACGAAGUACAAUCGCCGAUACCAAAUCACCAAGAAAUAGCGUGUGAUGUAAAAGUUUGCGGCACUUUUGCAUCUAGAAAUUAUGUCGUUGAUAAUGAAAUAGGCAUCAGGAAGCAUCAUUUGUCACUACAAGAAAAUUGAUUUUCAAUGACAAGCCAUUUCUGUCACAAAAAAAUGAAAAGUCGUCACUGAUAACUUUUAUUGACAACUUUCUAGUUGUCACAGAGUCGUCACUGAAGGCCCGUCGGUAAAAGUACAUAGUGACGACCUUAAAAGUCGUCAGUGAAUGGGACUGUUUUGCGACAACUGAUGUCGUCAAUAAUUGUUGUACUUUUUAGUGAUGACAUAGUAUCUUGUCAAUGAUAUACAAAGUAUUGUUGUCACUAAAACUAAUUCAUAGUUGUCAUUGGUAUAGACUAAUUACUGACAACAGGUUGUUAUCAAUGGAGAAUUCUAUGACAACAGGUUGUUAUCAAUGGAGAAUUCUAAUUCAGUGACAACACUUUAUCACCAUGAAAUUUGAAGAUUUUCCUACUACAAUUAUAUCUAAAAAUGAAAAAUAAUAUAUCUUACAUGCCAUUAAAAAACAAAUAAAAGUUGUAACUGCAUUAGAAGCUGCAUGCCAAUAUACCACAAAUUAUCUCCAAAUGUCAUAUAAGUUCUAGAUCGUAAAAUAAAUGUUUCAAUAAGGGGUCUAGGAGUCCCAAAUUUUACAUCAAAUUAAGGUCGUUUUACAAAAGACUACUGAAAUAAAGAAAUAGAAAACUCGUGAGUGAGCUGCAUGAACAAAAGACAUAUUCAACUCCAAUGUCGGUCAAUCAAACGCAUGGACUCUAGUGUUGGAAAUUUUAGUAAUAUUCAUUGAUCUUCCAAAAAGGUUGAAUGAACUGCCAUUUUCUACAUUAAGGAAGGAAAAUAAGUAGUGAAUACAAAGACGAGCAAAACAUCAAAGUAAAAGCAACUUUGGUUAGCUUAUCCACCCAAAAAUGCAGUUGAUUCACAUGAACAUAACAAAUUAAGUAUGCAGAGGCCCCGUCCUGGGCCGGGACACGUGGUAGCCCAGGUGCGGUCAAACUGGGCCUGAGCCCCAGGCCCUGGCAGCCGUCCGGGGCUGCGUUGCUAGGGCUCCUGGAGGGGCUGAGAAUCCAUCCCGAAGAGGUCGGAGACAAUCCCCCCAAGUGCGGGAUAAGGGCUAUUCUGGGCAGGUCCCGAAACGUACGGAGGUCGGACUUCCGCACAGGUAUAAAUGGUAGAACACAUCAACUGUACAAGGUACGCUCACUAUUGGCAAAUUGCUCCCGGCUGUUUAUACUUCCCGUGAAUUCUUCUCAUCGGAAAACUAACUUGGUCGUCGGAGCGCCCUCGAGGACCGACCUCGGGCCCCCCGUUGUUAGCUCAUUCUUAUCUGUUUUGCAGGCUUGGAGCCAGCUCUUCCAUCAGCAUCCCGAGCUCAUCAGUUCAGCUCGGUCCGGGGAAGCUCAGCGCUUCUUCAGUUGGCGCCGUCUGUGGGAACCGGAAGAGGUAAGUGCAGUUGUGCUGAUGGCGAGGACGCGAUCCAAGCGAGCGGUAGAGAGCACCGGCCCUGGAGGCGGUGAGGGGUCCCAACGAAGAGAGGCUGAGGCAUCCCGGGGCGCCGGGGGCUCAGCCCUUUUAGGAGAAAGGAUGCAGCAGAUCCUCCAGUUCGUGACGGAGAACCUCCCCAUGCUGGAAGACAUCAUCCGGCAGGCGAAGGAGGGGGAGGAGGCUGGAGGCGCGCAGACCUCCAAGGCGAAGGGGAAGGAGAAGGAGCCGCUCCCCGAACCCUCGAAGGAUGAGUCGCACGACCAACCCCCCAGGAGGAAACGGCCACGGACGCCGCCUCGCCCGCGAGCCUCGGAAGUCGGAGACAGCGAAAGGUACUCCCGCUACAGGUCCACUGGGGGCAGGCCGAGGGGCCCCUCGCCGAGGAGGCCUGCGAGGAAUGGUCUUGCCCGCUCCCCAGCCCGCUCUGCCAAGAGCCGACCGCGCAAUCCCCUUCACUUGAAGCCUGUCCAAGACGAGCUCGAGCAGAUCUUGCGGCCGCAGCUGUACGCGGACAACUACUCCACCUCGCCUUUCCCCCGGGAGAUAGAGGAUUAUCCCCUGCCCCGGAGGUUCAAGAUCCCAAUCAUCGAGAUGUAUGAUGCUUCCACUGACCCGGAAGACCACCUCUCGGUUUUUCUGACGCACAUGCGUCUGCAAACCGCAGCGGAUGAGAUCCGUUGAAAGACCUUCCCUAUGUUCCUGAAGGGGAAAGCUCGGCUCUGGUUCCAGGGCUUGGCACCAGGAUCUAUUCGGAGUUUCCCCGAGCUGGCUAGACAGUUCGUCGCCCAGUUCGUCUCCUCGAAGACCUACGCGAAGAACGCCACCCACCUGAUGUCUAUCAGGCAGAAGCCCGAUGAAUCGCUGAGGAACUUCAUGACCCGCUUCAACGCGGAGAGCUUGCAGGUCAGGGACAAAGAUGAAAAAGUGGUAAUGGCCGCCUUCACGAACGGGCUCAGGGUAGAGGAGCUCUUCUACGAGUUGGCCAAAAAGCCUCCCAUAAACCUGGAGGAGCUCCUAACCCGGGCGCACGCGGCCGCCAACGCAGAGGAGGCAGGUCGCCUGAAGAAGGAGUCAGAUCGGGAGCUCGGAGAUCGGAAGGGUCGGGCGAACCCCCAAGAGGGCAAGGACAUCCCGGCCAAGAAGAAUGUGUUUGAUCGGCUCUCGAAGGAGAAGGCGCCUGCUCCGCCGCCACUCCCAGAGAAGAGCUACACCCCUCUGACACGGCCUAGAGCUCAGAUCUUGGCUGUUAUGGAGGCGGAAGGGCUGGGAGAUCGGCCGCCUAAGAUGGGGACACCUCGGAACAAGAGGAACCAGGACCGGUACUGUGCCUUUCACCGUGACGUGGGACAUGACACGGAGGGAUGCUGGGCCCUACGGAAGGAGAUCGAGGAUCUGAUCCAGCGUGGUUUUCUGGGACGGUUCGUACGCCAUGGCAGGUCGGGCCAGGAGUCCGGGCGCCAUUAUUAUGGAGACCGGCGUGAGGGACAGCGCCGCGACCGCCCUGAGCGGCGUGACGCUCCUCGGGGCCACUCUCCCGACCAGGACAUCCAGAACUUGGCGGGGGUGAUCAACACCAUCGCCGGAGGCCCCACGGGGGGGACAGCCAUACAUCUCGGAAGAGCAAGCGACCGCCCCCCGAAGGGGACGACUCCUUGAAACGCUUGCGCAUGGACGAGGAGAUUACCUUCGGACCAAGGGAUGCGGUCCCCCUGAUUUCCGAGAACCACGAGGCCAUUGUGAUAGACAUCGUCACCAACAACUACCGGGUGAAGAAGGUGUAUGUCGACCAAGGUAGCGCGGUUGACAUUAUGUUCUAUUGGGUGUUCAAGGAGUUCGGACUGAAGGAUGACCAGCUGACCCCGGUUCGGACACCUCUGGUGGGCUUCACUGGACCACCCAUCAGCUCGGAGGGGAUGAUCACCCUGAUGGUCACGGUAGGACAGGCUCCCAAAUGCCGGACCGUUCCCGUUAACUUUGUGGUGGUCAAGCAGUCGUCCCCGUACAAUAUGUUCCUUGGGAGACCUUCUUUGAACGCCCUCCGAGCUAUUUCCUCCACUUUCCAUCUCAGCGUCAAGUUCCCCACCCCUGGAGGGAUAGCCGAGGUGCACGGCGAUCCAGAAGUAGCCAGAGCUUGCUACCUGGCCACGCUCCGCGGGCAGGAAAAGAUGGUCGCCCAGACAACCUGUUUGGAGCCCUACAUCCCGGGGGAUGAGGCCCAUCGGCUGGGCACCCAGGAUGAGGUUGAGGAGUUCCCCCUAAGGGAGGAUCGGCCCGACCAGGUUCUCCGCAUUGGAACCUUGUUGCCCGCCAAAGAGAAGGAGGGCUUGAAGGCCCUGUUAAGGGAAUACUCCCAAGUCUUCGCUUGAUCGGUGGAUGACAUGCCCGGGAUUCCGACAGAUCUGGCAGUCCACCAUCUCAAUGUGGAUCAUCACUUCAAACCAGUGAAGCAGAAGAAGAGGAGAUUCGCCCCCGAAAGGAAUGAGGUGAUCAGGGCGGAGGUCGGCAAAUUGCUGGAGUCCAAGAUCAUUAUGGAGGUCUACUACCCGACCUGGCUGGCCAAUCCCGUCCUGGUGAAAAAGGAGGACCAGACCUGGAGGAUGUGCGUUGACUUCACGAACCUCAACAAGGUCUGCCCGAAGGACUGCUUCCCCCUGCCAAGGAUCGACAGGUUAGUGGACUCUACUGUGGAUUUUGAUGUCUUGUGUUUUCUCGAUACUUUUAAGGGGUACCACCAGAUCGAGAUGGCGGAGGAGGAUAGGGAGAAGACCUCCUUCAUCAUAGAGGAAGGAACUUAUUGCUACCGGACCAUGCCAUUCGGGCUGAAGAACGCUGGAGCUACCUACCAGCGCCUGGUAAACAAGCUAUUCCAAAAUCAGAUCGGGCGGAGUAUGGAGGUGUACGUGGAUGACAUGAUCGUUAAAAGCCGAACUGAUCAGCAGCUCGUCCCCAACCUGAGGGAAAUCCUGGAUAUCCUUCGAGAGAGCAGGAUGCGGUUGAACCCGAAGAAGUGCACCUUCGGGGUCAGGUCCGGAAGGUUUUUGAGGUUCUUGGUGUCCCGAGAAGGGAUCCGGGCAAACCCGAACAAGCUCCAAGCUAUAAUGGACAUGGCCCCUCCGAGGAAUGUGAAGGAGGUUCAGCGGCUCACCGGGAGGAUGGCCGCAUUGAGCAGGUUCCUCUCGCGUUCCGCGGUUCGGGGGCUACCCUUCUUCCGCGUCUUGAAAGCGCCGAAAGAUUUUCACUGGACUGAGGAAUGCCAGAAAGCUUUCGCCGACCUGAAGGCUUAUUUGGCUGAGCUGCCCACUCUGACCGUCCCAGAGCUGGGGGAGACCCUAUUCCUGUACCUGUCCGCCUGCAACGAGACCGUCAGUGCGGUCUUGGUACGGGAAGACGGGAGGGCUCAAAGACCGGUGUACUACGUCAACCGAGCUUUACAAGGGCCAGAGACGCGAUACACGCUGGCCGAGAAGUUGGUUCUUGCCUUGGUGCAUGCUGCUCGCAAUCUCCGCCCUUACUUCCAGACUCACAGCAUUGUAGUCCUGACUGACCAGCCCUUGCGUCAGAUACUCACCAAGUCCGAGGUCUCGGGCAGAAUGACCAAGUGGGCCAUCGAGCUGGCUGAGCACGACCUUAGUUAUCAGUCUCGUACAGCGAUCAAGGCUCAAGCCUUGGCGGACUUCCUUGCCGAGGGGGCUAGCUUGACCCUGACCGACCUAAUCCCCACACCCACGGACACCCCGACGGAGGAGCCGUGGGUGCUGUUCGUGGACGGCGCCUCGAGCAAGGAGAGGAGCGGAGCUGGCCUGUUCCUCACCUCGUCCACCGGGGAAGAGCUGACCUACGCCCUUAGGUUCGACUUCCCGACAUCCAACAACGAAGCGGAAUAUGAGGCCCUGUUGACAGGGUUGCGGAUAGCCCACCAAAUGGGCAUCACCGCGAUCCGGAUUCGGAGCGACUCUCAGCUCGUCGUCCUCCGGAUCCGUGGGGAGUAUGAGGCCAAGGACGAUGUAAUGAAAAAGUACCUGGUUAAGGUACGGGAGGCAGUAGCCCUGUUCGGGACUUUUGAAAUCGAGCGGGUGCCAAGGUCCCAGAACAAGCGCGCGGAUGCCCUGUCAAAGCUGGCAUCCUCCUCGUUUGCCCACCUGAGCAAGGAGGUCUUGGUAGACGUGGUGAAGCAGAAAAGUAUCGACCAGGUCCAGGUCCUGGCGAUAGACGGCUCGGCCACCUGGAUGGCUCCCCUCAUUGACUUCCUCAGCUCGGGUGCCCUCCCUGAGAACAAAACCGAGACUCGCCGAAUCCAGUUCCGAGCUGCCAAAUACGCCUACGCCGGGGGAACCCUCUACAAGAGGUCGUACUUGUCCCCCUGGCUAAAGUGCGUGACUCCCGAGGAAGGUGACUACGUUCUGCGCGAAAUUCAUGAAGGUAUAUGUGCGGCACAUGUGGGGUCCCGGGUGUUGGCCAAAAAGUGCCUCAUCUUGGGCUACUACUGGCCCUCCGUCUUCCGAGAUGCCGCAAACUUGGUACAGAAAUGCCGAGCUUGCCAGGUGCACGCCUCGCUGCGCCAUCAGCCAACUCGGGAGAUGAUCCCCAUCCAUAGUCCUUGGCCCUUCGCUCAAUGGGGGAUAGAUCUCCUGGGUCCCUUCCCCCGAGCCCCGGGGAGGUAUGAGCACCUCGUGGUGGCCAUAGACUACUUCACAAAGUGGGUGGAAGCGGAGCCCCUGGUCUCUAUCUCCGGGAGGGCAAUUCAGAAGUUCUUCUGGAGGAACAUAGUUUGUCGCUUUGGGAUUCCGCACGUCCUGAUAUCUGACAACGGGCGCCAAUUCGCAGAGAACCCAUUCAAGAGCUGGUGCGCUGAGAUCGGGAUCGACCAGCACUUUACGUCAGUCGGCCAUCCCCAGGCCAACGGCCAGGUGCAGAAUGCCAACCGAACCAUCCUCCAAGGACUGAAAACCAGGCUGGAGCUGGCCCAAUCCAACUGGCUGGAAGAGCUCCCUAGUGUCCUCUGGGCUUACCGCACCACGCCCAGGACGGCCACCCACGAGACCCCGUUCUCCCUCACUUACGGGGUAGAAGCAGUGGUCCCCGCAGAGAUCGGCCUCCCCUCGCUCAGAACACAGAACUUCGUGGCGACAUCCAAUGACGAAGAGCUGCGGUGCAACUUAGACAUGCUCGAGGUUAAGCGUGAAGAAGCGGCAGUUCGAAUGGCUAGGUACAAAAGCCAGCUCGUCCGCUAUCAUAACGCCAAAGUGAGGACUAUACGGUACCAACCGGGUGACCUCGUUCUAAGGAAGAACUCGAUUAGCCGAGCUCACGGAUCCAACAAGCUCGACCCAAACUGGGAGGGCCCAUACCAGGUCCUUGAGGUGAGCCGAGCUGGCUACUGCAAGCUCGCUGACAUGAAUGGAUCUGAGGUACCCCGUACUUGGCACUUCUCCAAUCUACGACUGUUUGUAGCGUAGGGUAGACCAGGGUGUUCAAGUGUCUGUUCUCUGGAAUCUGAAUUUUUAUUUUUGUCAUUCAAUAAAAGUUCGACUUUAAAAUUUACAUUUCCCUUGUUUCUGUCUACUUUCAAAGUUUUUCAAGUUUGCACCUUGCACUAGCACACUUAGCGUUCCCUCGCUAAGUGUCCUAGUGGGGGGCUAAGGGUAGUGAAGGGGAUCAAGGUGAAAAGAGAUCAAGGUGAAAUGUUUGGCCCAGGAGGUCGGCACAGAGGUGAAAAGUUCGGCCCAGGAGGUCUGCACGGCCUGAAAAAACUUGGAAACUGGGAAGGGUUCUGAAAACUCCGUGCUCGGCCCAGGAGGUCGGCGGGAAGGAAUUCGAAACCUGAUACUCGACCCCGAGAGGUCGGCAUGGGUUAAAGUCUCCAAAGCUUCCAAGUUAGUGCUCGACCCUGGAGGUCGGCACGAUCGGGAGCUUGGAUGGAAAGUGAUGCUCGACCCCGAGAUGUCGGCAUGGGUUGAAGUCUCCAAACCUUCCUGUGCUCGAUCCAGGAGGUCGGCUCGAUCGAGAGCUCGGAUGACAGGUGAUGCUCGACCCCGAGAGGUCGGCACGACAGAGUUGGGAGCAAGCAAGAAAUGCGAAAUAAGUCUCUUCGAGUUUUAUAUAUGCAUUCAAAACCUAUCUAUUACAAAGCUUACAAAAUCUCUGAGCGGCCUAUCUAUUACAAAGCUUCCGAGUUACCUAUCUGCUACAAAAUGUGCUGAGCCAUGAGGAGAAUACAGCUCGAACCCCCUUCUUCUUGCUGGUAGUUCGUCUGGAGCAGGAGCUGAAGGUACACCUUAAACAUGCUGAGAGGCGUAUGGUGAAGGCUUUCCAGACGGGGGAACCUUUCCGUCUCAGAUGGACCUCCAAAAGCAUUUUCAACUGGAGCAUGGUCACAUCCUUAUAAGAAAACGGAAAGGGUUUCUGGGGUGGCCGCCGCCCUAAACCACCGGAUCCUUCCCGGCAGCCCUGCCGGGAGACUUGCUCUCCUCCAAGGGGACCUCCGCCAGCUCGGCCCCAACGUUGGUUCGGCCUACCAACUCCUUCAGGGCAUGCCCCUUGCGGUACCCAUCGAAGAGCCAGUCCAGCCUCUCCUCGGCCGCGGGAUUGUAGUCCUUGCAGUCCGCCAAGUUGAAGCCAGGAGGGUUGAGGCUCUUCACCUUGUCCAGGGCCCGCGUAGCGCCGACCUGGAGGAUGGGCAGGUUAAGGAGGGCGAUGUCCUCCUCAAACUGCUCAGAAGAAAGGAACUCCCGAACAGCCUUCUUCCGCUCCCGGCUGACGGUGCCGGAGAGCUCGAUGGCGUGCUCCUCCUUCAGCUUGGCCACGCCGGUCUUCUCCUGGUCGAUCUCCGACCUGGUGGAGGCGAGCUGGACCUGAGCGGUGUCCAGCUCCUUCUCGGCCUUGUCCAGUUUUGCCUUGAGGGAGCUUGCCUCCUUAAGGGCCUGGGAGAGUUUCUUCUCCGUCUCCAGAUUCUUCUUCCGCAAUUUCUCCAGGUCGGGAGACAGUUCGGAGAAGCGGGUCGCCAGGGCGGCACCAGCGGCGUUGGCCUGAAGGGGAAAGAGGACAGGUCAGCACGUCACACUACUUAACCGAGACACGGAGGCAAAACUAUCCCACGGGCUAGACUUACUUGAGUUUGGGCGGUGUAAUACGCGCCCAAGAGCUCGGAAGGGUCGGCCGGCUCCAUCCACCUCCUGUCGUGGGGGAGGACCGAGCCCACCAUCAGCUCGCGAGCCACCUAUGGAAACUGGGCUCGGUCGUUGAUGGAGAGCUCUCAGGACGGGCAGAAGUGGCGGGGGUCAUGCAUCGUGGGGGCUUGGCCCGGUUUCAAGGGAGCAACGUGGCGGAAGUGCCACAAGUUCGGAGGAGUUGACUCCUGGGCAUGCUCCUCGGCGGAGCCCACGCCCAGGUGGACUGGCCCCCCCGAGGCCAGCGGGAGCGGAGGGGCCUGAGCUGGAACCAGCGUGAGUUUCUUCCCGGGCUGGGAGGGCUCGUCCCUUCUACCCCUCUUCUGCCCGACCGCCUUCUUCUUGCUGGUGGCCUGCUUGGAGGGGGACGGCUGCGGCGCCUCUUUCUGGGGGGCUGAGCCGCCCCCCGGGGUGGGAGCCCCCCUUGGGGCCCCCUGGGUAGUCCCGGGCUGGGGGGCGGAGGUGACCUCCUCAAUAGGUGCGCCCAGCAACUUGGAGAGGUUCCUCACUGCAACGAACACAACCAGAUAAGCAAAAGGCAGGGCAGUUUAGAAAACCACAAUAUACUAUAAACGCAACAGGGGCAAAGCCAGCGUUACAGGUGUCGAGUUUGGGCUCGGGGGUUACCACUUCCCCAGAGGAUCCGGACAACGUCCCUAUCAGCCCGGCUGCGGAGAUCUGCUUAGUGGAGAACCUGGUGGCAUCGAGCUUCACCUUGGAGCCCAACAGCUGGCUGAGGGUAUCGUAGUCCAGGUCCUCCGGGUAGGAAUCGGCCUUGACCCCCCAACCUUCCACACAUUGGGGGGAAAAUGUGUGGAUUUGACGAAGAAGAAAUCCUCCUUUCAAUCCUUCACGGAGGAGGGGAGUCCGUGGAACAACUCCUGGGCACCUUUCCCUCCCUUGGUUUGGGAACCCCGGCGGGAGAAGUAGUACCAUCCAGGGAGGGCGGUCUUAAGGAUGAAGGCGGCUCGGAAGAGGGAGAGAGAGUAAGGGAUAUCGCAGAAAAGGCAGUAGAUCAGGAAUCCAGUGAUGAUCCUGAUAGAGGUGGGGUGAAGUUGGGUGAUUAUGAGUCUCCAGUAGUUCAAAAUCUCGGUAAGAGCUGAAGGAAUGGGGAGACGGAGCCCUGCGAAGAGCUGCUCCCUAUAGAUGGCUACGAAACCGGGGGGAGGUCUGCAGGCUCGGUCGUCGGGCCCGGCCGCCCUUGGCUCGUAUGCCGGAGGAAUGGAGUAAGACUUGGCCAGCUCGGCCACGGCCUUGGGGGAUAGGGUAGCCUCUUGCAGGUCUGCAUACCCAUAGGAGAACUCGGGAUCAUCCCCCUGCUCAGAAGCAGGGGUCCCCUCAGAGGGAUCCCUAUCCUCCCCAGCUCCACCCUGGGCUCCGCCGGGGGAGUCAUGUGGAGACCUGGGGGGAGAGGCGGAGGUAGCCUGCCGUUCGAUGAGGGCAUCAAGCUCGGCUGCCUCCUCAACGGCUCGGGCUGAAGGAGAGUGGGUAGAAGGAGAACUCAUAAUGACUAUGGGGUCAAGCAGGUCAGGGUUAGAAGCGGAGGAAGAGGAAGGAGGAGGAGGGGAAGGCGACGGCGAGGAUGAGGACGAAGAUGAGGAAGAAAUGAAGAUUCUAGUGGCUCUGCGACGGGCCGGAGACGGGGUUGCGGUGGAAGUAACGUCGGAGUGACCCGACAUAAAAGUCAGGAGAUGGCAGAAGGAAGAAGGAACACUGAAGGAAAGGAAAAGGAAAAAGGAAUCACAAAGGGACUUACUGAUGACGGUCAAGGCAGAGAGAGGAUGGAGGACUCGCCGGAGUCUGGGCGCGGGACACCGGAGGUUGCUGAAAAAUGGAAAUACGAAUGCGCAAGGAGAGUGGUAAUGCAAAAUGCGCAAGGGGAGGAGAAAAUGGCAAAUGGAGUCGGUUGAAAUCCGAUUACCCCUAUUUAUAAGGGGAGAAAUGGGGGGAAGACGGUUGCGUGGAUUUGAACCGACUCCCAUGUGAACGCCUUUAAUGCGGGUACGAAAACCGAAGAGGCGUGACAACUGAAAGGACGCGGGCGCAGCGUCCCUAUGACAGCACUGUACCAGAGGUGACCUUGGCAGGGUAGUGCGCGGCCUUGGCCUCCCACGUGGAAGAGGUAGAUUAGGUCUGCCUGACAGCCUUACCUAAUCUAGGGGGCUAGUGCAGAGGCCCCGUCCUGGGCCGGGACACGUGGUAGCCCAGGUGCUGUCGAACUGGGCCUGAGCCCCAGGCCCUGGCAGCCGUCCAGGGCUGCAUUGCUAGGGCUCCUGGAGGGGCUGAGAAUCCAUCCCGAAGAGGUCAGAGACAAUCCCCCCAAGUGCGGGAUAGGGGCUAUUCUGGGCAGGUCCCGAAACGUACGGAGGUCGGACUUCCGCACAGGUAUAAAUGGUAGAACACAUCAACUGUACAAGGUACGCUCACUAUUGGCAAAUUGCUCCCGGCUGUUUGUACUUCCCGUGAAUUCUUCUCACCGGAAAACUAACUUGGUCGUCGGAGCGCCCUCGGGGACCAACCUUGGGCCCCCCGUUGUUAGCUCAUUCUUAUCUGUUUUGCAGGCUUGGAGCCAGCUCUUCCAUCAGCAUCCCGAGCUCAUCAGUUCAGCUCGGUCCGGGGAAGCUCAGCGCUUCUUCAAAGUACAUAAUAAAUCAUUGUUAAUCAAUUGGCCGUGUACAUAACUUCAAUUCAAGUAAAGUUCAUUGCAAAAGGCAAUUGAAACAAUAUAGUUUUGGCAAAAGCCAUCUUUUACUAUCUCCCUAUAAGAGGCUUCCAGGCAAGUUGCUUGCAACAUAGUACAAGUGAUUAGCCGCAUAUUAAGUAGAUAUAAGCAAUGAGAGAAACCGUCAAUUUUCCCAUCCACUUUCCCACAAAUAAGCACAUAAAUAUUUGUCUUAUAUCUGACUGCUGUUUCUAAGUGAAGAGUACACAAUUAGCAAUCAAGGUUUACAAUAGGUAAUCAAUACUCUUGACCAAUAUUAGUCUAGCAUCACUUACAGCAAAAGGUUAGUGUAUACGGGCCACAUAGAACAGUACAUUUUCAUCUAGAACAACACAUUUUCAGAAUUGAUUUGGAAGAGCAAAUUAUAAUUGGCCACGACAAAAAACCAAAGGAAGAAAAGAAUCAAAAUUAAAGAAGAAAGACAUUUUCAUGUAUGAAAACAGAGCCAAUAGAUGACAUCAGCUUUCAUCUAUUUAUCUACAGAAUUUGAUCAACAUAGUAAACCACCAGGAUGCUUUACAUCGAAGUAGACAGUGUUGGAAAAUUUUCACAUCAAGUUUAACAAAGGAAAUUUGAAUCAAGAACAAUCUGGACAUAUAGUCUGGUCAUAUGUUUAUGGACAUCCAUCACAUUUCAAGGCCUUCAUUCAUCAGACAUAUCCCAAAUGGUAUUUUUCUUACUGAGUUUUGAGCUGAUGUGUCAUCAACCAUUGCAGUCUUCUUCCUACUAAAAUGAGUCAUGUCAUUUAGCUCGAUCGGUCCAAUUAACCUUCCCUCUUUUGCUUCCAAUAGCACAGCAAUAGUUAAUGAACCAAACUUGCAAUAUAAAAGACCAGCUAGUAUAUUUAAUUUCCCGUUCAGCUUUAUGCCGUAGAAAAGAUUUUGUUCCAGCUGUUUGAGCAGUUUUUUGUUUUGAUCUAUUUAUCUUAUUUUGCUCACUUAUCACCUACACUUGUGAUUUCAAACCUUCAUCAAAAUAACAAAGACAUAUCGAGAUUGAAGUAUGUUAAAUGAUCGAAUAUGUGCCAGUACCUUAAAUUUUGGACUACAAAAGUAGUCGCACAAGUACAGCCAAUCAGAUUCUUCAACAUAUUCAGGACAAUUAGGAUAUGGAAGCUUACAAAUAGGAUCCUUAUCUUAAAAAGCAAACCUAAUAAAUUCAUUGACUCCAUCUAAAUAUUUAGGAUCUAGGUAAUUCUUAAUUGACAUCCAGCUCCUAUCCAUAUUUAUGCAGCCCUUUAUCCUAACAUCAAGAAUAAGAACAUAUAAUAUUUUAUUGAAGACAGAGCACUAUGUAUGGAAACUUAAAUUUGCCAAAUACCAACAAUGAAAACCCAAUCAAAUAAAACAAAUUUUCACUAAAGUCCAUGUCAGGUACAAAUAACAACAAUUCAUUAAAAACAAGAUAGAUUAUGUACCAUUACAAAAGAUGCAAAAGAAAGCUCCAAUUAAUUUAAGCCAUUCCUAAAAUUAUACAUCUCAAACUAUACAACAUCAACUCCUAAGUCUGAAAAAAAUAACCGAAGCAGAUUUCUAGUCAUGAACACCUCUCCAUAUGACACAUACCCAGCCUACUCAAUCAUAUUUAAUUUGAGGAGGAAAAAAACUGGGUCAAAUCAAGCACAUAACAUCCCAUCUGUUCCUGUUCUGCGUACCCAUACAAAAGCCCCAAUUAGCUUGUUAGAUAAACUAAACCUACCCCAAAAACUAGUGGCAAAACACAUCUAAUUUAAUGUGUUCUAAGUCUGUUGGAUAGGUUUGUCUAAUGAGGGAAAGAAGCAGAAAGUGUGAUCAACAUUUUACACUACCAACGACAACAACCAGAAAUUUCGAACCGCUAGUGAAUUUUUGUUCAAUUCUCCCCCUACCAAGUCCAGCCGUAGCUGGGUUUUGUACAAAAAAUAGUUGGCAAAUAGCAAGUCCUUCCCAAGUGGGCCAAGAAGUAGAGGAUACAAUUAAUUUAGGGGAUUCAUGAUAACUAGGCAAAAAUUUUUCCCUAAGUUAAAAUUUAGGGCAAUAAAAUUUCAGGGGAUGAAAAGAUUAAUCAUGUAAAUAACCAUAAAAUUACACCCUCAAUGCAGAUUCAACAAGAAUGUGAGUAGAAAUUUUCAGAAAAUAAAAAAAAAACAAGUGUAGGGCCAAAAUAUUUGCAAAUUAUCUUCGAGACAAGGAAGAGAGGGAACACGCUGAAAACUCACAGAGAUCUAAUCGGCAUCAACCAAACCGAAUACCUGAAUGGCACUAGAGUGGGUGGUGCUAGGCUACGUUGCUGGAGCUGAAGCAAUCAUGCUUCAGCACAAUGGCAUCAAAAAGGCAGUUAUUAAUCUACGAAACAAUUAUUAAAUUGUAAAAAUUGAAAGGCACAAGAAAGACAUAAUCUGAAAUAAUCAAAACUAUUGGAAAAAUAUUGGAGUCCAAAUCGAAGAGAUCGACAGCUAGAAUCAUGUGAUCAAGAGGAGCCACUACCACUUAAGAGCACUGAAUUCUUUAUCAAUCUAAGAAUCAAAAUCCAAUCUAAGAAACAAUGGUGUAAUAUAAUAUGAAAUUACUAAACACCUGAAAUCGAGCAGAAAUACAAUUUGUCAGGCCUAGAAUCCAUAUAUAUCAGGGGCCUCUCCAGAACUAAACAAGUAAAUCCAAUCUAAGAAACAAUUAUUAAAUUUCAAAGAUUGAACUGUACAAUAAAGACAUAAUCUAAAAGAAUCAAAAUCCAAUCUAAGAAACAAUGGUGUAAUAAAAUAUGAAAUUACAAAACACACGAAAUCGAGUAGAAAUACAACUUGUUAGGCCUCGAAUCCAGAUCAGGGGCUCUCCAGAGCUAAACAUGUAAAUCCAAUCUAAGAAACAAUUAUUAAAUUGCCAAGACUGAAAUGCACAAGAAAGACAUAAUCUGAAAGAAUAAAAAAAUUAUAUUUGAAUAAGAUUGGAAUCCGAAUCAAAGAGAUCGAUAACCAGAAUUGUGUGAUGAUGAGGUGCGGCCACAACACAAGAAAAACUCUAUUGUUCAUCAAUUAGGAAACACUCAAUUCUUUUAUUCACUCAUUAACCACCACACGAUUAUAUUUUCUAUAAAACUUUCCAAAAAUUACAAUCUAAACCGGCUCAUAGUCUCACAAAAUAUGUAGUUCAAAACUCAAUUUUCUUUAUUCAAACCCAAUUUCUGAGCAGGUCUAGUCAAUGUCUGUUCAACUCAAUUGAUUAACUCGGACGGAUUGCCCACCGGAUCCUCGGUUCAAUGUUUGGAAUCUGUUGGUCCCGUAUGGUUUAAAAACGGUGUUAUAUGUUGAUAGAUAAUUGGGAGACAAGGUGGAUAAGGAAAACUCUCGUGAAACCAAUGCGUUCUGAUUUUCAACUACAUAUCUUUAUGGGAUAAGACUCAGAGAGCUGGUUUUUUUUUUUUUUUUUUUUUUUUGUCGAUACGAUAGCUUUUUACACUAUUGGGGAGGGGGAGGAUCUGAAAAGGUCCAAGGAUAAUUUGAAGAGGAUUGAAUCACCACCAGACCAAACGAAUGCACUAUAUACCUACCUGGAUUUUUUUUUAAAAUAAUGCCACAUUUAAUUGAGGCACCCCAUCAAGUUUUAAUACUUUGAUGGUGGUCACCAAUGCAAAGGCUGGUGGUUGACUCAGAGAGCUGGCGUCUGCACAUUUCUGGACCAAUCUUUCAUGGGAACAGUAAGGACGGUCCCAGAUGUAGAAUAAAGGGGUAAUUUCAGAAACCUCUGCUAAGGUUUCUGAUAGUCUCGCUAUCCUUCCCUAAGAUUUUCAAAAUAUCAAAAACCUCCCCUAAAACUAAUUAGCUAGUAACAAAUCAGCCCAAUUCAAAUACAAAAACAAUCUAAAAUUAGUGUUAGGAGAGAGAAAACAAUUUAAUUCCAUAACUACCCUCAAGUUUUGCAUUAGAGAGUUAAUUUACUAAGAACAAUAUACAUUUCUUUUAACUUUAUCAAUUGCUGAUCCAUGAAUUUUAAUGUUGAGAUUUUGCUUAAUAGUCGAACCAUUUGCUUAUGGAUGCUGGUUGAAUAUUUUAUAUUCUUAGAUUAGUUAGUCAUAAAUUGAAAAAGUUCUUGAUCUUGAAAGCUUACUGGAGAGAUAUUUCUUGAAAAUUGCCACUAAUACUUAACAUAUGUUUUUAUUUGUAUCUUGGCAAUAGAUGAUUCGAAUAGUAGCCAUUGUUUGAAUUUGAUUGCUUGAUUUGUGUUCUCAUGCUUGAGAACAAGCAUUGUUUAGGUGUAGAGGAAAUUGAUAGGUCAUAAUUUGUUACUAAAUUUAUAAUUAUUUUUCCCUUGAUUUUACCAAAUAUUAUUUUAAUUGAUAGAUUCUACUUAUAUUUGGUUAACGGUGCCAAUUGUAGGAAAAUGAGCAAAAUAUGAUAAAAGGGGUAAUUUUCCAAGAAUUACUGUCAAGUCUAGAGAAGUUCGGGAUUCAAAGUCGGAAAGUCGGGAUUGAUAUUGGGCAGUUUCCCAAUCCAAGUCAAAUUCCAAAACUUGACAGCUACUGAAGUUUCCUAUUUCUUUGCAUUCCACGUCAAUCUCGAGCAAUUGGGAGAGUUUUUAGGAAAUUGAAUUGUAAUAGGAAACUCUUUAGGAAUUUGAUUGGUAUUAGGAAACCAAUCAAUUAAGCAAUUCGCCAGGGAGAAUUCAGCAUAUAGCUCUUGCUUAGGAACAAAGCAUAGUUAUUCUUGUUUUCUUGACCGAUUGACAAGAAGACAAUUGGAAAGCUUCUAACAGAUUUUUGCAUGGCUUGUUCUCCAUUAAUGGAGAACUAAUUUUAUAUUUCUAGUCAAGGGGACAACUAAAGAUUUGGUUCAACAAUAACUGUGAGAUCUAAAUUAUUUUAAUUGCUUCUUUCAUUCAUUGAUAUUUAUAUGUUUCUUGCUUUUAGUGGCUAUGACUAUUGUGUAUGGUUGAAUAGUUGUGCAAUAUUUAAUUAUUCACGUAGUCUAUUUGCUAAUUGGGAGUAGUUGAAUCCGUAAUUGUUUAAUUACUCCAUCCCGAUAGCAACUAGCAUGAUUGGUUUCAUGUUAGGGAAACGUAUGAUAUAACUUAAACGAACUCUCGUAACGUGUUUGUUGGUUAGAGUUGGGCUUUUCCGAUUCUUAUUGCAAUCGAGAAAUUAAAUCAUAUAGUCGUACUUAGGGUUAUUUCUUGGUUAGGAAAAUAGUUAAUGGUUAUACCUUGACUAUCGAAAAAGUAAGGAAAGGCUGGUUGUUAUCGCAUGCAUGAUAACUAUAACCAAUCUAUUAAUGAGUAAUUGAAUUAUCUUUGUAUCGAUGAUCAGUUGAAUGAAUCGUGUCUGAAAAGUUAUACCUUUGAUUAGAGUCGUAUUGGUUAUUGAUUAAUUCAUGUUUAUUUCUAUUAGUUGUUUCAUUAGUUAGUUAAUUAGUUAUAUUAUAUCCUCCAAAACCCCCCCAUACUUCGGACCCUGGAAGAAACGAAUUAUCCCCAAUCCCUGUAGGUUCGACCCUACUUGCCCAAUAUACAAAUUAGAGAUUUUUCGUGAAUAAAUUCUGGUAUAUCGAAUUUAGCAAAUUCUUUGGAACCAGGGUGAAUCUAGUAACCAUUGCAUAUCUAGAGUCCCUGCUCCAGUACCAGAAUUGACACGAAGUUGCUUCUGUUGGCGAGUAGGAUUAUUAAUAUUAUUAUUGCACAGGCUCGAUACCUGUCAAUACUCACCUAACAAACCUCCACCCGGGGAAAUUUUUUCAAAAAAAAAUCUACAUUAGGGUAUACAUUAGCAGAAAAUGAAAAAAAAAAAAAACUUUAGACUGCAAUCUAGUAACAUGUGUCCCAGGUGCACAAAGAAAUUGAAACAUAUAGAGCUUUGAUUGUCAAAAGUAGCACUAGUACUCCUCGGAGUUUAAUUCAAAUACAGAUGAUCAAAUGUGAGUGACGCCUUGCGCAUAGCGGCAAUAGAAAACUAUGAAAGGAUAUGCCACGGUGUGUCAGCCAACCGUCUUUAGAGUUGAAAUUCUUGCAGGAGCUUCUGUGAUUGUAUGGUUUUGUAAUCUAGCAGCAUCAGAUUUUGUGAGGCGAUGCGUUGAUGAAACUUGGGUAUUGGUAUUCAAUCCCAAGAUCUUUCAUGUAAAAUGACUCGGAUGCGGCAAAAGCCUUGGAUUCUCUGCUCCGGUCAACUUGAAAUUGGACUUAGUCCCAGCACUUUAGGAAGUUGGUUAUUAGCACAUUAAAAUUUUUAUACUAAUUGUAGUAAGUAAUAUUUGGAGGGACCAUAAGUUCAAGUUGAAAAGAGGCAUGGUGAAAAUCUUUCCAAAUACAUACCCUACUACUUAUACAAAUAAAAGAGAGAACAAAAAUAUAUAAGCCAUUAAUACAUACUAAAAGUUUUUACAGCAAUUACAUGGUGAAUUCAUUAAAUUAGGCAUUUGGUUGACUUUGACAUGUGUGUCAAGUCAAAACAUUGUCAAAAAUUGCAACUUAUUGUAUACUGAUUUACUCAGCAAAAAUAAAUUUAGUUAUUUAUUGAAAGGAAAAAACUUUUAAAAUUUUGUUUUUCUUAAUAGAUACAUCGAAUGCCAUUGUUAAUCUCCACGUACUUUGAGGCACCAUUAUUGCCAACCUUGCGUCUAAGCAUUUAUCCAUACAAAAAUAGGUGAUUUUAAAAGCUAAAGACAUUUUUCAACCUUUAAAUGUAUUUUAAUAUGCAUAAACAACACGCUUAACCGCUUAAGUAUUACGGUAUUCUCUUGUGUUAUCCUGAAAUUUUAGAUUUGUACAUGUAUUUAUAAUUUUCAAAGUCACAUUGUCUAUGAUGCUACCACGAUUCUCUUCCCUAUUUAAUUUACUAUCCUUUUGCAACAAGAUUGAUACUUGAGACCCUAGUUAAGAAGUACAUGGGGCAUUUCAUCAGGCAAACUCCUUAUCAACUACUUACUCACUCUGACAUAGUUUUAUCUUCAAAAAAGAAAUUUUGGUUGAAUACUAAUACAGAAGAUUAGUGCCAAUUAACAAAUAUUAACUUAUGAAUGGUAAAUAAAUAAGAAGAGUUGUCACUCUACUUUGCACUCCAAAAUUUGUAUCACUUUUCCGCUUUGUAUGCUAAAUUUUAAUUUUGAAUACUUUACAUCCUAAAUUCUUAAUUUUGGACACUCGUAGCUUAAUCUCUCAAGUUUAUUCCAUUUAAAUACAAUCAAUGAUAACUUUAGUAAAAUUAACGGUAUCAACAGCUCAAUAAAUCAAUGACAAUAUACUGAAAGUGGUCAAAAGAUGCUAAAAUAUAGUAGCAAAAGUAAAAUAAUACACUAUUAUUAAUUUGCAUCAACUUUUAUCUUGUCAAUUUUACUAACAAUAUUAGUAAUUAUACCAUAUAAAUCAAUAACAAUCUAUCGAAAGUUGUCAUAUUAAACAAUUCUCAACUCAUAUAUCCUUUUUUAUUUUGUUUUUCUUUCCCUUUGUAGAACUGGAAGCCAUUGGGAAUUUUGAAAAUGACGCAAUUAAAAGCAUUCCCUUGUGUCCAAUGAUGGAGCCAAGGGGGGACAGAGGGGGGCCCAUGGCCCCCCUAAGUUUUGAAAAUUUUAAUUCAUAAUAUGUAAAUAUAUGUGUAAAAUAAAAUUGACCCCUCCUAAAUUUUUUCAAUUUUAGUUUAUAUUAUGAGAGUUGAGAUAUAUAUAUAUAUAUAUAUAUAUAUAUAUAUAUAUAUAUAUGAAUUAGUCAUCUUUGAAUUAAUUUUUUUCUUCAGAAAAAGUUAUUUAAUUUUUAUUGUACUAAUUAUUUAACUUUCAAAAAUUAAACAUAUAAUUUGAUGUUCCAUAGUAAAUUGACCCAAUGUAAUGUAUUAGAAUAAAAAGACCCAAUUCAUAAUUUUUAAUGGCCUAAAAAGACCCAAUUCAUAAUUGUUAAAAGCAAGAACUAGUACGUCUAAGAAUAGAACUUCAAUAUUUUGAGUUCGACAUUCCAAAUCAUCAUGAAUUGCAAGAAUUAUCUAGUAUUCAUGAGUUAUGUCAAGACUUGGUGAAGACAAGAAAAUCAGUGAUAUAUCUUCUUAUUGACAGAUUUAUUAGAUUUGUUAUUACUCUUCCUAUAUCAACUACAACUACAGAGCGGACAUUUUCAAUUAUGAAAAUAAUCAAGACAAAGCUCCGAAACAUGAUGCAAGAUAAUUUCUUGAAUGAUUGUCUAACAGGAAGUUGCUGAAAAAUUUAGCAAUGAUUCAAUCAUAGAUGAAUUUAGUUCUAUGAAAGAGCAUAGAGCUCAAUUUACUUCUAAAAAAAGAUAUUGAAAUUUCAAAUUAUGUUAACAUAACUUUUAUCUUUUUUCAAUUGAAAAUAGUUACAUUUAUAUUACAUGGUAUAUAUAUAUAUAUAUAUAUAUAUAUAUAUAUAUAUAUAUAUAUAUAUAUAUAUAUAUAUAUAUAUUGCAUAGAUGACAUAUUGGAGAGCAUCUUCUCAUAAUGUGCAAAUUGGAUGGUUUGUGAUGUUAUAAGAUAUUUAAUCAAAAGUUAUCUUUUUUGUUAUGACUAUACCGCAUAUUUAUGAAUAGACAUACCUUUAUAAUUAAAUUUAAUAUUUGAUAUUUUUAGAUGUCAAAUAUUUGAAUAGAAGAAAAUUAUUUUGAACAUAAUAUAUUAAAAUAAUUUUAUUAGGAAAAAAUUUUGGCCCUCAAAAAAAAAAAAUCCUGGCUCUGUCACUGCUUGUGUCCCGGCAUACAUCUAACAGUAGCUAAAUCAGAACGGCCCGUAGAAAAAGCUGUCCAAGACAUAUUCUCACCGUGGCUAGCUAUUUCAGAACUCGAAGAAGAAGGUGCCGAAAAAUAUGUCACAAUUGUAAAUCAAAACACGAAGAAAAAGGUGUCCAAGACGUUCCAAAAGGCUGCCUCUCCUAAUCUUCUGGUGGGUAUAAUGCUGACCGUGGUUGCCAGUUUGUCUUCAAAAUGGUACAUUUUUGGUACUCUAGACAAUAAAUAAAUAAAUAAAUAAAAACUUUACCUGCAUUUGGUAUUAAGUAAUUUUUCACUUUAAUUUUCCUUAAUUGUUGUUAGCUGUCAUACAUUGGUAAUUCAAUUUUAAAGUCAAAAAAUUUAAUUGAUUUGCAAUGAUAAUAUGGAACCAAAUUGGACAAAACUCCAAAUAUAAGGGACAACGAUAGUUUUCUUGAUGUGCACAUGCAAUUCAUGUGAUCAGUCAUCGGUUAGCUCUCACGAAUUACCGUUUUUAAGUUAACAUUUAUCAUUUUUCAUGAAGAUAAGGAGAAAAUUAGUUGAUUGUAUAGAUUAGGUUCUACAUUGGUGAUGAUAAACUUUGCCACUGGAUAAUGCCUAAUUGGCCGUAACAAAUGAAGUUUCGGUACUUGAGGUGACGCACUAGUGAAACCAUGCAUUCCAGGGAUAAGAAUUAAACUUGGAAAUCUGAAAGAUAACUAAAGAAUAAAUAUUAGAAUCAAUAAUAUAAAAAAAAAAGUUUCCAAAUCAAAUCAAAAUUAUUGAAAAUUGACCAAAGCUCAAAUCCAAAUCAAAUAAAUCCUUACACGUUAAACCCACGAGAAACCUGUUAUCAAGAGGUGCAAUUACCACUUGAUAAAACUCCAAUGUAGCUAUCACCUCGUGGAUCACACAUAUAUUGGGUCCUCUUAAUUAUUUUCAGUUGGUACGAAAUCAUUCAGAUAUGAUUUCCGUGACAAAUUCUGAGUGUAACGCAAUAUUCACCUCAACCAGUUGAGACAUUGUCUGAUAACCAUGAAAUUUGACUCUCCAAUUCUUGGGUUUUGCCUCUCUCUUUAUAAGGUGUAGAAUGUGGGUUUUCUUUCGAAUGAACCUGGUUCUAAAGAAUGCUAACUGGCUGACAAUUGCGGAAGUUUUUGUGCAUAUCUCUACCAUGAAGCCAAUCAAAAUGUGAAUGGACUAGACAUAAAGGGCAGUAGUUUAAAAUUUGUAGUGAAAUUAACUUAAUUACCUCAAUGGGAUUGAACUAAAAAAUGCAAUCUUCUAUUCAGACAAAAUUCAUAAGUUCUAAGUUCAUUAAGAAAGAUCAAUGCCUGUCAUAUUAAUGCAAAAUUAUUGAUAACAACAAGAAGGAUACUUUUAGAGGUGAUAUAGUCUAGAGUCCAUGCAUCUAACCCACUCUCUUGACAUAGAUUGGAGUUCAGUGAGCGUUAAACUCAAGUCCAUUGGCCAAAAAAAAAGAAAAAAAAAAAAAGACUCAAGUCUAUUCAAAAAACCAAACAUUGGACUCCAAACCAGUGAUGUCGAAUUGAUUAUCCAUGGACGCUAAAACCGCCAGAAACAAGUCAUCAAGAGGUGAAACUACCACAUACGACAAUACCCAAUUAUUUAGCAAAUCAAGGAUAAGGAUUAGGACUGUCAAUGGGGCUGAGCCAGCCCGAGCUCGGCUCGUUCGGCCCGACAGAAAGCCCGAUGAGCCCUAUCAUUUAGUGAGUCGGUCUGAGUUUGAGCCUAAAAAUUAGGCCCGAAUUAAAUGUGAGCCGAGUUUGGGCCUUAUUAGGCUCAAACCCGAUAUAGGCCCGACCCUUUAAUUACCUAUAUAUAUAAUAUUUAUAUUUUGAUAUUAUGUAUAAUUAUAUAUCCAAAUAUAUUUUUACUAAAUACUAAAUAUAUAUAUAAAUUACAAAACACAAAAAUACAUCUAAAGACUCUUUCGUGAGCUUUCUUGAGAGCCAAUAUUAGUAAUGCAUAACUAAAUCUCUAAUUUUUCUUAUUGGUUGAGUAAAUUUUUGUAUUGGCAUAUUAUUGGUUGAUUUUUUUUUGGUCUACAAACACAAAAAUCAUCAAGCAUGUUCGGAUUUAAAUCACAAGAUUAUAAAAAAAAAGUUUCAACUUUUAAAGAUGCAUUGGCUUAUGAUCGCAUGUUUUAUUACUAUUUUUCAUGCAUUUUAAACGGAUUAAAUAUAAAUAUUGUUGAAAAAUUUUUUGGUUUAUAUACUUUUUAAGAACUAUUAUUUGUUCAUGUUUAGUUUUAAUAUUAUAGUCUUGUAUAUGUUAAAUUAGUUUUACAACUUAAUAGUUAUAGUAAUUAUAUUAAGAAAAUUAAGGAGUAAUAAGUGAGCAUGGGCUAAACCCGAUUAAGGCUCACAACCCAAAUAUUAUAUGAGCUAAGUAUGAGUUUCACAUUUACGAACCCGAAACUCAUAACCCGAAUCCCAAAAAUGUUUCAAAUUAAAUGAGUUGAACUUGAACUCAUCAAAGCCCGGCUCAUUAGGCCCGAUUGACAGGCCUAAUAAGGAUCAGACAAGUAUCAGGGUAUUAAUAGUCCUCUAUAUUAUUUAUUUGCAGCUGGUACGAAGUCAAUUAAUCAGAGAUACCCACCAAAUGACACAACUUAAGACUUGAAGGAAAAAUAUGAUUGCUGAAGAAUCGUUAUCAGAAUCAAAUCAUUGCACCUUAAAUACAACGUUUUUGGAUUCGGUUAGGUUUGCAUCGAGGUGGAGAAGAUCUCAAUUACAUACAAGCAAUUAACAGCAGAAGAAACAUAGCUUUAAUAUCUGAUUCUAGUAAUGGUUUCUGGCAAAGAAUACGUUGUCCUUCACGAGUAAUGUUUCUAGAAACAAUCUUUAUAUAUUUUGUGUUUAAAAUAACUUGAAGAAUACGGCAAAAGUAAGCUUUGGUUUGUGGACUGAUGAGUAAACACUAUGAAAUGAUGAGUAAACAUCAACACUAUAUGUCUGGAAAGAGAGGAAUUACAUUAUUUUUAGCAACAAGGUUACUAAAAUUGGGGGUUAUUAUAACUUUAUCCCUUUAAACUAUAGUGCUAAUAUCAAUUUACCUUUUUAACAUUAUUUUGCAGGCAUUUGACCUCGCAGUUAUUCUCCUUUUUCAUUCUAAAAGGACCAAGAAAAAUGUAAAAGGGUUCCCUUUUUUUUUUCAUUCUCAACUAUUAAGAAAAAAAAAAAAGAAAUUGAAUAGAGGUUGACAGAAAACUCAAUUUCAGAAAAAAGGAAAAUAAAGAAGAAUCCAAUAUUAUAAUUAAUUUAAAAUAAGUUAGAGUGGGCAGUAGGGGUGAAGAGUAAGUAGUAAUUUUAAAAUAAUAAGCACAUUGGAUUCUUUAUUAUUUUUAUUUUCUUUUUUAAAAUUGAGUUAUCUCUCUAUUUUCAUAUUUUAAGUAUUGAUAAGUACACAAGGAAAAAAAGAAGAAGACAUUUUUUUUUUACUUUUUUCCCCUUGUUAUUAAAGAGGGUGGAAAAAAGGGAGAAGACACUUUUUUAUUUUUUUUUCUUGGUAUUAAAGGGGGAAAAGGGGGGAAAAAACCAUUCCAAUUUUUUUUUAUUUUUAAUCAUACAGGAGAGAGAUGUAUUUCUUCUAAAAUAUUAGGUAAAUUAUAUAUAAUUUCCUGUGUUUUCAUCUAUUGCCACAUGAUCCCCAAAACAUUUUAGGGUUUUAUGUGGCUGAUGUAAGGGAAAAAAUUCAUAUUAAUACCUUAAAUUUCCCUUAAGGAGUUUUUAUAUUUAAAUCCAAUUAUUCAAUGAAUAUAUUUUUGUUUUUCUUCUAGUCUUAAAGAGUCUUGCCUCAGGCCUAAAUCAUUUCCACUAUAUUCCUUUGGCCAAAUUUACAAUCGUAUAUUUGUGUUUGUAGUCGUUGAUUGAACUUUGGUCUUAGGAAAAAUGAUAACAAAUGGAAAGAGUGAGAUACAAGUCAAUUAAAAAACAUCAUUAACACUAGAAUUUGUGAGACAUGGAGACUUGGAUUAUAAAAAGGAUAAGAAAACUUGAAUAGGUGAAAAAAGGUGGAUUAAAACUAUAUGAAAGAAGUAGCAUAACAGUGAUAUAGUAUUUGGUGAUGGGAAGAUUCUUGGAGAUGUGUUUUUUAAGUUUGAUAGGCAUUUUAUUACUUUUGGGAAGAUUAUUAUAAUCAUUUUGAGUCCUUAAAAAAAGCAUGGACGUAUAAUAUUUGAAUAUAGAGGUGGGCAACAUGAGAUUAUCAGAAAUCUUAGAAGAAGUUUUUGAAAUUAUCCUUUGCUGUAAUACUAUUCUUUUUUUUUCCUACCUUGUGAUUAUUGAUUUCCACAUUCACACUCGAAAUGCUAAGGCAAAAAGCAAAAUUCAAGGAUGAAAAAUGAAAGAAAAAGAGACAAGGUUAUAAACAUGGGGAAAGACUCUAGAUUUGAUUAAUGCUAACAUAUUAUAAAAUGAUUAUAGCAUUUCUUUUUCAUUUUUUAUGAGUGACACUUUUUUAAAAAAAAUUAGUAGGGGAAUGAUGGGAUUUAAAAAGCGAAAAAAGAACAGGGAGAUCAAAAUUCAGGAUCUCUAAUUCCUGGGAGUAACAUGAUAAUAUUAUUUCUAAAAACCCAAUAUCAAUCCUAUUGGUGUAAUAUAAAGGAAUUUGGAUGAUUGAAGUGUUUAAAAUAUAAAAUACUUCUUAAUUAUAAUAUCUUAUUCAUUAGUCGAAUGUGGAAUCUUAUGUUUGUUGCCCCUUUCUUUUUUGUUUUGGAUUUGGGUUUUUGGCGUUGAACUUUGAGUAUGAAUUGAGUAAGAUUAUAGCAUGAGAAGGUUCAUCAUGUUCAUUUAAUUAAGGUCUUCCUGCAUUUAAAAUGGGAGCUUACAUGACAAAAAAAAAGAUUGAAAUGGUAAUAAUUUACAAAAGAGCAUCAUAGUGGGAACAUUUUUCCUAAAAAAGGUCAUUUCAAAACUAAAUUCCGAGAAUCCAUGGUUUCAUGUGGGUUUUCUUUUCAUGGACGUGAUUAACAUCAUGUCUCUUAUCAUAUCCAUGAGGAUUAUUAACAUCCAAGUCCUAGAGCCUGAUUGCAUUAGUACUAUCCUUGGCCUUGGGUAUAAUAUCACAAGUUCCUCCCUGUAAAGGUUGCAAUGCGUUUUAAGAGAGUGAGAAUUAAGUAUAUCACGGGAAAAAAAAAAAUGAAUGGCAAAGUAACUUACCAGAACAACAAACAGAUGGAGGAGGAUAAUCCAACAAGCAAGUCCUUUGGAAUCCAUCAAUUGGUAGGUUUUAUAUCCCUUGCAACUCCUCCUUUGAAGGAUUAGAAAACAGCAGAAGCAAAUGCCAAAUAUUACAUAUCGAUGAAAAGUGUGCUUGAUUAGAAGGUUCUUUUUCAAAUAGUCGAUUAAAAUAUGACCCCUUGAAAGAUAGUGUUUCUUAUUGAGGUUGAAAAAUGAACCAAAUUACUUGAUACUCAAAUCAAAUUUUGCUAAAUAAAAGUUUGUUUGAACUUAGUUUGCCAACUAAUCAAAUCAAAAUUUAAGAAGUAUUAUUAUGUGUUAGAUUAACUAUCAAAUUUGGCAUUAACUUGGCUUGAUUAACAUAAAAUUAGAAUUUACAAGUAAAAAAUUCAAGUUACUCAAGUUCGAUUCAUGCUCAAUUCUAUAAAAAAAGCUCAUUUGAGUUUGGCUUAAUUAAUAAACAAGUCAAGUUUGAAGACCUUCCUCUUAAAAAAAUUUUAAAAAAAUCAAGUUUGAGUACUGUUUCAAGUUUAUUAAAUAAUCUAACAAGUUUGAAUACUAGAACAUUGAAUCUAGGAGAUCUAGACAAAAUCACUAAAUUUAUUUUAGACCAUAACUGUAGAUUAUUUAGAAAAAAAAGGACCAAAAUGUAGACCUACCCACGUGAUGCAAACCAACCAGCCACGUGAUCCAUGCUGUAACCUUGCUAGCUUCACUUACCUAUCGCCUUGUAUAAAUAGCCGUAUAGCCCCCAAGAGUCUUUUCACCACCAAAGUUACAUUUUGAGUCUGUUCAUAGGCAAGGCAUGGCUUCAUCUAUCACUCUGAUCGCAGUCUUUUCAAUUGCCCUGGUAAGGUUUCUCAACCAUCAAUACUGUACUUGAAGUAGUAGUUCAUAUGAGAUAAUUGCUAGACUGUAUAGGAAUACUGAUGAAACCCGUGAAUUAAAGCUACCUGAGAAAACACAUUCUUCUUCCUUUUUGCACAUUUAUCUGCAGCUCUAACCAUCGCCACUGAAGGAAUGGAAGCUCUUCAGAUGGCUCUGUAGUUCUAUUCUCAUAAAAGCUUGACUUCCAAACAUUACCAAUGCUGGUACCAUACUUAAACGUCAAUGUAACUUGAGUAACGGCAUAUGACACUAUUUACCCUUUUUUAGUUAGAGGAUUCAUCCGGGAAAGAUUGAAAGUCAAAUCAAGAACCUUAAAAUCAACAUAAGGAAUAUUCCUGUUGCCAGUUGAGCUCGUCUUUGGAAAUUAACUAUCCUUCCCUACAAGGGGUCAUCUUUUACGGUGCUACCAUCAACGUACCUAUAUUGACGUUAGUUUCUUUUAUGUUAAUAUUUGCACAAAUGUGCAGUUUGCAUGCAUCACGGAAGCAAGGAAGAAUCCUACGGACUUUUUGCAAUCUGCUGUCAUUAAUGAGCAUACUGAGGACAAUCACCAUGCAGAGUCGUCCCUUUCCAAUCAGAAGAAGACAAGUAAUGGUAACACAUUGAAGGAUUUCGAGUCGAAGCCCGGCUCCUUUCUCUGGGGGUAUCAAGGCAACGAGGCUGAGUCUAAGUCUAAGGAGGAGAAGCCUCUUAUGAAAGGCUUUGAGUCGAAGCCCGGCUCCUUUCUCUGGGGGUAUCAAGGCAACGACGUUGAGUCUAAGUCUAAGGAGGAGAAGCCUUUUAUGAAAGGCUUUGAGUCAAAGCCCGGCUCUUUUCUCUGGGGGUAUCAAGGCAACAAUGCUGAGUCUAAGUCUAAGGAGGAGAACCCUCUUAUGAAAGACUUUGAGUCGAAGCCCGGCUCCUUUCUCUGGGGGUAUCAAGGCAACGACGCUGAGUCUAAGUCUGAGGAGGAGAAGCCUCUUAUGAAAGACUUUGAGUUGAAACCCGGCUCCUUUCUCUGGGGGUAUCAAGGCAACGACGCUGAGUCUAAGUCUAAGGAGGAGAAGCCUCUUAUAAAAGACUUUGAAUCGAAGCCCGGCUCCUUUCUCUGGGGGUAUCAAGGCAACGACGCUGAGUCUAAGUCUGAGGAGAAGAAGCCUCUUAUGAAAGACUUUGAGUUGAAACCCGGCUCCUUUCUCUGGGGGUAUCAAGGCAACGACGCUGAGUCUAAGUCUAAGGAGGAGAAGCCUCUUAUAAAAGACUUUGAAUCGAAGCCCGGCUCCUUUCUCUGGGGGUAUCAAGGCAACGACGCUGAGUCUAAGUCUGAGGAGAAGAAGCCUCUUAUGAAAGACUUUGAGUUGAAACCCGGCUCCUUUCUCUGGGGGUAUCAAGGCAACGACGCUGAGUCUAAGUCUAAGGAGGAGAAGCCUCUUAUAAAAGACUUUGAAUCGAAGCCCGGCUCCUUUCUCUGGGGGUAUCAAGGCCCUCUUAUGAAAGACUUUGAGUCAAAGCCCGGCUCCUUUCUCUGGGGGUAUCAAGGCAACGAUGUUG
rnacentral:lncRNA from 1 species